rnacentral:lncRNA from 1 species
CGGAGAAAAUGUGCUCUUUGUCGUUCUCAUGCCAGUCGACGUUGGUGCGAGCCAUGGCGGUUGCGUCGUCCCGGCUGCCGCCUUCGCGGCGGCUGCGGUCCAAGGGCCAAGGAGAGCCGAAGGGGUCCCAGAGGUCGGAGGAGAAGGGGUCCAUCCCUCCCCGGCCACCGCCGAACCAAGGCAUGAGCGACAUGGCUGACACGCACGGUGGUGUCUGGUUGACACGAUGCCCCACGAGACAGAUAUGCUACCAGGCUGUUUGUAGUGGCAAGAGCGCUUCCACCUGGGCGGUUUUAUAGUGCUCCAAAUGCUUGCAUGCAUGGCCGCGUGGGGCAUCGCAUUGACACGUUUGCUGUGUACGUGCCGCCCGCCUGCACAGGUGUUGCCCCAGCGACGAGGCGUGUGAUGCUUCUUGCUUUGGCGUGCGACGAGGCUGCCUUGGCACCGCACGCACAUCUGGCGUGCAUGCACGACAGUGGCGCCAGGCUGGGUUGUGGGUCGCCACUUGGUGAGACGAGAUACCUUCUCUCCGUGUCAUGCAUUUGUACGUGGUCGAGACCGACGAUGGCAAAACAGAGAUACUAAUCUACACAAAAAAACAAACAAACAAACAGAGAUGUUAAUGUAAGCAUAGACAAAUUAAAAGGCUUUGUAGGAGUCCGGACAAAAGAUACGUAGGACUUUGAUACCCUGUCCAUCCAAAACCACACCAAAACCUUUUCCAGACCUGCGCCUCCAUCCUUCUAUUUUCGCUCCUUUCCUUUUUGUCUCUUGCCUUCGUCGCCGCUCCAAUCAUCCCGUCCGCCCCGCCAUACCCGUACUAGAACUUGAGGAGUCCGUCACCUCCAACAGCACUCCCGGGCUUCAAGCCGCUUCUUCUCCGCCACCGUUUCACACCUCUCUACGACUGCCGUGCAGGUACUAUCAACUCCUACGAUACUCACCAUGCCCAGCAACUGUUGGUGAAAUGUCCAGGCUAUUUUUUGUCCCUUCUUCUCUGAAGCAAUGGAUUCGGCUAUGAAGUACAUAUAUGAGUACUAUGUUGAGUCAUCCGCCGGCUCGUCCGACGAGGAAAUCACUACACGGAUGAGACGACGAUGAUGCAGGCGGUCCUUGCGGACUCGGAGCGGGCGAAAGAGCAUGUUCUCAAUUUCAAGGGAUCAAUCAAGGGUCAUCGAGUGCUCAACCGCAACAGGACACCCAUUGAUUUGACACUGAUGGACGACUACUUUGCCCCAAUGCCCUCUUCGCUGAUAAUUUUCGCCGACGCUUUCAGAUACACUAAAAUGUCUUCGAUCGUCUCUACCAUGACGUCCGAUCCUUUGAUGACUACUUCAUCUUAAAGAAGAACGCUGUGGGAAGGAUUGGGUUCUCUGGUUACCAGAAGUGCGGCUGCACCGCGUAUGACACGGUCACUAAUUUAUGAGCCGAGUACCUACGGAUGUGUAAGAGCACAUGCUGAGAUGCCAUGGUUAGAUUUGCAUUCAUGCCAAGUACCGACGGAUGUCUAUGAGCACAUGCUGAGAUGCUAUGGUCGAGUACCUACUGGAAUCAGGAUCUUUGCUGUCAGCCAGCUCUUUGCCGUCAGCUGGCUGACGGUAAAGCAUGUCUUUGUCAUCAUUUUGAAGAAAGCUGACGGCAAAGAAAGAGCUGACGACAAAGAGCGUGUUUGCCGUCAGCUAGCUCUGUGUCGUCAGCUAGCAGACGACAAAAAGGGACGGUGGCCCACUAGUGAGAACCACCUAAUGGCCACUUUCUUUGCCGUUCGUGAGCAGACGACAAAGAAAGUGGCAACCUAACGACCGUUUCCUCCCGGCCCCAUCCCACUAGCUAUGCUCUUUGUCGUCUGCUAGCAGACGGCAAAGAAAUUAAACCUAACUAAAAAAUGGUCCGCCCUGCGCCCCACCCCUCUCUCUCUCCCUCACCUCACUGACGCCCCCCGACGCCCCGACGCCCUCACCGCCCCGACCCCCCGCCGCCCAGUCGUCCCGCCGUCCCAACGCCCUUGCCGCCCGCGCCACCACGACNNNNNNNNNNNNNNNNNNNNNNNNNNNNNNNNNNNNNNNNNNNNNNNNNNNNNNNNNNNNNNNNNNNNNNNNNNNNNNNNNNNNNNNNNNNNNNNNNNNNNNNNNNNNNNNNNNNNNNNNNNNNNNNNNNNNNNNNNNNNNNNNNNNNNNNNNNNNNNNNNNNNNNNNNNNNNNNNNNNNNNNNNNNNNNNNNNNNNNNNNNNNNNNNNNNNNNNNNNNNNNNNNNNNNNNNNNNNNNNNNNNNNNNNNNNNNNNNNNNNNNNNNNNNNNNNNNNNNNNNNNNNNNNNNNCGACGCCCUAGCCGCCCCGGUGCCCCGCCGACCCACUCUGGUGAGCCCCCCCCUGUUUUUUCUUUUUUUUUCUACUACUAGUAAUUAGGUUAGUUAGUACGGUUAGUUUCUUUUUUUUCUACUGCUACUAAUUAGGUUAGUUAGUACUGUUAGUUAGGUUAGUUUGAUUUUCUAGGUUAGUUAGGUUAGUGUCAUUCCUCUCAUGUCUUCUUUUGUCAGAUUUUGUUUUCUGUAGUAAUUUAAGUUCUGUCUUGUUGACUUGUUUGUUGAGUUGUGUUUCUGUUUGUCCGGUGAUGAAAAACCUGUUAAUCAUACCAUCUUUAGCGACUGAUUGGUCGCUGUGCGCCCAUGCUGUCAUUCUGCAAUUCUGAGGACAAAUUGAACAUCUUAGCGUAAUUUUUCUGAGUACUUCUGAACUUAUGCUGUGAAAAUCUGCAAUUCUGAUGUCCACAUUGGCUAUGCCGUAAUUUUGGAGACUGAAUUUUAUGGCGAAAUGUUAAUCGGGCUAGAAUUUUUCAAAUGGGCUAUCCUUUUGGUGGAUCUUGAGUUGCCUACUGCUACUUGUUUGAUCAUAAGCAUAAUCCUAUUUGCCUAGAAAGCAUUGUCUGACGGCUCAACCAUUUGUUAUGAAACUCUUUAAAUAUUCUUAUUUGAACUCAGGAAUCUGUGUAACGUUUCGGGUUGAUUUUUCUUUCCUAAUUGGAGAUUGUUGUCUAUGGAUCCCGGUGAUGACUUGUGAUGUUAAAAAGUAGUGGCCUGAUGCAUACAUUGAUGAGAUCUAUAUUAUCACUCUGAGUGAUCUGUCCGACAACAUAUCCAACUUUUUUUAUGUUUGUGUUCUUUUGGUGAUAUUUCUGUUAUCUGGACACAAAUGUUCAUAAAUUGUUUAUUUGCUUUGAUCUUUGUUGUUAAUUUUUGGUUUAAAAUCUUUCUCUAUGAAAAGAGUACACGCAGAUCUUUGUUGUUAUCUGGACACUUUUGCUUUGAUCUUUAGACUAGGUUAGUUAGGUUAGUUAGGUUAAUUAGUUUGUAGGUUAGUUAGGUUAGUUGGGUUAGUUUUGUUAACCAGUUCUACUUUUAUUUUUACUAAUUACUACUCCUAGAAAGCAACCAUGUAAAUGAUCAGGAUUAGGAUGCAUAUGCAUCCCUUUUCUUUUGUUUCUUGAAAAUCAGAAAAGAAAAAGAAAAGGCAGGUUUAGUCAUCAUUUUUCAAUUAGUUGGCUAAUGGUUUCUAGAAUUAUUUGACCAUGGGCAUGGACAGGUAGCAACUAGGAAAGGUAGAAUUUUGCAUAAAGGGUUUUUGAUGGAUUGUUUAUUUGACCAAUGAGCUUUCCUAAAUUUUCUCAAAUAUUUUAUUAUGUUUAUGUUAUACUAAUUUCGUUUACUCUUGUCAUUGCAGGUGUUGACACAUGGUGGGCUUAGGUCGAGAGCGCUCCGAGCCUCGUUCCUCGGCGCGUGGGAGGGGUGUUGUUAUUGCACCCCAGAACCUUCGAAGAGCGCUCCUAGACAGCAUGCAGACACCCCCAGCACCUUCAGCGGGCGCUUCUUCUUUGGCCAGGAGAGGAGGUCGGGGGAAGAAGAGGGGUGCAGGUAGAGGUGAACGGGGUGCUGGGAGAGGUAGGAAGGUUGUUUUGCCUUCCUCGCCGCCACCCCCCGCUGAUUCUCCAGACCAUCGGAGUGCUCCGUCUUAGGUGGACCUGUCUGACCUGGACCCGUGUCGGACUCCGGUCCAUGAGCCUCGGGUCGACGAGCCUCUGGUCGCCGAGCCUCGGGUCCCAGUGUCUUCCUCUCAGGAGACUCGGGUCCCAGAGUCUUCCUCCCAGGAGACUCGGGUCCCAGAGUCUUUGUCCCACGUGACUCCGGAGACUAGCAGCCAUGUUGAUGGUGUCAAGGAGACCUUAUCUGAGGAUAGCUACAGCGAGGGCGAGCUGGUUGAGGAGGGCAAGAAGGUCUACCAGCAUGGUGGUACUAAGCUACCGUCCAUGACGGUGACCCGCGACCAGAGGUGAUUGAUUCAGCCCAACGGGGAGAAGUAAGUGCAUUUACUCUUUUUUAACCCUUUGCCUUCAUGUUUGUUCAAAUUUAUAUCUAAUGUGUUGGCCUUGUCAUACUGCAGGGGUUGGAUACACGCAAAUGGUGUCCGCAGGCCCAACCAGGUCCUUGGUACUAUUUGCCGGCACCACUUCCCGGGUGGGUCAUGUUGCCCGGUGAGGGUGAGCUUCCACAUCUAGCACUGACCUGGGAGCUGUACGAGGCUGCCCCGGCCCCGCCGGGGGAGAUGGUCGACGGUGUCGUGUGCGAGACGGUGACCGACAUUGUGAGAUGGCAUUUUUGGGUAAUUUCUUCUUUACAGAAUUAAAAAUCAAUAGUACCUAGUGAUUGUACUAAUGAUCAAUGUUGUCUUGUUUGAUUGCAGACCUUCUAUAGGUGUCUUGAGGAACACGAGGCAGACGUGGCUAUGGUUCUCGAAGCCGAGUGCAAGCGCCUACUUCAGAACUUAUGGCACGAGGCUCGGGUGCAGGCUGUCCGAGACUACUACACCUAGACUAACAUCAGGAGGCAGAAGAAGAAGUGCCACGUCAAGUAUCUGAGUAAGGACAAGUACAUGAAGGUAAUUACCUAUUCUUAAGGCCUUGUACUAGUUUCCUUGAUUUGAUUUGUAGGCAUAGCAUUGAAAUUUCUCUUCGUCUAACUUAGGUGCCCCGAGAUGGUGUGCGGAUAAGAUGGACUGUUGGGAGAGGUUGGUGGAUGAGUGGUGCUCUCCCCAAUGGCUAGCCAUGCACAACAAGGCCAGGGCCAAGCAUGCUCAGAUGCAAGGUGUGCCGCACCAUCAAGGGAGCUCCAUCCUGUUUGAGUACAGGGAUCACUGGGUAUGUGGUUCGAGCCCUUAAUGAUUCAUGCAAUUUCAUUCUUCAUGCUAGCUUCAACCCUUUAAUUACUAAUUUACCUUGUUCCUCUCUUUCAGGCGUGACACAACAAGAAGGAGGUGCCGCCGCUGUACGACCUCUAUGCCAUGGCCCAUAGUGCCCCAUACAAGAAGGCCAAGGCAUUCUCGGAGGAUGACCUCAAUCAUCCAGAGAGCUUCACCAACAUAUCCUCCCACGACAAGCUUGUGAGGUACAGAGACUGGGGGAAGAAGAUGAAAGGUGAGGACUUCAACCUGAGCCAGAGUCCUUUUGAUCCUGAGCUCGUGAUGCUAUUUGGUUAUGGGAGGAGACAUGGCUCGGUAGCCAUUGGGGAUGGACUGAUAUGUUGUCCUAGAAGUCUCCCGGAGAUCAAGAAGCGCCAGACAAGGUCUCUUCCCGAGAUGAGGCCUCGACCACAGACAAUGGACAUCGCUAUCGAGGCUAGGGCCCAGGAGCUUGUGGCGGAGGCAACCAGGAAGGCGGUGGAGAGGGUGAGGGAGAUGGAGGAGAUGGCGGCUAAUCUGUUGGAGGCGGAGAGGAACCGGUACGACGCGGGUCAUCGGGCCCUAUACGAGAUCCUCGUGGUAAGUUUCUCCCACAUACUAGCCAAAUCAUGCACGCAAUGUUCAUUUCAUUACUAACUAAUAUGACGGACUCGUGAAAACAAAAUGUGUAGUCCGUGUGCGAGAAAACAGUCCAGACCCCUCCGCCGAUGCCCCAGAUUGCUCUAGCGGAUACGAUGAGUUUCAUUUGAAUGGUCAUUAGUUACUAGUAUUCACAUUUCAGUUGCAUCAUGCUAACUAAACAUUGCAAAUGAUCUUUCGUGUAGCACGCCUCCCAAAAAGGAUCGACCGAUCCUUCUCCGUCUUGCGGUGGCGCAACCCAGACCGAUCCUUCACCUCCUGGAUUAUGGUAAGUUUUCCCAGGUGUUUUGCUUAACAAAUGCUUUGUUAGCUAGAAAAUGGCAUAACAACCUAGGAUAGCUCAAUAAUGAUCUAUAUCUAGCUUAGCUAGUUCAUUUAUGACAUAAUUAGCUCACUUAGGUAAAAAAUGGCAUAACAACCUAGGAUAGCUCAAUAAUGAUCUAUAAUUAGCUUAGCUACUUCAUUUAUGACAUAAUUAGCGCAUUUAGGUAAAAAAUGGCAUAAUAACCUUGGUUUAGGUCCAAAAUGACAUAUACUUAGCUCAUUUUCCUCAAAAAUGAUAUAAUAACCUUACUUAGCUCCGAACUGACAUACUUUACCUAGGAUAGCUAUAAAAUGACCUAUACUUAGCCUUUUUUUUCCUCCUAAAUGACUUAAUAUGCUUAGUUAGCUAAAAACUGUCAUUACUACCUAGGAUAGCUAAAUAAUGAUCUAUACUUAGCUUACAUAGUUCAUUUAUGACAUAAUUAGCUUACUUAGGUAAAAAUGGCAUAAUAACCAUGGUUUAGCUCCAAACUAUCAUAUAAUUAGUUUAUUUUCCUCCAAAAUGACAAAAUAACCUUACCUACCUCCAAAAUGACACAUUUUAACUAGAAUAACUCUAAAAUGACCUACACUUACCAUUUUGUCCUACAAAAUGAAUAAAUAUGCGUAGCUAGCUCAAAAAUGGCAUAACUACCUAGGUUAGCUCCAUAAUGACCUAUUUACCUAGCUUAGCUCUAAAAUGACCUACACACUUAGCAUUUUUACCUACCUUAGCUAAAAAAUGGCAUUUUACCUACCUUAGUUAGAAGAAGAAGAAGAAGAAGAAGGAAGACGAAGAAGAAAUCUUCUUCUUCUUCUUCUUCUUCUUCUUCUUCUUCUUCUUCUUCUUCUAGCUAGUCUUCUUCUUCUUCUUCUUCUAACUUCCAUCUUUCCUAAUUUGCAGAUUUGCUUGAGAUGAGGAAGCUAGCAUUGAUGGAAACUUGUUGCAAACUUUUACUUGUGCUUGCGCUUCCUUUUUAUUUAUGGAAACUUGUUGGAUAUGUAUGUAUGGAAAUGUUGUUGGAAACCAUUGUAUGUUGUUGGAAACUUGUAUAUGUCGUUGGAAACAUAUUGUUGGUAUGAUUGUUGAAAUUAUUUUGAAAUGUGUGUAUAUAUAUAUGUGAAAUUCUGUCAAAUAAUGAAUUUAUGAAAAAAAAGGAAAACAGGGGCUAUAUAGCCACUUUGCUGUUUGCUAGCUGACGGCAAAGGUCUUUGACGUCCGCUAGCAGACAGCAAAGCUGCCAUGUGGCAGCUACCUGUACAACCUGGGGUGUAGUGGGCUGGCCUAUUUGGCAGGUUUGUCGUCAGCCAGCAGACGGUAAAGGCCUUUGCAUCUUUGCCGUCAGCUGGCUGAUGACAACGAUGCAAAGGCCUUUGCCGUCUGCCAGCUGACGGCAAAGCACGCUGUUAACCACUUAACGGACCUGAACUGCCACGUAUGCCGUCCAGGCUCUUUGCCGUCGGUCAGCAGACGACAAAGCCCUUUACAUCUUUGCCGUCUGCCAGCAGACAGCAAAGAGGCCUUUGUCGUAGCCCAUGCCUUCUAUGAUCUUGACUUGAAGGUGACAGAGAUACAAACAACAGUUGAGAAGCUCCAAGAAGAAGCAGAAGAGAGGAAGGGGAAAGCAACCACUAAAGUGCUUCAUAGAGUGCCUAGGGCACAUAGAUCUGUAGCAGUGCUAGUGCCAGACACUAGAGCUACAACAUCAGCACCUGCAGCCACAACUCCAGUUGCCCCUCCAGUGGCAACUCCACCAGCUCCAUCAACUUCAACAUAUGCUUUCAUCCUUGGAGUCCUCUCAACACCACCUCCCGAAGAUCAAGCUUAGAGAGCCCCAUAGCACUAUGCAUUUUCAAGCUUUUUGGUAACUUGUUGCCAAAGGGGGAGAAAGUGUAUAGAUCAUAGGCUUCGAGAGAGAGAGAGAGAGAGAGAGAGCUUUGCUUCUUUGGCUACUUAUUUGCUUGCUUGCUUGAUUGAUACUUUUUGUUUAUGUGUGUGAGAUACUUUGUAUGGUCAUGUGUUUGAUCAUAUCAUGCUUAAUUCUUGUGCUUGGAUGAUACUAUUCCCUAUCUUUUAUGUAUGAUCAUUCAGUUUGCCUUGUUCCUAUUUCUAUCAUUUUGAGUGCUCCACUAAGAUGUAUGUGACAUGAAAGAGUAACCCAUGAUCCUAAUUGGUUGUGCAUUUGUAUUCAAAAGCAAAUCUUAGAUAAUGCACAAAUUUAGGGGGAGCUCAUGCUUAUCACAUACUUCUCAAAGCGACGAUGUUUUUCAUUCUUAUUAUCAUUUAUCAAAGCUUUGAUCUAUAUGUUGUCAUCAAUUACCAAAAAGGGAGAGAUUGAAAGUGCAACUAAUCCGUGGGUGGUUUUGGUAAUUCUUAACAACAUAUAGCUCAUUGAACUAAUGCUCUUUCAAGAUGAACAUUUCAGAAAGUUCAAUGAUUGGCAUGGCAUGGACUAGAGAUGUGGACCCCUCAAAAUGCUAAGGACACAUAUUGGCAACAAGCUCAAGACUCUACAUUUUCUUUUUAGUGAUCCAAGAUCACAUUGAGUCCAUAGGAAAGCCAAUACUAUUAAAAGGGGAUGAGGUGUUGCUUAAUGGCUUGCUUGCUCAAAAUGCUUAGUGAUAUGCUCCAAAACCCUCAACCACUUUCUCAUUUCCUUCUUAUGUCCUAAACCUAAAAGCCAAACUUAGCCCCACUGAUUUGAUAUAUUCGGCGCCACCGAGUUCAUUUGACAUAGCCACUGCCACAAACCCUAAUCAAUUCGGUUUCACCGAUAGGGAUCUUGGUCUCACCGAGAUGGGGUUGCAAACUCUCUGUUUCCCUUCGUAACGUUUCGGUCUCAUCGAAAUGAGCGAUCCGUCCCACCGAGUUUGCAAUGCAAACUCCCUGUUUCCUUUUCGUAACAUUUUGGUCCCAUUCAAAUGAGCGAAUCGGUCCCACCGAGUUUGCAUGACCAACCCCCUGUGUGCCUAUUACUGAAAUCGGUCCCAUCGAGUUCAUGUGAUCGGUCUCACCAAGAUUACGUUAUGCCCUAACCCUAGCGAAUCGGUCCCACCGAGUUGAUCAUAUCGGUCCCACCGAAAAUCCUAAUGUUCAUAUUUUCACCUAUAUCGGUCUGACCGAGUUUCACCAUUCUGUCUCACCGAGUUUGGGAAUCUGUGUGUAAUGGUUAGAUUUUGUGUGGAGGCUAUAUAUACCCCUCCAUCCAUUCUCAUUCGUGGAGAGAGCCAUCAGAACGUGCCUACACUUCCAGCAUUCAUUUUCUAAGAGAGAACCACCUACUCAUGUAUUGAGACCAAGACAUUUCAUUCCAACCACAAGAAUCUUGAUCUCUAGCCUUUCCCAAGUUGCUUGAUAUGUCUCCAACGUAUCUAUAAUUUAUGAAGUAUUCAUGUUGUUAUUUUAUCAUUCUUGGGUGUUUUACAAUCAUUUUAUAGCAACUUUAUAUCAUUUUUGGGACUAACCUAUUGACCCAGUGCCCAGUGCUAGUUGCUGUUUUUUGCUUGUUUUUUACAUCGCAGGAAAUCAAUAUCAAAUGGAGUCCAAACACUGCGUAACUUUUUGGAGAUUUUUUCUGGACCAGAAGGAACCCAAUAGGCCUGAGCUGCACCUGGGGGGUUCCCCGAGGUGGGCACAACCCACCAGGGCGCGCUAGGCCCCCCUAGCGCGCCCAGGUGGGUUGUGCCCACCUCGGUGGCCUCCCGCGCCCCCUAUUUGUACUAUAAAUUCCCAAAUAUUCCGAAACACUUCGGGGUAAACCUAGAUCCAAAGUUCCGCCGCCGCAAGAUCUCUGUAUCCACGAAAACCAAUCUAGACCCUAUUCUGGCACCCUGUCGGAAUCAUCUCCGGUGGCCAUCUUCAUCAUCCUGGCGGCCACCACGACGAGGAGGGAGUAGUCCACCCUCGGGGCUGAGGGUUUGUACCGGUAGCUAUGUGUUUGAUCUCUCUCUCUCUCUCUCGUGAUUUAUAUCAUGGGCUUUGUUAAUGUAGUCGGAUCAUAUGAUGUUUCUCCCCUCUAUACUCUUGUUAUGAUGAAUUGAAUCUUUACCCUUCAAAGUUUUGUCUUGUCGGGUUGAAUAUUCAGAGAUGAGAACACAUGAUAUAUGUCUUGUAAUAUGAAGACUUGAGGUGAUAAUGAGGUAUCUUAUUGAUUCACUUGAUAUGUAUUAUGGCAUUCAACUCGUGGAUUCCGGCGGUGAUAUUGGGGUAAUCUAUGCAUAGGGGUUGAUGCACAUUUUUCUCCGGCGAAAAAUUUGGGGUCUCUUUAUAGUUCUUUGUGUUGAUUAAGUAUUAUGAAUAUGAAUUUGCUUUGGUGUUAUUCUAGUACGAACUCUAGGAUAGAUCAAACGGAAAAAAUAUCUUUGUGUUAUUUUAGUACGAACUCUUGAAUAGAUCGAACGGAAAAAAUAGCUUUGAGGUGCUUUCGUGAUCUACAAACAAUUCCUAUCUUUUGUUCUCUGCUAAUAGGAACUCGAGAGUGAUUCUUUAUUGCACUUUGAGGGAUAAUCAUAUGAUCCAACUAUGUUAGCAUUGUUGAGAGGUUGCACUAGUGAAAGUAUGGAGCCUAGGCCUCAUUUUUAAGCAUUGCAACACCGUUUUUGUGCCCAUUUACUAUUUUCUACCUUGCCGUUUUUAUUUAUUCAGAUUAUAAAAAUAUAUUUCUACCAUCCAUAUUACACUUUUGUCACCAUCUCUUCGCUGAACUAGUGCACCUAUACAAUUUGCCAUUGUAUUGGGUGUGUUGGGGACACAAGAGAUUUCUUGUAUUUGGUUGCAGAGUCGUUUGAGAGAGACCAUCUUCAUCCUACAUCUCUCACGUAUUGAUAAACCUUAGGUCAUCCACUUGAGGGAAAUUUUCUAUUUUCCUACAGAACUCUGCGCUUGGAGGCCCAACACGUGUCUACAAGAAUAAAGUUGCGUAGUAGACAUCAAGCUCUUUUCUGGCGCCGUUGCUGGGGAGGUGAGUCUUGAAGGUAUAUCUUUAGAUCUUGCAACUGAAUCUUGUAGUUUCUUGUUUUAUCACUAGUUUGGUUCAUAAAAGAAAACUACAAAAAAAUGGAAUUGAGGUUGAGGGAGUCCUGGAUUAGGGGGUAUCCGGACAGCCGGACUAUAUACAUCGUCCGGACUAUUGGAGCGUGAAGAUACAAGACUCAAGACUCCGGCCCGUGUCCGGAUGGGACUAUCCUUUGUGUGGAAGACAAGCUUGGCGAUCCGGAUAUUAUAUUUCCUUCCUUGUAACCGACUCCAUGUAAACCCUAGCCCUCUCCGGUGUCUAUAUAAACCGGAGAGGUUGGUCCUUAGAAGGCCGAUCACAAUUACAACCAUACCAUCAUAGGCUGGCUCCUAGGGUUUAGCCUCUACGAUCUCGUGGUAGAUCUACUCUUGUACUACCCAUAUCUUCAAUAUUAAUCAAGCAGGAAGUAGGGUUUUACCUCCAUCGAGAGGGCCCGAACCUGGGUAAACAUUGUCUCCCUUGCUUCCUGUUACCAUCAGCCUAAGACGCACAGAUCCGGACCCCCUACCCGAGAUCCGCCGGUUUUGACGCCGAGAUUGGUGCUUUCAUUGAGAGUUCCUCUGUGUUGUCGCUUCGAGGCUUGAUGGCGUCUUCAAUCGUCAACAACACGGUCCAGGGCGAGACUUUUCUCCCCGGACAGAUCUUCGUGUUCGGCGGCUUCGCACUGCGGGCCAAUUCGCUUGGCCAUCUGGAGCAGAUCGAGAGCUACGCCCCUGGCCACCAGGUCAGGUUCGGAAACUUGAACUACACGGUGGAUAUUCGCGGAGACUUGAUCUUCGACGGAUUUGGGCCUGCGCUAGGAGCAUCGAACAGUCACGAUGAGCACGGCUUAGACCUGCUAUCGGACGGUGCUCGGGAUAUCACCCCUGCCAUAGCCCCGGAUCUAAAUCCGGAGCAGGUUGCAUUGCCUAAGGACGGAGUGGUGGACCCCACCCUGCAGGCCGCAUACUCAUCAGCGGUGGAGCCGAACACAGGUCUCACCUCUGUGGAAGCCUGUAACCCCGGGCCCCCGGACUCGUCUUCUGUUGAUGGUUUUGGUCCGCACACCCUCGAGCCAGUCGAGCCAGGUUGGGCUCCGGUAAUGGAGUUUACCGCGGCGGAUAUCUUCCAGCACUCGCCCUUUGCCGACAUGCUGAACUCGUUAAAGUCUCUCUCUUUGUGAGGAGGCUCUAGGAUGAACUAUGUCCGGCUUGAGUGGGAAGCAGGCGACGAAGGAAUUCGCUGCUUACCCACCACCCACUUCAUUGCCACGAUCGAUGAUUUAACCGACGUUCUUGACUUCGUCUCCGAAGACAUCGACGGCAUGGACGACGAUGCAGGAGAAGCUUCAGAAUCUCUGGGGCACAGGACUACUACCUCGCCACACGAUAUAUACAUGGUAGAUACACCCAAGAAGGACGACGACGAUAAUCCGGAAGAUAAAACACCCAGGCAAAAGCCAAAACGGCGGCGCAGACGCUGCUCAAAGUCCAGCAAUAGUAAAAAUAGCGACAAGAGCGCAAGAAGGAUCGACAUACCAGUAAACCCCGAAGGCAAUAACGACCGCAUGGACCCAGCGAUGGAGCAGGACGAGCCAAGUCACGCCGAACCGAGUUCGGAGCAGAUGCCCGAUCACAAUGAUCCGGAGGGACGAGCUCAUCAAACCGCCCCAGGACAGGAACAUAGUCCGGCCGAUGAUGCAUUCAUCAUUCUGGAAGAACGCGUGGAAUGAGACAACCUCCACCGAAAGCUUAUGGCCACAACGAGAAGUCUAAAAAAGCAGAAGCAACGGCUCAAAGCUGCACAGGAAAUGCUCAGUCACAGAUGGAAUAAAGUGCUAGACACUGAAGAAAGAUAUGGCGACGAUCGCCAUACAAAAAGCUAUCCAAAACGCAAACUACUGCCAGAAUUCGACGACGAUGCCGUUCCACCAAAGAAUAAUACGACCAGGAGACCAGAUGUACCGCUUCACAACCGCAACAGAGCGGCUACUGACGCUGCACACAAUCUACGUGAGCAUCUGGAUAAUAAAGCCGGUGCAGCUAGGUCCAUCUAUGGAUCUAAAGGACACACCCCGGCGAGGGACCAUGGUCACCAAAACGAUCAUACAAGCCAAAUACCAGUUCGGAAUAAACACCGGACACAACAACAACCGACUGCAUGCCAUAGCGCGUCCAUAUAUAAAGGGGCUGCUCACCCCCUGUGCUUCACCGAAGAAGUACCGGACCAUGAAUUCCCACAAGGUUUUAAACCUGUGAACAUAGAGGCAUACGACGGAACGACGGACCCAGGGGUCUGGAUCGAGGAUUUUAUCCUGCAUAUUCACAUGGCUCGUGGGGAUGACCUCCACGCCAUCAAAUACCUUCCCCUCAAGUUGAAGGGACCAGCUGGACACUGGUUGAAAAGCCUCCCCGAAAAUUCAAUUGGGAGUUGGGAGGAACUCGAGGACGCUUUCAGGGCCAAUUUUCAAGGGACUUAUGUCCGACCUCCGGAUGCAGACGAUCUAAGUCACAUAAUCCAACAGCCCAGAGAGUCUGCCCGCAAGCUUUGGAACAGAUUCCUCACUAAGAAGAAUCAAAUUGUCGAUUGUCCGGACGCCAAAGCCUUAGCAACAUUCAAACACAACAUCCGCGACGAGUGGCUCACUCGACACCUCGGCCAAGAAAAGCCAAGGACAAUGGCAGCCUUAACAAGCCUUAUGACCCGCUUUUGCGCGGGUGAAGAUAGCUGGCUAGCCCGUAAAGGCACCAGCGAUCCCAGCACAUCCGAAAUAAGGGAUGGCAACGGGAAGCCACGGUGUAAUAAAAAUAAACGCCAAAACAAGGAAGAGAGCCCGGACAACACAACGGUCAAUGCCGGAUUCAGUGGCUCUCGACCUGAUCAGCAAAAGAAGCCAUUUAAAGGCAGUAAAGAGGGACCGUCCGGUCUGAACAGAGUCCCAGACAGACUAUGCCAAAUUCAUGGCACCCCCGAGAAACCUGCGAACCACACGCAUAGAGAAUGCUGGGUCUUCAAGCAGGCCGGCAAAUUAAAUGCUGAACACAAGGGGAGGGACACACCAAGUGAAGACGAGGAUGAACCUCGCCAGCCGAACACUGGGGAACAGAAAAAAUUCCUGCCAGAGGUUAAGAUAGUAAACAUGAUCCACGUGACUCACACAUUCACGAGAAGGCACGAACGCGCGCUCAGAGACGCACAUGAUAUAGAGCCCAUCGUACCCGCAUCUGACUACUGGAUGUCUCAUCCGAUCACCUUCGAUCACACGGACGGCCGAACUAGUAUUCGGCGCGGAGGAUCAGAGGCCUUGGUGCUUGACCCAAUAAUCGACGGAUACCGUCUCACCCAUGUCCUCAUGGACGGCGGCAGUAGUCUCAAUUUAAUAUAAGAGGACACUGUCCGCAGAAUGGGGAUAAACCCAUCCAAAAUUAGCCAAAGCAACACCACCUUUGAAGGGGUGAUACCAGGCGUUGAAGCCUACGUCAGGGGAUCCGUCGUGCUGGAAGUAACAUUUGGCCCCUAGGCAACUCCAGAAGCGAAGAACUACUCUUCACCAUCGCACCCUUCCAAAGCGGCUAUCAUGCAUUGCUUGGAAGAACGGCCUUCGCCCGCUUCAACGCAUUGCCGGACUAUGGCUACCUUACACUCAAGAUGCCCGGUCCACGUGGCGUCAUCACCGGUAACGGAAUCACAGAGCGCUCUUCACGUGCAGAGGAACACGCGGCGGCCCUAGCGGCCAGACUAUAAGCGGCCUCCAAUAUCAAAAACAUGACUGGUCAUUAAGACCACAAACACGGUUAGACGAGUCCGGUAGCCCGGAUAAACUGAACCAGGGCAUCGUAUAUGUAAUCCCACAGCGGAAACCAGGGGCUAUAAAUAUUUAAUACAGCCCCACACUUGGCUUAACCUUAUUGGCAGGCCAACAUCUUACACUUUUAUUAUCCAUCGCAUACUUACGUUGUACUCUCCUAUGAGUUUUAUUUUUUCCACAGACAACGUUCGCGCGAUACCCCUCCAGGAUAUGGCACAACGGAGACAAAGGCGCAGAUGUGCAGCAGGGCCCCGCUCAACAGGUUUCUUUUUAGAUUAAGCCCCCGUGUAAACCUUUUCUACUGCCUCUUGUUGUUUAACCAUCCCAUGGGUCCCAUACCCACAGAGGAUACUGCCGUUAUUGGCAUUUCGCCACGACAGAUUAAACGAACGUACCUAGAAAUCUGGGGUUUAUAAUAGGCUUUCUUCAGCCUAUUUUCUUUUACAAAGACCGAAUACCUUCGGGAGUGUUCGGCGUCACGAGUUUGGCCUUAUAUGCAUCAGCUCCGAAUCAUGUCUUUGGUCAAAUGUUGGGUUUGCCCGGCUCCUGGGUUUGUCGCCUUACGUUCCGUUAUUAUCGACUAAGGCGGCCAAAGGAGAACUACUGCGAUUGUGCCCUGGUUAUUCUGGAUGAGCACCUCAGUAGAGAAAGCCGAAAACUGACUGUCAUGAUACAGCGAGAGACUGUUCAACCACUCGAAGACUCACCGGAAUCUUUAGGAUUCCUCCGCAUUAACGAAGGGCCGUUUCCCGGCCAUGUACAUACGCGCCCGUAUUCGGAUGCACGCGAAGGUACCAGGGGCUACAUAGUAGCCCCACCGUUAGACCCCCAUGGCUAAGCGAAAGUGUUACAGCUAUAUAGUCUGGUUGCCUAGUUCGACGUGCGAUCACCUCCUUAAUGGACCAAGACGUUGGCUCAAGUGUGAUUAAGCAUAUUUUUUGCGAACAACCCCGCAUUGUAUGCGUGGGGGCUGAAGCCAACGACUGCUAACUUUCGGAUUACUUAUAUUUAUAUAAAAACCACCGCAAAGGGGACACAAUCAUAUUUUCGGGCAAAAAGUAUAAAUAUAGCCUCAUAAUCAAAAUACACAUUGUUUUUACAAUGAUUCGACUUAUCACUCGAACAAGACAUUUUUCGAGCACUACGCCUCUAUUAGGCGGGAACCUUCUGUGACCUGCGCCAAGUAGUGCUCGGCCGGAUAUUGACCUCCCGCCGGAUCCUGGGUCGCUAUAAUGGUGGCCUCCAUAUUCGUCCAAUAGUCUUUAACGCGGGCAAGAGCCAUUCGUGCACCCUCUAUGCACGCCGACCUCCUCAUAACGUCAAUCCAAGACACGGCCCCAAGGAAUUGUUGCACCAAACCAAAGUAACUGUCCGGCUUAGGCCCCUUCGGCCAAAGAUGGACUAUUACAGAUCGCAUUGCAAUCUCGGACAGCCUGUGAAGCUCUGCCACAGCAGCCACCUUCUCAUUUAGCGGCAGCGGGUGAGUGGGAGCAUUGAACUGCGACCAGAAAAGCUUCUCCACUUCCUUAUCACCUUGACCCUCGAAGAACUUGGCAGCGUCAGCUGUACUAUUCGGCAAGUCCGCAUAUGCGUCUGCAGGACUCCAGCGUCCAGCCAGGGGAGCAUACUUCGGAUCCAAAAACUUUGUCCGCAGUAAGUAGGAGCCCCCAGCCACAAUUUUGUCGGCCUGUUGGAGCUCCUCCCACAUACCCCGGAUCUCGGUCCGCAUAUCUUUGGUGGCAUUAAGUGCCUUGUCCAGCUCGGCCGAACUAGCCUUAUUCUCCUUUUCACGGAGUACAUACCGGUCGGCGGCAUUUUUCAACUCCCCAGCCAUUUCGGCUAUCUUUUCCUCGCUUCGGCGAUGAGCAGCCUGUUCGGCUCUCAAUUCUUCUGCUGCUUUUAGGGCAGCCGCAUUGCUAGCCCGAGCUUGUUCCUUGGCCUGAGCAAGUUCUGCCCUCAGGGCCUCCACGACAGCAGCACCAUCUGCAAUACAAACACAUUGCAUUAAUAUUAUGCCCCCCUCGCAUUUUCCUAUACAACAUAAUAAGGGAAGCAGAGCACAUACCCUGUGACUCUUCCAGCCGCUUGUUCACCAGCGUAAUAUCGGCAUCGAUAGAUCCGAUCUGCCUCCUUAGUUCGGCAACUUCAACAGACUGGUCGGCUGCCGGAUCCUUAGAUACCUGCGCACAUGUACAACGCAUCCAUUAAUAUAUGUUCCCCCGUUUGCCGCCUAUGGCGGGCAACCAGAGUCUCAUGGGCUACUAUCCAUAGGGAGCACACCUAGCACGUGCCUUACAACCAAAAAAUAGUGCAUUUUUCACUACAUACCUCAAAGCAUUUGAGCAGGCUCGUAAAUGCCUCAUUCAAGCCGCUUGUAGCGGAUGAAAUCUUCGUGAGCACCGUGCUCAUUAGUGAGCGGUGCUCCUCCGAGAGUGCGGCUCGCUCCAGAAGGCCUGUCAGCACGUCCGGCAGGACGUCGAACUGUGUCGGACCCUUCUCAUCGCCCCCUCCCCCCGUGGGAGCCAAACGCUCCGUGCUCAGGGCGACUGAUGUAUUAGCUUCCAACUUCGAUAGAUCCGGACUCCUCCGUGACAACACCUCAGUGUCGCCCGCUUCAUGAGGCGAAGAGGUGGGUGGGGUCUCACUCUCCAUCAUCUCCGGAGGAAGAUCCCCCGAAGACGAACUCUGUUGAGAAGAGCUGCUAGCCGGACUGCAAAAGACGAAGUCCUGGUUAUGGAUCUCGGAGAAACACCGUACCUUCAAAUUAAUGAUUAACUUACAGCUCGGUGGAGGGCUUGCCCGUUGGUAGGCACGACGCGGUGAGGGUGCCCGUCGCGGCAGAGCCCCCUGGUGAUACCUUCUUUCCUUGCUUGGGCAUCUCCGUCUCCAAGUCUUCGGAGGUGGCCCUCUUCCUCCCGCAUGGGGAGGAGGCUUUAGCCUCCCCUUCCUGACUAUCCUCCUCAGGGGAGGUAACGAUUCCCCCGGUUUGGAUGCGUAGUGUGUGAGGUUUGGCUUCACUGCCUUUUCCUUUGCCUUUCCCUGAGGGGAUUCUGCUGAGCACCCGACCAAGCAUCUUGGCAACGGUUGGACCAGAAGAGCCCUCAGGAAGUGGCGCCGGACACCUGAUUCUCUCCGCCUUAUUGAGCCAUUCCUGUCCACGGAGGGUUUUUCAAAAUAAUGGUAGUAUCCGGAUUUAAGGUUACUUACUUGGGCAUCUAGGCGAUUGCAGCUUAGGCCCGCAUCCUCGGUGGUGUCCGGACACUUUACUUGUGGUCCGAAGAAUAAUUUACACAUCCCUUCGAGCUUCAGGCCGAAGAAGUUCUUAAUAGUCCGCGGACCCUCCGGAUUGAACUCCCACAUCUGGAGAGGCCGACGUUUGCACGGCAACAUCCGUCGGAUUAGCAUCACUUGAAUUGUGCUGACAAGAUUUAUGUCCCUCUCGAGAAGCUCUCGAAUGCAGUUCUGCAAUACUGGUACAUCGCCAACGGCCCCCCAAUUCCAUCCUACGUCGGUCCAAGAUGCCAACUGUGAUGGGGGCCCAAGCGGAACUCGGGGGCGGCUACCCACUUUGUGCCUCUGGGAUCCCUAACAUAAAACCACCUCCGUUGCCAUACAUCGGAUACUUCCGGGAAAAAACCCUCUGGCCAUGGGGCAUCGGCAUUCCUGCUUAUUAUGGCACCUCCGCACUCCGCAAGCCGCCCCUCGAUCAUCUUCGGCUUCACAUUGAAGGUCUUGAGCCAUAAGCCGUAGUGUGGAGUGAUGUGGAGAAAAGCCUCACACACAAUAAUGAAGGACGAGAUAUGGAGGAUAGCGUCCGGAGCCAGAUCAUGAAAAUCCAAGCCAUCAUAGAACAUGAGCCCCCUCACGAAGGGGUCGAGGGUGAGGCCCAGGCCUCGGAAGAAGUGAAGGACAAACACAACACUCUCAUUGGGCUCCGGAGUAGGGAUAACCUGCCCUGGAGCAGGAAGCCUGUGCUGGAUAUCGACGGUCAGGUAUCCGACCUCCCUAAGCUUCGUAAUGUCCUCCUCCUGGAUCGAGGAGGCCACCCACCAGCCUUUGGCGUUGGAUCCGGACAUAUUGGAGGAUCUGGGGUGUUGGGGCUUAGGUCUUGGGUGUUAGAACUCGAGGCGUGAGAAGGAGCAAGGGAGGUGGAAAAGAGGCAUAGGCCUCGACCCCUUUAUAAAGGGGAUGAAUAUCAAGAGUCCUCAGCGUGACCGCUUGAGACUUAUCCAAAAAUACACGGAGUCAUACCAACGGUCGUCGUGGGGUCACACACGCCCAUAUUGAUGAAAGAUCCCAUAAUAAGAGGAACACGAUCUCUGCUUUGGGAGGACGUGCCAAUAAAACCGCCUCGCAACGCGAGUCGAGGUGGGGCAAGAAACGCCGGUUUGUGUUGGACCAGGCCACGAUGCAAGGGCACGACGUACGAAGAUUCCCAGCAGAACAGAUUUAUGCUAUGUUCCCUACAAUGGUAUGUGAAGAUCAUCUUGCGGAUCCGGACAUGGACUGAGUGUUCGAUACUUACUUUGGAGUAUUCGGAGAAGGAACCCGCCUUGCAAUGCCGAAGACAAGACUGUGGGCCGGACUCAUCGUCAUUGAAACCUGGUUCAGGGGCUACUGAGGGAGUCCUUGAUUAGGGGGUAUCCGGACAGCCAGACUAUAUACAUCGUCCGGACUAUUGGAGCGUGAAGAUACAAGACUCAAGACUCCGGCCCGUGUUCGAAUGGGACUCUCCUUUGCGUGGAAGACAAGCUUGGCGAUCCGGAUAUUAUAUUUCCUUCCUUGUAACCGACUCCAUGUAAACCCUAGCCCUCUCCGGUGUCUAUAUAAACCGGAGAGGUUGGUCCUUAGAAGGCCGAUCACAAUUACAAUCAUACCAUCAUAGGCUAGCUCCUAGGGUUUAGCCUCUAUGAUCUCGUGGUAUAUCUACUCUUGUACUACCCAUAUAUUCAAUAUUAAUCAAGCAGGAAGUAGGGUUUUACCUCCAUCGAGAGGGCCCGAACCUGGGUAAACAUUGUGUCCCUUGCUUCCUAUUACCAUCAGCCUAAGACGCACAGAUCGGGACCCCCUACCCAAGAUCCGCCGGUUUUGACACCGACAGAGGUUGCAUCAUAUUAUUGAUCAUCUUUAUAAUAUCUUUCUUCAAAAUGAUGGUUCGGGAAAUUGUGCUCAAUUGAUAGAAGAAGAAUUUAAUAGAAUGAUUGGCAUGAAUGAUGAGCAUGAUGGCAAUGUUCUUAGUAUGAACUCUUUGAAUAUCCAUGAUGCUAAUGAUAUGCAAAACCAUAAGCUUGGGGAUGCUAUGUUUGAUGAAGAUGAUAUUUUUAGUCCCCCAAGUUUUGGUGAGAAAAUUUACUAUGAUGAAAGCGUGCCACCUAUCUUUGAUGAUUAUGGUGAUGACAUGUAUGCUAUAAAUAAUAUUGAUAACCAUGAAACUUGUCAUCAUUAUUUUAAUUUUCAAUCACAUGAUAGUUAUUUUGUUGAGUUUGCUCCCACUACUCAUGAAUAAAUUUGCUUAUGUGGAGAGUAGUAAAAUUUCUAUUCUUGUGGAUCAUGAAAAGAAUGCUUUAUGUGAUGGCUAUAUUUUUGAAUUCAUUCAUGAUGCUACUUAAAAUUACUAUGAGAGAGGAACAUAUUCUUGUAGGUGUUGCAAUAAUAUCAAGUUUCCUCUCUAUGUGUUGAAAGUCUCGAAGUUAUGCUUGUUUUGCCUUCCUAUGCUAGUUGAUUCUUGUUCCCAUAAGUUGUUUGCUCACAAAAUCCCUAUGCAUAGGAAGUGGGUUAGACUUAAAUGUUCUUGCCAUGUGAUUCAUGAUGCCCUUUUUCAUGUUUCAAUCUUUAUCUUUUAUGCGAGCAUCAUUGAACACAUCUUGCCUAGCUAAAAGGCAUUAAAGAAAAGCGCUUGCUGGGAGACAAUCCAACACUCUUACCUACCGUUUUUGUGUGUUCACAUGAUUAGGCUACUGUAGUAAUCAUGUUUUAUUGUCUUUGUUUCAAUAAAGUGCCAAGUAAAGCCUUUGGGAUCAGGUUGGGUGAUAGUUGAUUUGAUCUUGCUGAAAAACAGAAACUUCUGCGCUCACGAAAAUAAGUCUCAUUUUUAACAGAAGAGUGAUUUUGAGUUGAUUCUUUUUGCAGAAUAUUAAUAUACAAAUUUCUCACAUGGUAAAACUUUUUUUAAUAACUUUUGUAGUACAAGAAGUAUGGUUUGAGUACAUAUUACUACAGACUGUUCUGCUUUUGACAGAUUCUGUUUUCAAUGCAUAGUUUGCUUGUUUCCUUGUUUUUAUGGCUUAUAUUGCUCAAUACAACUUGUGGAAAUGAUAUGAUACAGUAGGAAUUAUGCGGAAACAAUUAUGAAUCUUGUCUUUGAAAUUACCAAAGGGAAAUGGUUUGCUCUUUAUCAUACUAACCUAUCUCACAAGGUUCCAUUAAGUUUUGUGUGAUUGAAGUUUUCAAGUUGUGGGUGAAAUGUCGAUAUGAGGAGAAUAAGGAGUGACAAGACCCUAAGCUUGGGGAUUCCCAAGGCCCCCCAAGGUAAUAUUCAAGGAAGAUCCAAGCAACUAAGCUUGGGGAUGCCCCGGAUGGCAUCCCCUCUUUCGUCUCCAACAUUAUCGGUAACCUCACUUGGAGCUAUGUUUUCAUUCGUCACAUGAUAUGAGUUUUACUUGGAGCAUCAACUUACUUUGUUAGGAUUUGAUUGAUAUUAUUUAUAAUAAUGUUUUGCAUGUUUUAUUUUAAUAAAAGUGGCAAUGAUGGCCUUUGCCAUGCUUAUUUUGCAAGUAUACUUGUUGCUGUUUGAAAAUAGAAAGUUUAUCGAUGUUGCAAAAAUUCCCUAGAAAAGUGAGAAUAUGAUAAAUUGUUGAAACUUUUUGCAAAGUAACCUAUGAUAAAUUUACUACAGUGUGGUAUGUUUCUCAUAAUUUUUGGAGUUGAAUAAGUAUUGAUAUUCUUGCAUUCUUUACAGAUUGUACUGUUUUGGCAGAUUGCUGUUAUGUUUGCAUUGUUUGCAUAUGUUUGCUUGUUUAAUGAUUCUAUUUGAGGAUAGGAGUAUUAAAUAUGUAGAGGAAUUUAGUAUGCAAUGUUUAAUAAUAAUUAUAGUGAUUUGCUACAGUAGAGAAUGAUAAGGUUUUGCACUGAUUUAUACUAACUUAUCUCACGAGUUCUUGUUGAGUUUUUUGUGGAUGAAGUUUUUGAGAUUUAGGGAAACCGUAAUAUAAGAGGAAUUAAGGAGACACAAAAGCUCAAGCUUGGGGAUGAUCAAGUCAUCCCAAGCUAAUAUUUCAAUAAGUCUCAAGCAUCUAAGCUUGGGGAUGCCCCGGUAGGCAUCCCACCUUUCUUCUUCAACAAUUAUCGGUUAGUAUCGGUUGAACCUAAGUUUUUGCUUCUUCACAUGAUGUGUGCUAUUCUUGGAAUGUCAUUUUAUUUUGUUUUUGCUUUCUGCUUUAUCAAAUUACUUAGAUCUGAAAGUUUUUGAAUAAGAGAGAGUCCUUAAAUAGCUACCUAUUUACUUAACUACUCGCAUGAUCUUCACUUAUAUCUUUUUGAAGUAGUUUGUCAUUUACUCUAGUGCUUCACUUAUAUCCUAUGAGUAAAUUGUUGAAUGAAUUGAAUAUCAUGAGGUUGAAACUAUAUCAUGCCUAGUGGUAGCUUCACAUUGGGUUUAGAAAGUGAAAUCUUUUGAGGCUUCACAGUCACAAUAUUGGUCAUACAAGUAAUUCACGAAUAAUUAGUAUAAGGAAGAGAACUUUCACAUGCAAAUACAUUAUCAUGGAAAUCUUUUGUGAUUGUGAACCCCCAUCAAAAUAUUAUAUGCCAAAAUUGUUGACGUUGGACAAGAAAGACAACGUAAUGAUUUAUGUUUGCUCAUAUUCACAUAGAAUUUAUAUUGUCAUAGAUCCUUCAACAUGUGGUGCUUGCCCCCCAUCUUUGCCAGCCAAAAAUUCCGCACUAAGUAGAGAUACUAGUUGUGCAUCCAAAAACCCUUAAACCCAAAUCUUAUUUUCAAGUGUCCACCAUACCUACCUAAGGAUUGAGCAAGAUCCUUCAAGUAAGUUGUCAUCGGUGCAAUAAGGCAAUAAAAAUUGCUUCUAAAAGUGUUAGAUCAGUUAGUGUAAGAGAAAAGUGAGUGUUGUAUGUACUUGUGAUGGCAAAGAAUAAAAGUAACGGACUGCAUAAUAAAGGUUGCUAUCAUAAGGGGCAAUAUAAUGUGAUGUUCUUUUGCACUAAGGGAUUGAGCUUACAAACAAAUAAGCGCAUGGCAACCUCUGCUUCCCUCUACGAAGAGCCUAUAUUUUACUUUUCAGUAUUUACUUUUAUGCAAAGAGUUAAAGUUUUUCUCUCUAUUCCUUUUUAUUUUUCUCUUUUGGCAAGCAUCACGUGGUGAGGAAAGAUCUAGGCAUAUAUGUCCAUUUGAAUAUGGGUAGCAUGAGUUAUUAUUGUUGACAUCACCCAAAGGUGAAUACGUUGGGAGGCGAAAUUAUAAGCCCCUAUCUUUCUAUGUGUCCGGUUGAAACGUUUGCUCAUGUGUAUGCGGUGAGUGUUAGCAAUCACAGAAGACUAUAUGAUGGUUGAGUAUGUGGAGCUCUUACUUAGACUCUGUUUAAUAAGUUGAAUUGCAAUUGCUUGGUGACUAAGAACAUAGGUUGUUGAGUUUCAAGAGAAUUCAUUGUUUGAACCUUAACAUGUGAAUUGGUUGCUACUAUAACAUGAGAAGUUUUAUAAGAAAGAAUUGAUGGUAUGAUGCUAGGAAAAGUGAUUGAAAUAAUCAUUGAUCAAACUUAUGCACUUUGCUAGCAUUUAGCAUUCACACUUCAUAAUUUUUUUUAUCAUUUACCUACUCGAGGACGAGUAGGAAUUAAGCUUGGGGAUGCUGAUACGUCUCCAAUGUAUCUAUAAUUUAUGAAGUAUUCAUGCUGUUAUUUUUAUCAUUCUUGGUUGUUGUACAAUCAUUUUAUAGCAAAUUUAUAUCAUUUAUUGGGACUAACCUAUUGACCCAGUGCCCAGUGCCAGUUGUUGUUUUUUGCUUGUUUUUCAUCAUAGGAAAUCAAUAUCAAACGGAGUCCAAACACCACGUAACUUUUUGGAGAUUUUUUCUGGACCAGAAGGAACCCAAUGGGCCUGAGCUGCAACUGGGGGGUGCCUCAAGGGGUCACAACCCACCAGGGUGCGCCAGGGCCCCCUGGCGCGCCCAGGUGGGUUGUGCCCACCUCGGUGGCCUCCCACACCCCCUCUUUGCACUAUAAAUUCCCAAAUAUUCUGAAAUCCUUCGGGGUAAACCUAGAUCAGAAGUUCCACCACUGCAAGGUCUUGGUAUCCAUGAAAACCAAUCUAGACCCCGUUCCGGCACCCUGCCGGAGGGGGCAAUCAUCUCCGAUGGCCAUCUUCAUCAUCCCGGAGGCCACCACGAUGAGGAGGGAGUAGUCCACCCUUGGGGUUGAGGGUUUAUACCAGUAGCUAUGUGUUUGAUCUCUCUCUCUCUCUCGCGCAUGAUCUAUAUCAUGAGCUUUAUUAAUAUAGUCGGAUCAUAUGAUGUUUCUCCCCUCUAUACUCUUGUGAUGAUGAAAUGAAUCUUUACCCUUCAAUGUUUUGUCUUGUCAGAUUGAAUAUUCAGAGAUGAGAACACAUGAUAUAUGUCUUGCAAUAUGAAUACUUGAGGUGAAAAUGAGGUAUCUUACUUAUUCACUUGAUAUGUGUUACUACAUUCAACUCGCGGAUUCCCGCAGUGAUAUUGGGGUAAUCUAUGCAUAGGGGUUGAUGCACGUUUUUCUCCAACGGAAAAUUUGGGGUCUCUUUAUAGUUCUUUGUGUGGAUUGAGUAUUAUGAAUAUGAAUUUGCUUUGGUGUUAUUCUAGUACGAACUCUAGGAUAGAUCGAACAAAAAAAUAGGCUUGUGUUAUUUUAGUACGAACUCUUGAAUAGAUCGAACGGAAAGAAUAGCUUCGAGGUCACGGAACUCUUGAAUAGAUCGAACAGAAAGAAUAGCUUUGAGGUGGUUUUGUGACCUACAAACAAUUCUUAUCUUUUGUUCUCCGCUAAUAGGAACUCGGGAGUGAUUCUUUAUUGCACUUUGAGGGAUAAUCAUAUGAUCCAACUAUGUUAGCAUUGUUGAGAGGUUGCACUAGCGAAAGUACGGAGCCUAGGCCUCAUUUUUAAGCAUUGCAACGCCGUUUUUGUGCCCAUUUACUAUGUGCUACCUUGCUGUUUUUAUUUAUUUAGAUUAUAAAAUUAUAUUUCUACCAUCCAUAUUACACUUUUAUCACCAUCUCUUCGCCGAACUAGUGCACCUAUACAAUUUUCCAUUGUAUUGGGUGUGUUGGGGACACAAGAGAUUUCUUGUAUUUGGUUACAAGGUCGUUUGAGAGAGACCAUCUUUAUCCUACACCUCUCACGGAUUGAUAAACCUUAGGUCAUCACUUGAGGGAAAAUUGCUACUGUCCUACAAAACUCUGCACUUGGAGGCCCAACAGGUGUCUACAAGAAUAAAGUUGCGUAGUAGACAUCAUUGCUUUCCACUCAAAUCAUCUUUCCACCAUAGCCAAAUCUGUGAGAGAGAGUUGAGUGUUGGGGAGACUAUCAUUUGAAGCACAAGAGCUAGGAGUUCAUCAUCAACACACCAUCUAUUACCUUUGGAGAGUGGUGUCUCCUAGAUUGAUUAGGUGUCACUUGGGAGCCUCCAUCAAGAUUGUGUAGUUGAACCAAGGAGUUUGUAAGAGCAAGGAGAUCGCCUACUUCGUGAAGAUCUACCCAAGCUAUGGCCAUGGUGGAAUAGACAAGGUUGCUUCUUCGUGGACCCUUCAUGGGUGGAUCCCUCCAUGGACCCUCGCAGCCGUUACCCUUCAUGGGUUGAAGUCUCCAUCAACGUGGAUGUACGAUAGCACCACCCACCGGAACCACGACAAAAUAUUCGUGUCAACAUUGCAUUUGCUCCCUCAAAACUCCUCCCCUUUACCUUCAUAUGCAAUGAUUUACAUUCCACUGCUAUACUCUUAGAAUUGGAUGAAGGAAAUAUGCCCUAGAGGCAAUAAUAAAGUUAUUAUUUAUUUCCUUAUAUCAUGAUAAAUGUUUAUUAUUCAUGCUAGAAUUGUAUUAACCGGAAACAUAAUACAUGUGUGAAUACAUAGACAAAAAUAGUGUCACUAGUAUGCCUCUACUUGACUAGCUCGUUUAUCAAAGAUGGUUAUGUUUCCUAGCCAUGGACAAAAGAGUUGUCAUUUGAUUAACGGGAUCACAUCAUUGGGAGAAUGAUGUGAUUGACUUGACCCAUUCCGUUAGCUUAGCACUUGAUCGUUUAGCAUAUUGCUAUUGCUUUCUUCAUGACUUAUACAUGUUCCUGUAACUAUGAGAUUAUGCAACUCCCGUUUACCGGAGGAACACUUUGGGUGCUACCAAACGUCACAACGUAACUGGGUGAUUAUAAAGGAGUACUACAGGUGUCUCCGAAGGUACAUGUUGGGUUGGUGUAUUUCGAGAUUAGGUUUUGUCACUCCGAUUGUCGAAGAGGUAUCUCUGGGCCCUCUCGGUAAUGCACAUCACUAUAAGCCUUGCAAGCAAUGUAGCUAAUGAGUUAGUUACGGAAUGAUGUAUUAUGUAACGAGUAAAGAGACUUGCCGGUAACGAGAUUGAACUAGGUAUUGGAUACCGACGAUCAAAUCUCGGGCAAGUAACAUACCGAUGACAAAGGGAACAACGUAUGUUGUUAUGCGGUUUGACGAUAAAGAUCUUCGUAGAAUAUGUGGGAGCCAAUAUGGGCAUCUAGGUCCAGCUAUUGGUUAUUGACCAGAAACAAGUUCUAGGUCAUGUCUACAUAUUCUCGAACCCGUAGGGUCCGCACGCUUAACGUUUCGUUGACGAUAUAGUAUUAUAUGAGUUAUGUAUGUUGGUAACCGAAUGUUGUUCGGAGUCUCGAAUGAGAUCAUGGACAUGACGAGGAACUCCGGAAUGGUCCGGAGAUAAAGUUUGAUAUAUGGGAUAAUAGUGUUUGAUCUCCGGAAGAGUUCCGGAAUUCACCGGAACGGGUUCCGGAUGUUUCCCGAAAUGUUUGGGUACGAGAACACGUUAUUUGGGCCAAAGGGGAAAGCCCACAAGGUUUUUGGAAAGCACAAAAGGAAGUUUUGCGGAGUCCAGGGGCCCCCUGGCGUCUGGGUCCAGACGCCGGGAACCCUGGCGUCUGGCCCUGGAGUCCGAGAAGGACUCUUGCCUUUCGGGUGAAACCGACUUUGUGGAGGCUUUUACUCCAAGUUUCGACCCCAAGGCUCAACAUAUAAAUAGAGGGGCAGGGCUAGCACCAAAGACACAUCAAGAAACACCAAGCCGUGUGCCGGCAACCCCGUCCCCUCUAGUUUAUCCUCCGUCAUAGUUUCCGUAGUGCCUAGGCGAAGCCCUGCGGAGAUUGUUCUUCACCAACACCGUCAGCACGCCGUCGUGCUGCUGGAACUCAUCUACUACUUCGCCCGUCUUGCUGGAUCGAGAAGGCGAGGACGUCAUCGAGCUGAACGUGUGCAGAACUCGGAGGUGCCGUGCGUUCGGCACUUGGAUCAGUCAGAUCGUGAAGACGUACGACUACAUCAACCGCAUUGAUAAACGCUUUCGCUUAGAGAUCUUCAAGGGUAUGAAGAUACACUCCUCCUCUCGUUGCUAUGCAUCACCAUGAUCUUGUGUGUGCAUAGAAAAUUUUGAAAUUACUAUGUUCGCCAACAGUGGCAUCCGAGCCUGGUUUUAUGUGUAGAUGUCAUAUGCACGAGUAGAACACAAGUGAGUUGUGGGCGAUACAAGUCAUACUGCUUACCAGCAUGUCAUACUUUGGCUCAGCAGUAUUGUGAGAUGAAGCGGCCCAGACCGACAUUAUGCGUACGCUUACGCGAGACUGGUUUCACCGUUACGAGCACUCAUGCUUAAAGGUGACUGGCGGGUGUCUGUCUCUCUCACUUUAGCUGAAUCGAGUGUGGCUAUGCCCGGUCCUUGCGAAGGUUAAAACAACAUUAACUUGACGAACUAUCGUUGUGGCUUUGAUUCGUAAGUAAGAACGGUUCUUGCUAAAGCCCGUAGCAGCCACGUAAAAUUUAUAACAACAAAGUAGAGGACGUCUAACUUGUUUUUGCAGGGCAUGUUGUGAUGUGAUAUGGUCAAGACGUGAUGCUAUAUUUUAUUGUAUGAGAUGAUCAUGUUUUGUAACCAAAGUUAUCGGCAACUGGCAGGAGCCAUAUGGUUGUCGCUUUAUUGUAUGAAAUGCAAACGCCCUGUAAUUGCUUUACUUUAUCACUAAGCGGUAGCGAUAGUCGUAGAAGCAAUAGAUGGCAUAACAACAACGAUGCUACGAUGGAGAUCAAGGUGUCGCGCCGGUAACGAUGGUGAUCACGACGGUGCUUCGAAGAUGGAGAUCACAAGCACAAGAUGAUGAUGGCCAUAUCAUAUCACUUAUAUUGAUUGCAUGUGAUGUUUAUCCUUUAUGCAUCUUAUCUUGCUUUGAUUGACGGUAGCAUUUUAAGAUGAUCUCUCACUAAAUUAUCAAGAAGUGUUCUCCCUGAGUAUGCACCGUUGCGAAAGUUCUUCGUGCUGAGACACCACGUGAUGAUCGGGUGUGAUAGGUUCUACGUUCAAAUACAACGGGUGCAAAAUAGUUGCACACGCGGAAUACUCAGGUUAAACUUUACGAGCCUAGCAUAUAACAGAUAUGGCCUCGGAACACGGAGACCGAAAGGUCGAGCGUGAAUCAUAUAGUAGAUAUGAUCAACAUAUUGAUGUUCACCAUUGAAACUACUCCAUCUCACGUGAUGAUCGGACAUGGUGUAGUUGAUAUGGAUCACGUAAUCGCUUAGAGGAUUAGAGGGAUGUCUAUCUAAGUGGGAGUUCUUAAGUAAUAUGAUUAAUUGAACUUUAAUUUAGCAUGAACUUAGUCCUGGUAGUAUUUUGUAAAUUAUGUUGUAGAUCAAUAGCUUGCGUUGUUGCUUUCAUAUGUUUAUUUUGAUAUGUUCCUAGAGAAAAUUGUGUUGAAAAAUGUUAGUAGCAAUGAUGCGGAUUGGAUCCGUGAUCUGAGGUUUAUCCUCAUUGCUGCACAGAAGAAUUAUGUCCUUAAUGCACCGCUAGGUGACAGACCUAUUGCAGGAGCAGAUGCAGACUUUAUGAACGUUUGGCUAGCUCAAUAUGAUGACUACUUGAUAGUUUAGUGCACCAUGCUUAACGGCUUAGAAUCGGGACUUCAAAGACGUUUUGAACGUUAUGGACCAUAUGAGAUGUUCCAGAAGUUGAAGUUAAUAUUUCAAGCAAAUACCCGAGUUGAGAGAUAUGAAGUCUCCAACAAGUUCUAUGGCUAAAAGAUGGAGGAGAAUCGCUCAACUAGUGAGCAUGUCCUUAGAUUGUCUGGGUACUACAAUCGCUUGAAUCAAGUGGAAGUUAAUCUUCCAGAUAAGAUGGUGAUUGACAGAAUUCUCUAGUCACCAUCACCAAGUUAGUAGAACUUUGUGAUGAGCUAUAGUAUGCAAGGGAUGACGAAAACGAUUCCCAAGCUCUUCGUGAUGUUGAAAUCGAUGAAGGUAGAAAUCAAGAAAGAGCAUCAAGUGUUGAUGGUUGACAAGAUCACUAGUUUCAAGUAAAGGGCAAAGGGAAGGAAAGGGAACUUCAAGUAGAAUGACAAGCAAGUUGUCACUCCCACGAAGAAGCCCAAAGCUGAACCAAAGCCUGAAACUGAGUGCUUACACUGCAAAGGAAAUGGUCACUGUAAACAGAAAUACCCUAAAUAUUUAGUGGAUAAGAAGGAUGGCAGAGUGAACAAGGGUAUAUUUGAUAUACAGAUUAUUGAUGUAUACCUUACUAGUAUUUAUAGUAGCCCCUGAGUAUUUGAUACUUGUUCGUUUGCUAAAAAUUAGUGACUCGAAAUAGGAGUUACAGAAUAAACAGAGACUAGUUGAGGGUGAAGUGACGAUGAGUGUUGGAAGUAGUUCCAAGAUUGAUAUGAUCAUCAUCGCACACUCCCUAUACUUUCGGGGUUAGUGUUAAACCUAAAUAAAUGUUAUUUGGCAUUUGCGUUGAGCGUGAAUAUGAUUCGAUCAUGUUUAUUGCAAUACGGUUAUUCAUUUAAAAUCAGAGAAUAAUUGUUGUUUUGUUUACAUGAAUAAAACCUUCAAAUGGUCAUACACCCAAUGAAAAUAGUUUGUUGGAUCUCGAUCGUAGUGAUACACAUAUUCAUAAUAUUGAUGCCAAAAGAUAGAAAGUUAAUAAUGAUAGUGCAACUUAUUUGUGGCACUGCCGUUUGGGUCAUAUCGGUGUAAAGUGCAUGAAGAAACUCGAUAAAGAUGGAUUUUCGGAAUCACUUGGUUAUGAAUCAUUUGAUGCUUGCGAACCGUGCCUUUUGGGCAAGAUGACUAAAACUCCGUUCUCCGGAACAAUGGAACGAGCUACUGACUUAUUGGAAAUAAUACAUACCGAUGUAUGCGAUCCGAUGAGUGUUAAGGCUCGUGGCAAGUAUCGUUAUUUUCUAACCUUCACAGAUGAUUUGAGCAGAUAUGGGUAUAUCUACUUAAUGAAACAUAAGUCUGAAAUAGUUGAAAAGUUCAAAGAAUUUCAAAGUGAAGUGGAAAAAUCAUCGUAACAAGAAAAAUAAAGUUUCUACGAUCUGAUCGUGGAGACGAAUAUUUGAGUUAUGAGUUUGAUAUUCAUUUGAAACAAUGUGAAAUAGUUUCGCAACUCACGCCAUCUGGAACACCACAAUGUAAUGGUGUGUCCGGACGUCGUAAUCGUACUUUACUAGAUAUGGUGCGAUCUAUGAUGUCUCUUAUCGGUUUACCACUAUCGUUUUGGGGUUAUGCAUUAGAGACAUCUGCAUUCACGUUUAAUAGGGCAACAUCUAAAUCCGUUGAGACGACACCGUAUGAACUAUGGUUUAGCAGUAAACCUAAGUUGUCGUUUCUUAAAACUUGGAGUUGUGAUGCUUAUAUGAAAAAGGUUUUCAACCUGAUAAGCUCGAACCCAAAUCGGAGAAGUGCGUCUUCAUAGAAUACCCAAAGGUAACUAUUGGGUACACCUUCUAUCACAGACCCGAAGGCAAGUUAUUCGUUGCUAAGAUGGAUCCUUUCUAGAGAAGAAGUUUCUCUCGAAAGAAGUGAGUGGGAGGAAAGUAGAACUCGAUGAGGUAAUUGUACCUUCUCCCUUAUUGGAAAGUAGUUCAUCACAGAAAUCAGUUCCAGUGAUUACUACACCAAUUAGUGAGGAAGUUACUGAUGAUGAUCAUGAAACUUCAGAUCAAGUUGCUACCAAACCUCGUAGGUCUUCCAGAGUAAGAUCCGCACCAGAGUGGUACGGUAAUCAUGUUCUGGAAGUCAUGUUACUAGACCAUGAUGAACCUACGAACUAUGAGGAAGCGAUGAUGAGCCCAGAUUCCAUGAAAUGGCUUGAGGCCAUCAAAUCUGAGAUAUGAUCCAUGUAUGAGAACAAAGUAUGGACUUUGAUUGACUUGCUCGAUAAUCAGCAAGCCAUGUUAAGUAAAUGGAUCUUCAAGAGGAAGACGGACAUUGAUAGUAGAGUUACUAUCUACUAAGCUCGACUUGUUGUGAAAGGUUUUCUACAAGUUCAAGGUGUUGAAUACGAUGAGAUUUUUCUCACUCGUAUCGAUGCUUAAGUAUGUCCGAAUCAUGUUAGCAAUUGCCACAUUUUAUGAAAUCUGGCAAAUGGAUGUCAAAACUGCAUUCCUCAAUGGAUUCUUGAAAGAAGAGUUGUAUAUGGUGCAACCAGAAAGUUUUUGUCUAUCCUAAAGAUGCUAACAAAGUGUGCAAGCUCCAGCAAUCCAUCAAUGGACUGGUGCAAGCAUCUCGGAGUUGGAAUAUACGCUUUGAUGAGUUGAUCAAAGCAUAUGAUUUUAUACGGACUUUUGGAAAGACCUGUAUUUACAAGAAAGUGAGUGGGAGCACUACAACAUUUUUGAUAAGUAUAUGUGAAUGACAUAUUAUUAAUUGGAAAUGAUGUAGAAUUUUCUGGAAAGCAUAAAGGAGUGUUUGAAAGAAAUUUUUUAAAGAAAGACCUCGGUGAAGCUGCUUACACAUUGAGCAUCAAGAUCUAUAUAGAUAGAUCAAGACGCUUGAUAAGUUUUUCAAUGAGUACAUACCUUGAUAAAUUUUUUGAAGUAGUUCAAAAUGGAACAGUCAAAGAAAGAGUUCUUGCCUGUGUUGCAAGGUGUGAAGUUGAGUAAGACUCAAAACCCGACUAUGGCAGAAAAUAGAAAGAGAAUGAAAAGUCAUUCCCUAUGCCUCAGUCAUAGGUUCUAUAAAGUAUGCUAUGCUGUGAACCAGACCUAUUGUAUACCUUGCUCUGUGUUUGGCAAAGGAAUACAAUUUUGAUCUAAUAGUAGAUCACUGGACAGCGGUCAAGAAUAUCCUUAGUGAGGACCAAGGAAAUACUUCUCGAUUAUGGAGGUGAUAAAAGAGCUCAUCGUAAAAAGUUACAUCGGUGCAAGCUUUUACACCAAUCCAGAUGACUCUAAGUCUCAAUCUGGAUACAUAUUGAAAGUGGGAGCAAUUAGCUAGAGUAGCUCCAUGCAGAGCAUUGUAGACAUUGAAUAUUUGCAAAAUACAUACGACUCUGAAUGUGACAGACCCGUAGACUAAACUUCUCUCACGAGAAAAACAUGAUCAUACCUUAGUACUCUUUGGGUUUUAAUCACAUAGCGAUGUGAACUAGAUUAUUGACUCUAGUAAACCAUUUGGGUGUUGAUCACACGACGAUGUGAACUAUGGGUGUUAAUCAUAUACAGAUAUGAAUAUUGGUGUUAAAUCACAUGAUGAUGUGAACUAGAUUAUUGACUCUAGUGCAAGUGGGAGACUGAAGGAAAUAUGCCCUAGAGGCAAUAAUAAAGUUAUUAUUUAUUUCCUUAUAUCAUGAUAAAUGUUUAUUAUUCAUGCUAGAAUUGUAUUAACCAGAAACAUAAUACAUGUGUGAAUACAUAGACAAAAAUAGUGUCACUAGUAUGCCUCUACUUGACUAGCUCGUUUAUCAAAGAUGGUUAUGUUUCCUAGCCAUGGACAAAAGAGUUGUCAUUUGAUUAACGGGAUUACAUCAUUGGGAGAAUGAUGUGAUUGACUUGACCCAUUCCGUUAGCUUAGCACUUGAUCGUUUAGUAUAUUGCUAUUGCUUUCUUCAUAACUUAUACAUGUUCCUGUAACUAUGAGAUUAUGCAACUCCCGUUUACCGGAGGAACACUUUGGGUGCUACCAAACAUCACAACGUAACUGGGUGAUUAUAAAGGAGUACUACAGGUGUCUCCGAAGGUACAUGUUGGGUUGGCGUAUUUCGAGAUUAGGUUUUGUCACUCCGAUUGUCGGAGAGGUAUCUCUGGGCCCUCUCGGUAAUACACAUCACUAUAAGCCUUGCAAGCAAUGUAGCUAAUGAGUUAGUUACGGAAUGAUGUAUUACGUAACGAGUAAAGAGACUUUCCGGUAACGAGAUUGAACUAGGUAUUGGAUACCGACGAUCAAAUCUCGGGCAAGUAACAUACCGAUGACAAAGGGAACAACGUAUGUUGUUAUGCGGUUUGACCGAUAAAGAUCUUCGUAGAAUAUGUGGGAGCCAAUAUAGGCAUCCAGGUCCCGCUAUUGGUUAUUGACCGGAAACAAGUUCUAGGUCAUGUCUACAUAGUUCUCGAACCCAUAUAGUCCGCACGCUUAACGUUUCGUUGACGAUAUAGUAUUAUAUGAGUUAUGUAUGUUGGUAACCGAAUGUUGUUCGGAGUCGCGAAUGAGAUCAUGGACAUGACGAGGAACUCCAGAAUGGUCCGGAGAUAAAGUUUGAUAUAUGGGAUAAUAGUGUUUGAUCUCCGGAAGAGUUCCGGAAUUCACCGGAAGGGGUUCCGGAUGUUUCCCGAAAUGUUUGGGUACGAGAACACGUUAUUUGGGCCAAAGGGGAAAGCCCACAAGGUUUUUGGAAAGCGCAAAAGGAAGUUUCGCGGACUCCAGGGGCCAGACACCAGGGUCCAGACGCCGGGAUCCCUGGCGUCUGGCCCUGGAGUCCGAGAAGGACUCUUGCCUUUCGGGUGAAACCGACUUUGUGGAGGCUUUUACUCCAAGUUUCAACCCCAAGGCUCAACAUAUAAAUAGAGGGGCAGGGCUAGCACCAAAGACACAUCAAGAAACACCAAGCUGUGUGCCGGCAACCCCGUCCCCUCUAGUUUAUCCUCCGUCAUAGUUUCUGUAGUGCUUAGGUGAAGCCCUGCGGAAAUUGUUCUUCACCAACACCGUCACCACGCCGUCGUGCUGCCGGAACUCAUCUACUACUUCGCCCGUCUUGCUGGAUCGAGAAGGCGAGGACGUCAUCGAGCUGAACGUGUGCAGAACUCGGAUGUGCCGUGCGUUCGGUACUUGGAUCGGUCGGAUCAUGAAGACGUACGACUACAUCAACCGCGUUGAUAAACGCUUCCGCUUAGUGAUCUUCAAGGGUAUGAAGAUACACUCCUCCUCUCGUUGCUAUGCAUCACCAUGAUCUUGUAUGUGCGUAGGAAAAUUUUGAAAUUACUAUGUUCCCCAACAUUGGAAACAUAAGAUGUCCUUACUUUGAUGGUACUAAUUUUGCUAGUUGGAAACAUAAGAUGAAAAUUACUACCGUAGAGGUCCUUACUUCGAUGGUACUAAUUUUGCUAGUUGGAAACAUAAGAUGAAAAAUGCAUAUUCUUGGACAUAACCCCACCAUUUGGGCUAUUGUGUGUAUUGGUUUGCAAGGUGAAUUCUUCGAUGGGAGAGAACCAAAUCGUGAAGCUACCACGGAAGAAUUGAAGAUGUUGCAAUAUAGUGCUCAACCUUGCGAUAUCCUCUUCAAUGGAUUGUGCCCCAAAGAAUUCAACAAAAUCAGAUGUCUUGAGAAUUCAAAGGAAAUUUGGGAUACUUUGAUUGAUAUGCAUGAAGGUACCGACUCCGUCAAGGAAUCCAAGUUGGAUGUUCUUCAAAUUCAACUUGACAAGUUCAAAAUGAAGGUGGUGAAGGUGUUGCUGAAAUGUACUCUAGGCUUGCUCUAAUCAGAAAUGAUAUUGCUGGCUUAGGAAGUGAAGAGAUGACUGACAAAUUCAUCAUCAAAAAUGUCAGGACCCCAAUCCUAAGUCACACCGGUCUAGCAUGUAACACAUCAUAUCACUUUGUGGCCUCACGCACGGUAUUUCCACGGGUGCCACCUUACCUGGCCCGGGACCGUUUGCGCCUUUUGGCUCACGUAUAUGAUAGUGCCGCUAGCAUCCAUAUGACAAAGAACCCGGGCUGACAUGGCUAGUCGUGAACCCAAAGUGGCACUAACUUACAGGGACAGGCAUACAUGACCCAACAACGAAUGUGUCGGUCAUCAGCGAGUGAAUCCGGACUGUAGCAACUGGGCUAGCAGGACUCCGGUAGACACCGCGUGACAUUUUCCCGAAGGGACAGACACAGGAACGAAGAAGGACACAUGCCGGCCAGCCUAAGUGUUCCGGAGCAGUAGCAAGCUACCAAGGCUCAGUGGAAGCACUAGGAGACAUUUCCCGGUAAGAGAGGCUACCAAGGAUAAACAACUCGAUAGUCAGAUCCCACACAUACCAAGCAUUUCAAUAACAUGUUGGGGAACGUAGUAAUUUCAAAAAAUUUCCUACGUACACGCAAGAUCAUGGUGAUGGCAUAGCAACGAGAGGGGAGAGUGUUCGUCCACGUACCCUCGUAGACCGUAAGCGGAAGCGUUAUGACAACGCGGUUGAUGUAGUCGUACGUCUUCACGAUCCGACUGAUCCAAGUACUGAACAUACGGCACCUCCAAGUUCAGCACACGUUCAGCUCGAUGACGAUCCCCGGGCUCCGAUCCAGCAAAGCUUCGGGGAUGAGUUCCGUCAGCACGACGGCGUGGUGACAAUGAUGAUGCUCUACCGGCGCAGGGCUUCGCCUAAACUCCGCGACGAUAUGACCGAGGUGGAAUAUGGUGGAGGGGGGCACCGCACACGGCUAAGGAACGAUCCGUAGAUCAACUUGUGUGUCAUGGGGUGCCCCCUGCCCCCGUAUAUAAAGGAGCAAGGGGGGAGGAGGCCGGCCCUAGGAGGGGGCGCGCCAAGUGUGGAGUCCUACUAGGACUCCCUAGUCCUAGUAGGAUUCCACCUCCCUUGUUGGAGUAGGAGAAGGGGGAAAGAGGGGGAGAGGAGGAAGGAAAAGGGGGCCGCACCCCUUGUCCAAUUCGAACCAGAGGGGGGCUGCGCGCCUCCUUCCUUUCGGCCUCUCUCCUCUAUUCCCGUAUGGCCCAAUAAGGCCCAUAUACUCCCCGGCGAAUUCCCGUAACUCUCCGGUACUCCGAAAAAUACCCGAAUCACUCGGAACCUUUCCGAACUCCGAAUAUAGUCGUCCAAUAUAUCGAUCUUUACGUCUCGACCAUUUCGAGACUCCUCGUCAUGUCCCCGAUCUCAUGCGGGACUACGAACUCCUUCGGUACAUCAAAACUCAUAAACUCAUAAUAUAACUGUCAUCAAAACCUUAAGCGUGCGGACCCUACGGGUUCGAGAACUAUGUAGACAUGACCUAGAACUAUUCUCGGUCAAUAACCAAUAGCGGAACCUGGAUGUUCAUAUUGGUUCCCACAUAUUCUACGAAGAUCUUUAUCGGUCAAACUGCAUAACAACAUACGUUGUUCCCUUUGUCAUCGGUAUGUUACUUGCCCGAGAUUCGAUCGUCGGUAUCCAAUACCUAGUUCAAUCUCGUUACCGGCAAGUCUCUUUACUCGUUACAUAAUGCAUCAUUCCAUAACUAACUCAUUAGCUACAUUGCUUGCAAGGCUUAUAGUGAUGUGCAUUACCGAGAGGGCCCAGAGAUACCUUUCUGACAAUCGGAGUGACAAAACCUAAUCUCAAAAUACGCCAACCCAACAUGUACCUUCGGAGACACCUGUAGUACUCCUUUAUAAUCACCCAGUUACGUUGUGACGUUUGGUAGCACCCAAAGUGUUCCUCCGGUAAACGGGAGUUGCAUAAUCUCAUAGUUACAGGAACAUGUAUAAGUCAUGAAGAAAGCAAUAGCAACAUACUAAACGAUCAAGUGCUAGGCUAACGGAAUGGGUCAUGUCAAUCACAUCAUUCUCCUAAUGAUGUGAUCCCGUUAAUCAAAUGACAACUAUUUUGUCCAUGGCUAGGAAACUUAACCAUCUUUGAUUCAACGAGCUAGUCAAGUAGAGGCAUACUAGUGACACUAUGUUUGUCUAUGUAUUCACACAUGUAUCAUGUUUCCGGUUAAUACAAUUCUAGCAUGAAUAAUAAACAUUUAUCAUGAAAUAAGGAAAUAAAUAAUAAUUUUAUUAUUGCCUCUAGGGCAUAUUUCCUUCAGUCUCCCACUUGCACUAGAGUCAAUAAUCUAGUUCACAUCGCCAUGUGAUUUAACACCAAUAUUCAUAUCUAUAUAUGAUUAACACCCAUAGUUCACAUCGUCAUGUGACCAACACCCAAAGGGUUUACUAGAGUCAAUAAUCUAGUUCACAUCGCUUAUGUGAUUAACACCCAAAGAGUACUAAGGUGUGAUCAUGUUUUGCUCGUGAGAGAAGCUUAGUCAACGGGUCUGUCAUAUUCGGAGCCAUAUGUAUUUUGCAAAUAUUCUAUGUCUACAAUGCUCUGCACGGAGCUACUCUAGCUAAUUGCUCCCACUUUCAAUAUGUAUCCAGAUUAGACUUACAGUCAUCUGGAUCAGUGUAAAAGCUUGCACCAAUGUAACUCUUUACGACGGGCUCUUUUAUCACCUCCAUAAUCGAGAAAUAUUUCCUUAGUUCUCACUAAGGAUAUUCUUGACCAAUGUCCAGUGAUCUACUCCUAGAUCACUAUUGUACUCCCUUAUCAAAUUCAGAGCAAGGUAUACAAUAGGUCUGGUACAUAGCAUACUUUAUAGAACCUAUGACUGAGGCAUAGGGAAUGAUUUUCAUUCUCUUUUCUAUUUUCUGCCGUGGUCGGGAUUUGAGUCUUACUCAAUUUUACACCUUUGCAACACAGGCAAGAACUCUUUCUUGGACUGUUCCAUUUUGAACUACUUCAAAAUCUUGACAAGGUAUGUACUUAUUGAAAAACGUAUCAAGCGUCUUGAUCUAUCUUAAUAGAUCUUGAUGCUCAAUAUGUAAGUAGCUUUACUGAGGUCUUUCUUUUAAAAAAAACUCCUUUCAGACACUCCUUUAUGCUUUGCAGAAUAAUUCUACAUUAUUUCCGAUCAACAAUAUGUCAUUCACAUAUACUAAUCAGAAAUGUUGUAGUGCUCCCACUCACUUUCUUGUAAAUACAGGCUUCUCUAAAAGUCUGUAUAAAACCAUAUGCUUUGAUCAACUCAUCAAAGCGUAUAUUCCAACUCCGAGAUGCUUGCACCAGUCCAUAGAUGGAUCGCUGGAGCAUGCACACUUUGUUAGCACCUUUAGGAUUGACAAAACCUUCUGGUUGCAUCAUAUACAACUCUUCUUUAAUAAAUCCGUUAAGGAAUGCAGUUUUGACAUCCAUUUGCCAGAUUUCAUAAAAUGUGGCAAUUGCUAACAUGAUUCGGAUAGACUUAAGCAUCGCUACAGUUGAGAAAAUCUCAUUGUAGUCAACACCUUGAACUUGUCAAAAACCUUUUUGCGACAAGUCAAGCUUUGUAGAUAGUAACAGUACUAUCAACGUCCAUCUUCCUUUUGAAUAUCCAUUUAUUUAACAUGGCUUGCUGAUCAUCGAGCAAGUCAAUCAAAGUCUAUACUUUGUUAUCAUACAUGGAUCCUAUCUCAGAUUUCAUGGCCUCAAGCCAUUUCGCGGAAUCUGGGCUCAUCAUCGCUUCCUCAUAGUUCGUAGGUUCAUCAUGGUCUAGUAACAUGACUUUCAGAACAGGAUUACCGUACCACUCUGAUGCGGACCGUACGCUGGAAGACCUACGAGGUUCUGUAGUAACUUGAACUGAAGUUUCAUGAUCAUCAUCAUUAGCUUCCUCAUUAAUUGGUGUAGUAAUCACUGGAACUGAUUUCAGUGAUGAACUAUUUCCUAAUUCGGGAGAAGGUACAGUUACCUCAUCAAGUUCUACUUUCCUCCCACUCACUUCUUUCGAGAGAAACUCCUUCUCUAGAAAGGAUCCAUUUUUAGCAACGAAAAUCUUGCCCUCAGAUCUGUGAUAGAAGGUGUACCCAAUAGUCUCUUUUGGGUAUCCUAUGAAGACACAUUUCUCCGAUUUGGGUUCGAGCUUAUCUGGUUGAAGUUUCUUCACAUAAGCAUCGCAGCCCCAAACUUUAAGAAAUGACAACUUUGGUUUCUUCCCAAACCAUAGUUCAUAAGGUGUUGUCUCAACGGAUUUUGAUGGUGCCCUAUUUAACGUGAAUGCGGCCGUCUCUAAAGCAUAACCCCAAAAUGAUAGCGAUAAAUCAGUAAGAGACAUCAUAGAUCGCACCAUAUCUAGUAAAGUACGAUAACAACGUUCGGACACACUAUUUCGUUGUGGUGUUCCGGGUGGCGUGAGUUGCGAAACUAUUCCGCAUUGUUUCAAGUGUAGACCAAACUCGUAACUCAAAUAUUCUCCUCCACGAUCAGAUCAUAGAAACUUUAUUUUCUUGUUAUGAUGUUUUUCCACUUCACUCUAAAAUUCUUUGAACUUUUCAAAUGUUUCAGACUUGUGUUUCGUUAAGUAGAUAUACCCAUAUCUGCUCAAAUCAUCUGUGAAGGUGAGAAAAUAACGAUACCCGCCGCGAGCCUCAACAUUCAUUGGACCACAAACAUCAGUAUGUAUGAUCUCCAACAAAUCAGUUGCUCGCUCCAUAGUUCCGGAGAACGGCGUUUUAGUCAUCUUGCCCAUGAGGCACGGUUCGCAAGUACCAAGUGAUUCAUAAUCAAGUGAUUCCAAAAGCCCAUCAGUAUGGAGUUUCUUCAUGCGCUUUACACCGAUAUGACCUAAAUGGCAGUGCCACAAAUAAGUUGCACUAUCGUUAUCAACUCUGCAUCUUUUGGUUUCAACACUAUGAAUAUGUGUAUUAAUACUAUCGAGAUUCAAUAAAAAUAGACCACUCUUCAAGGGUGCAUGACCAUAAAAGAUAUUACUCAUAUAAAUAGAACAACCAUUAUUCUCUGAUUUAAAUGAAUAACCGUCUCGCAUCAAACAAGAUCCAGAUAUAAUGUUCAUGCUCAACGCUGGCACCAAAUAACAAUUAUUUAGGUCUAAAACUAAUCCCGAUGGUAGAUGUAGAGGUAGCGUGCCGACCGCGAUCACAUCGACUUUGGAACCAUUUCCCACGCGCAUCGUCACCUCGUCCUUAGCCAAUCUUCGCUUAAUUCGUAGUCCCUGUUUCGAGUUGCAAAUAUUAGCAACAGAACCAGUAUCAAAUACCCAGGUGCUACUGCGAGCAUUAGUAAGGUACACAUCAAUAACAUGUAUAUCACAUAUACCUUUGUUCACUUUGCCAUCCUUCUUAUCCACCAAAUACUUGGGGCAGUUCCGCUUCCAGUGUCCAGUCUGCUUGCAGUAGAAGCACUCAGUUUCAGGCUUAGGUCCAGACUUGGGUUUCUUCUCUUGAGCAGCAACUUGCUUGCUGUUCUUUUUGAAGUUCCCCUUCUUCUUCCCUUUGCCCUUUUCUUGAAACUAGUGGUCUUGUCUACCAUCAACACUUGAUGUUUUUCUUGAUUUCUACCUUCGUUGAUUUUAGCAUCACGAAGAGCUUGGGAAUCUUUUCCGUUAUCCCUUGCAUAUUAUAGUUCAUCACGAAGUUCUACUAACUUGGUGAUGGUGACUAGAGAAUUCUGUCAAUCACUAUUUUAUCUGGAAGAUUAACUCCCACUUGAUUCAAGCGAUUGUAGUACCCAGACAAUCUGAGCACAUGCUCACUAGUUGAGCGAUUCUCCUCCAUCUUUUAGCUAUAGAACUUGUUGGAGAUUUUAUAUCUCUCAACUCGGGUAUUUGCUUGAAAUAUUAACUUCAACUCCUAGAACAUCUCAUAUGGUCCAUGAUGUUCAAAACGUCUUUGAAGUCCCGAUUCUAAGCCGUUAAGCAUGGUGCACUAAACUGUCAAGUAGUCAUCAUAUUGAGCUAGCCAAACGUUCAUAACGUCUGCAUCUGCUCCUGCAAUAGGUUUGUCACCUAGCGGUGCAUCAAGGACAUAAUUCUUCUGCGCAGCAAUGAGGAUAAACCUCAGAUCACGGAUCCAAUCGGCAUCAUUGCUACUAACAUUUUUCAACACAAUUUUCUCUAGGAACAUAUCAAAAUAAACAUAUGAAAGCAACAACGCAAGCUAUUGAUCUACAACAUAAUUUGCAAAAUACUACCAGGACUAAGUUCAUGAUAAAUUUAAGUUCAAUUAAUCAUAUUACUUAAGAACUCCCACUUAUAAAGACAUCCCUCUAGUCAUCUAAGUGAUUACGUGAUCCAAAUCAACUAAACCAUGUCCGAGCAUCACGUGAGAUGGAGUAGUUUCAAUGGUGAACAUCACUAUGUUGAUCAUAUCUACUAUAUGAUUCAUGUUCGACCUUUCGGUCUCCGUGUUCCGAGGCCAUAUCUGUAUAUGCUAGGCUCGUCAAGUUUAACCUGAGUAUUCCGCGUGUGCAACUGUUUUGCACCCGUUGUAUUUGAACGUAGAGCCUAUCACACCCGAUCAUCACGUGGUGUCUCAGCACGAAGAACUUUCGCAACGGUGCAUACUCAGGGAGAACACUUCUUGAUAAUUAGUGAGAGAUCAUCUUAAAAUGUUACCGUCAAACAAAACAGAAUAAGAUGUAUAACAGAUAAACAUUAUAUGCAAUCAAAAUAUGUGACAUGAUAUGGCCAUGAUCAUUUUGCGCCUUUGAUAUCCAUCUCCAAAGUACUGUCAUGAUCUCUAUCGUCACCGGCACGACACCAUGAUCUUCAUCAUCUUGAUCUAUAUCAAUGUGUCGUCACAUGGUCAUCUCGCCAACUAUUGCUCUUGCAACUAUUGCUAUCGCAUAGCGAUAAAGUAAAGCAAUUAUUUUGCACUUGCAUCUUAUGCAACAAAGAGACAAGCAGAGGGCUUCUGCCAGUCACCGAUAACUUCGGUUACAAAACAUGAUCAUCUCAUACAAUAAAAUAUAGCAUCACGUCUUGACCAUAUCACAUCAUAACAUGCCCUGCAAAAACAAGUUAGACAUCCUCUACUUUGUUGUUGCAAAUUUUACGUGGCUGCUACGGGCUUAACAAGAACCGUUCUUACCUACGCAUCAAAACCACAACGAUAGCGGAACCUGGAACUAUUCUCGGUCAAUAACCAAUAGCGGAACCUGGAUGCCCAUAUUGGUUCCUACAUAUUCUAUGUAGAUCUUUAUCGGUCAAACCGCAUAACAACAUACGUUGUUCCCUUUGUCAUUGGUAUGUUACUUCCCCGAGAUUCGAUCGUCGGUAUCCAAUACCUAGUUCAAUCUCGUUACCGGCAAGUCUCUUUACUUGUUACAUAAUGCAUCAUUCCAUAACCAACUCAUUUGGUCACAUUGCUUGCAAGGCUUAUAAAGAUGUGCAUUACCGCGAGGGCCCAGAGAUACCUCUCCGACAAUCGGAGUGACAAAACCUAAUCUCGAAAUACGCCAACUCAACAUGUACCUUCGGAGACACCUGUAGUACUCCUUUAUAAUCACCCAGUUAUGUUGUGACGUUUGGUAGUACCCAAAGUGUUCCUCCGGUAAACGGGAGUUGCAUAAUUCUCAUACUUACAGGAACAUGUAUAAGUCAUGAAGAAAGCAAUAGCAACAUACUAAACGAUCAAGUGCUAGGCUAACGGAAUGGGUCAUGUCAAUCACAUCAUUCUCCUAAUUAUGUGAUCCCAUUAAUCAAAUGACAACUCUUUUGUCCAUGGCUAGGAAACAUAACCAUCUUUGAUAAACGAGCUAGUCAAGUAGAGGCAUACUAGUGACACUAUGUUUGUCUAUGUAUUCACACAUGUAUUAUGUUUCCGAUUAAUACAAUUCUAGCAUGAAUAAUAAACAUUUAUCAUGAAAUAAGGAAAUAAAUAAUAACUUUAUUAUUGCCUCUAGGGCAUAUUUCUUUUAGUCUCCCACUUGCACUAGAGUCAAUAAUCUAGUUCACAUCGCUAUGUGAUUUAACACCAAUAUUCACAUCUGCAUGUGAUUAAUACCCAUAGUUCACAUCAUCAUGUGAUCAACACCCAAAGGGUUUACUAGAGUCAAUAAUCUAGUUCACAUCGCUAUGUGAUUAACACCCAAAGGGUUUACUAGAGUCAAUAAUCUAGUUCACAUCGCAAUGUGAUUAACACCCAAAAGAGUACUCCGGUAUGAUCAUGUUUUGCUCGUGAGAGAAGCUUAGUUACUGGGUCUGUCAUAUUCAGAGCCGUAUGUAUUUUGCAAAUAUUCUAUGUCUACAAUGCUAUGCGCGGAGCUACUCUAGCUAAUUGCUCCCACUUUCAAUAUGUAUCCAGAUUGAGACUUUAGAGUCAUCUGGAUUGGUGUAAAAGCUUGCAUCGUUGUAACUUUUAUGACGGGCUCUUUUAUCACCUCCAUAAUCGAGAAACAUCUCCUUAGUCCUCACUAAGGAUAUUCUUGACCCAUGUCCAGUGAUCUACUUAUUAGAUCAAAAUUGUAUUCCUUUGCCAAACACAGAGCAAGGUAUACAAUAGGUCUGGUUCACAGCAUAGCAUACUUUAUAGAACCUGUGACUGAGGCAUAGGGAAUGACUUUUCAUUCUCUUUCUAUUUUCUGCAAUGGUCGGGUCUUGAGUCUUACUCAACUUCACACCUUGUAAUACAGGCAAGAACUCCUUCUUUGACUGUUCCAUUUUGAACUAUUUCAAAAAUUUAUCAAGGUAUGUACUCAUUGAAAAAUCUUAUCAAGCGUCUUGAUCUAUCUAUAUAGAUCUUGAUGCUCAAUGUGUAAGCAGCUUCACUGAGGUCUUGCUUUGAAAAACUCUUAUCCAAGUAUCCUUUCAUGCUAUCCAUAAUUUCCAUAUCAUUUCCAAUUAACAAUAUGUCAUCCACAUAUAAUAUUAGAAAUGCUACAGAGCUCCCACUCACUUUCUUGUAAAUACAGGCUUCUUCAAAAGUCUGUAUAAAACCAUAUGCUUUGAUCAACUCAUCAAAGCGUAUAUUCCAACUCCGAGAUGCUUGCACCAGUCCAUAGAUGGAUCGCUGGAGCUUGCACACUUUGUUAGCAUCUUUAGGAUUGACAAAAACUUUCUGGUUGCAUCAUAUACAACUCUUCUUUAAUAAAUCCAUUAAGGAAUGCAGUUUUGACAUCCAUUUGCCAGAUUUCAUAAAAUGUGGCAAUUGCUAACAUGAUUCAGACAGACUUAAGCUUCGAUACGAGUGAGAAAAUCUCAUCGUAUUCAACACCUUGAACUUGUUGAAAACCUUUCGCAACAAGUCGAGCUUAGUAGGUAGUAACACUACUAUCAGUGUCCGUCUUCCUCUUGAAGAUCCAUUUAUUUAACAUGGCUUGCUGAUCAUCGAGCAAGUCAAUCAAAGUCCAUACUUUGUUCUCAUAUAUGGAUCAUAUCUCAGAUUUUAUGGCCUCAAGCCAUUUCGUGGAAUCUGGGCUCAUCAUCGCUUCCUCAUAGUUCGUAGGUUCAUCAUGGUCCAGUAACAUGACUUCCAGAACAGGAUUACCGUACCACUCUGGUGCAAACCGUACUCUGGAAGACCUACGAGGUUCUGUAGUAACUUGAUCUGAAGUUUCAUGAUCAUCAUCAUUAGUUUCCUCAUUAAUUGGUGUAGGAAUCACUGGAACUGAUUUCAGUGAUGAAUUAUUUCCAAUUCAGGAGAAGGACUAUUACCUUAUCAAGUUCUACUUUUCUCCCACUUACUUCUUUCGAGAGAAACUCCUUCUCUAGAAAGGAUCCAUUCUUAGCAACGAAUGUUUUGCCUUUGGAUUUGUGAUAGAAGGAGUACCCAAUAGUUUCCUUUGGGUAUUCUAUGAAGACGCACUUCUCCGAUUUGGGUUCGAGCUUAUCAGGUUGAAAACCUUUUUCAUAUAAGCAUCGCAACUCCAAUCUUUAAAAAACGACAGCUUAGGUUUACUUCUAAACCAUAGUUCAUACGAUGUCGUCUCAACGGAUUUAGAUGGUGCCCUUUUAACGUGAAUGCAGCUGUCUCUAAUGCAUAACCCCAAAACGAUAAUGGUAAAUCAGUAAGAGACAUCAUAGAUCGCACCAUAUCCAAUAAAGUGCGGUUACGACGUUCGGACACACCAUAACAUUGUGGUGUUCCAGGUGGCGUGAGCUGUGAAACUAUUCCACAUUGUUUUAAUUGAAGACCAAACUCGUAACUCAAAUAUUCGUCUCCGCGAUCAGAUCGCAGAAACUUUAUUUUCUUGUUACGAUGAUUUUUCCACUUCACUCUGAAAUUCUUUGAACCUUUCAACUAUUUCAGACUUAUGUUUCAUCAAGUAGAUAUACCCAUAUCUGCUCAAAUCAUCUUGUGAAGGUCAGAAAAUAACGAUACUUGCCACGAGCAUCAACACUCAUUGGAUCGCAUACAUCGGUAUGUAUUAUUUCCAAUAAGUCAGUAGCUUGUUCCAUUGUUCCGGAGAACGGAGUUUUAGUCAUCUUGCCUAAAAGGCACGGUUCGCAAGCAUCAAAUGAUUCAUAACCAAGUGAUUCCGAAAAUCCAUCUUUAUGGAGUUUCUUCAUGCGCUUUACACCGAUAUGACCCAAAUGGCAGUGCCACAAAUAAGUUGCACUAUCAUUAUCAACUUUGCAUCUUUUGGCAUCAAUAUUAUGAAUAUGUGUAUCACUACGAUCGAGAUCCAACAAACUAUUUUCAUUGGGUGUAUGACCAUCAAAGGUUUUAUUCAUUUAAACAGAACAACAAUUAUUCUCUGAUUUUAAAUGAAUAACCGAAUUGCAAUAAACAUGAUCAAAUCAUAUUCAUGCUCAACGCAAACACCAAAUAACAUUUAUUUAGGUUCAACACUAAUCCCGAAAGUAUAGUGAGUGUACGAUGAUGAUCAUAUCAAUCUUGGAACCACUUCCAACACACAUCGUCAGUUCACCCUCAACUAGUUUCUGUUUAUUCUGUAACUCCUGUUUCGAGUUACUAAUCUUAGCAACCGAACAAGUAUCGAAUACUCAGGGGUUACUAUAAACACUAGUAAGGUACACAUCAAUAACAUGUAUAUCAAAUAUACCCUUGUUCACUUUGCCAUCUUUCUUAUCCACCAAAUAUUCAAGGUAUUUCCGUUUCCAGUGACCAUUUCCUUUGCAGUGUAAGCACUCAGUUUCAGGCUUUGGUUCAGCUUUGGGAUUCUUCGGGGAAGUGACAACUUGUUUGCCAUUCUACUUGAAGUUUCCCUUUCUUUCCCUUUGCCCUUUUCUUGAAACUAGUGGUUUUGUCAAUCAUCAACACUUGAUGCUCUUUCUUGAUUUCUACCUUCGUCGAUUUCAACAUCACGAAGAGCUUGGGAAUUGUUUUCGUCAUCCCUUGCAUAUUAUAGUUCAUCACGAAGUUCUAGUAACUUAGUGAUGGUGACUAGAGAAUUCUGUCAAUCACUAUCUUAUCUGGAAGAUUAACUCCCACUUGAUUCAAGUGAUUGAAGUACCCAGACAAUCUGAGCACAUGCUUACUAGUUGAGCGAUUCUCCUCCAUCUUUUAGCUAUAGAACUUGUUGGAGACUUCAUAUCUCUCAACUUGGGUAUUUGCUUGAAAUAUUAACUUCAAUUCCUGGAACAUCUCAUAUGGUCCAUGACGUUCAAAACAUCUUUGAAGUCCCGAUUCUAAGCCGUUAAGCAUGGUGCACUAAACUAUCAAGUAGUCAUCAUAUUGAGCUAGCCAAACGUUCAUAACGUCUGCAUCUGCUCCUGCAAUAGGUCUGUCACCUAGCGGUGCAUUAAGGACAUAAUUCUUCUGUGCAGCAAUGAGGAUAAACCUCAGAUCACUGAUCCAAUCCGCAUCAUUGCUACUAACAUCUUUCAACACAAUUUUCUCUAGGAACAUAUCAAAAUAAACAUAUGAAAGCAACAACGCAAGCUAUUGAUCUACAACAUAAUUUGCAAAAUACUACCAGGACUAAGUUCAUGAUAAAUUUAAGUUCAAUUAAUCAUAUUACUUAAGAACUCCCACUUAGAAAGACAUACCUCUAAUCCUCUAAGUGAUUACGUGAUCCAUAUCAACUAAACCAUGUCCGAUCAUCACGUGAGAUGGAGUAGUUUCAAUGGUGAACAUCACUAUGUUGAUCAUAUCUACUAUAUGAUUCACGUUUGACCUUUCGGUCUCCGUGUUCCGAGGCCAUAUCUGUAUAUGCUAGGCUCGUCAAGUUUAACCUGAGUACUCCGCGUGUGCAACUGUUUUGCACCCGUUGUAUUUGAACGUAGAGCCUAUCACACCCGAUCAUCACGUGGUGUCUCAGCAGGAAGAACUUUCGCAACAGUGCAUACUCAGGGAGAACACUUCUUGAUUAUUAAGUGAGAGAUCAUCUUAAAAUGCUACCGUCAAUCAAAGCAAGAUAAGAUGCAUAAAGGAUAAACAUCACAUGCAAUCAAUAUAAGUGAUAUGAUAUGGCCAUCAUCAUCUUGUGCUUGUGAUCUCCAUCUUCGAAGCACCGUCGUGAUCACCAUCGUCACCGGCGCGACACCUUGAUCUCCAUCGUAGCAUCGUUGUUGUUAUGCCAUCUAUUGCUUCUACGACUAUCGCUACCGCUUAGUGAUAAAGUAAAGCAAUUACAGGGCGUUUGCAUUUCAUACAAUAAAGCGACAACCAUAUGGCUCCUGCCAGUUGCCGAUAACUUCGGUUACAAAACAUGAUCAUCUCAUACAAUAAAAUAUAGCAUCAUGUCUUGACCAUAUCACAUCACAACAUGCCCUACAAAAACAAGUUAGACGUCCUCUACUUUGUUGUUGCAAUUUUUACGUGGCUGCUACGGGCUUAGCAAGAACCGUUCUUACCUACGCAUCAAAACCACAACGAUAGUUUGUCAAGUUGGUGCUGUUUUAACCUUCGCAAGGACCGGGCGUAGCCACACUCGGUUCAACUAAAGUGAGAGAGACAGACACCCAUCAGUCACCUUUAAGCAACGAGUGCUCGUAGAGGUGAAACCAGUCUCGCGUAAGCGUACGCGUCCGGGCCGCUUCAUCUCACAAUGCCGCUGAACCAAAGUAUGACAUGCUGGUAAGCAGUAUGACUUAUAUCGCCCACAACUCACUUGUGUUCUACUCGUGCAUAUAACAUCAACGCAUAAAACCUAGGCUCUGAUGCCACUGUUGGGGAACGUAGUAAUUUAAAAAAAAUCCUACGUACACGCAAGAUCAUGGUGAUGGCAUAGUAACGAGAGGAGAGAGUGUUGUCCACAUACCCUCGUAGACCGUAAGCGGAAGCGUUAUGACAACGCGGUUGAUAUAGUCGUACGUCUUCACAAUCCGAUCGAUCCAAGUACCGAACGUACGGCACCUCCGAGUUCAGCACAUGUUCAGCUCGAUGACGAUCCCCGGACUCCGAUCCAGCAAAGUGUCGGGGAUGAGUUCUAUCAGCACGACGGCAUGGUGACGAUGAUGAUGCUCUACCGGCGCAGGGCUUCGCCUAAACACCGCGAUGAUAUGACCGAGGUGGAAUAUGGUGGAGGGGGGCACCGCAUACGGCUAAGGAACGAUCCGUAGAUCAACUUGUGUCUCAUGGGGUGCCCCCUUGCCCCCGUAUAUAAAGGAGCAAGGGGAGGAGGCGGCCGGCCAGGGAGAGGUGCGCCAAGGGGAGUCCUACUCCCACCGGGAGUAGGACUCCCUCCUUCCUUGUUGGAGUAGGAGAAGGGGGAAAGAGGAGGAGAGGAAGGAAGGAAAGAGGGGCUGCACCCCUUGUCCAAUUCGGACCAGAGGGGGGCUGCGCGCCUCCUUCCUUUCGGCCUCUCUCCUCAAUUCCCGUAUGGCCCAAUAAGGCCCAUAUACUCCCCGGCGAAUUCCCGUAACUCUCCGGUACUCUGAAAAAUACCCGAAUCACUCGGAACCUUUCCGAACUCUGAAUAUAGUCGUCCAAUAUAUCGAUCUUUACGUCUCGACCAUUUUGAGACUCCUCGUCAUGUCCCCGAUCUCAUCCGGGACUCCGAACUCCUUCGGUACAUCAAAACUCAUAAAUUCAUAAUAUAACUGUCAUCAUAACGUUAAGCGUGCGGACCCUACGGGUUCGAGAACUAUGUAGACAUGACCUAGAACUAUUCUCGGUCAAUAACCAAUAGCGGAACCUGGAUGCCCAUAUUGGUUCCUACAUAUUCUACGAAGAUCUUUAUCGGUCAAACCGCAUAACAACAUACGUUGUUCCCUUUGUCAUUGGUAUGUUACUUGCCCGAGAUUUGAUCGUCGGUAUCCAAUACCUAGUUCAAUCUCGUUACCGGCAAGUCUCUUUACUCGUUCCGUAAUGCAUCAUUCCGUAACCAACUCAUUUGGUCACAUUGCUUGCAAGGCUUAUAAAGAUGUGCAUUACCGAGAGGGCCCAGAGAUACCUCUCCGACAAUCGGAGUGAGAAAACCUAAUCUCAAAAUACGCCAACUCAACAUGUACCUUCGGAGACACCUGUAGUACUCCUUAAUAAUCACCCAGUUAUGUUGUGACGUUUGGUAGUACCCAAAGUGUUCCUCCGGUAAACGGGAGUUGCAUAAUUCUCAUAGUUACAGGAACAUGUAUAAGUCAUGAAGAAAGCAAUAGCAACAUACUAAACGAUCAAGUGCUAGGCUAACGGUAUGGGUCAUGUCAAUCACAUCAUUCUCCUAAUGAUGUGAUCCCAUUAAUCAAAUGACAACUCUUUUGUCCAUGGCUAGGAAACAUAACCAUCUUUGAUAAACGAGCUAGUCAAGUAGAGGCAUACUAGUGACACUAUGUUUGUCUAUGUAUUCACACAUGUAUUAUGUUUCCGAUUAAUACAAUUCUAGCAUGAAUAAUAAACAUUUAUCAUGAAAUAAGGAAAUAAAUAAUAACUUUAUUAUUGCCUCUAGGGCAUAUUUCCUUCAGUUGGUGUGUGCUAUGUGCUCCUGGUGAGGUGUGGAGCACGGUGGUGUGCCCGGCUUUGAGCCACGGUGGCUCUGGCCACGACGACGACGAGGCACGGCGGUGGCGAGCUUCGGCCGUGGUGGAAGACAGAGCUAGGGGACGGGAACGGAGGGGGCGAGCAAGGGGAAAGAAUCAGGAGCUCACAGGGAGUCGUACGGCGGUCUCAGCGGGCUCGGGGACGGGCUGGAGACGAGGUGUGGUUGCCGGCGAUCUCGGAUGCCCGAGGAGGAAGACGAGGGUGAAGACGGCUCCACAGGGUGUCCGGGCUCGUGCAGCUCGUUGAAGAGGAAGAAGACGUCGACGCGGACCUCGGGGACGGGUCGAGGGGGCAUGGCAACGGCGGUGAGCGUGCGGGCGGCGAGCGCGCGGCUGCGGCUGCGCUCGGGUGGGUGCGCGUGAGAGGGACAGGGGAGGGGAUAAGCACGGGGAAGGAGUGAGAGGGCCCCGGGGGUGCGUGGCAUCUCCGUGGCGUCGUCUAGGAGCACCGGGGAGGAGCCAGGCAGGCAGGGAGGGAGGAGGUGGCCGGCGCGGGGCGGCCACGCGCCUCCGUCCUUCUGGCGAGGGAGGAAGAUGACAGGGAGGAGGCGGUGGUGGGCUGGGCCGCAGGUGGGCCAGCACAGGAGCUGGGCCGGGGUAAGUGGGCUGCCAGGUAAGUUCUUCUGCUCUGUUUUAUAUUUUCUGUUUUGUUUUCUUUUUUCAUACUGUAUUUCUUUUGCCACUGAAUUCAAAUUUAAACAACUUGAAAAUAGUGCCAAAAUUCCCUUGCAUAUUUUUAUGUCACAUAAUGGACUUCUCCACAUAUACGUAAAAUAUCACAGGCUUUUGAAACUAUAAUCAUUAUAUAUUAUGAAUAUAACUUCAAAUCCAAAUACAAUAUGAUUUAAAUUCAAUGUCCCAAAAUAUUCCAUAAAAAUGUUCCAGAAUUUUGAUUUGGUAUAUAUCUCUUGCCAAAAUUACCAGAAUGAUUUUUAGGGAAUUUUGGAAUCACUGAAUGCAAUUUAAAGGGUUCUUGCCCUUCUUUUAGAAAGUUUUGAGGCUUUCUAAUUUCCUCAGUUCAAAUUUCUUGAAUUUAAACAUGAUGCAACACCAGAUACUAGCACUUGGCAUUAUCAGAACUAGGGAUGUGACAACUCACCCCCACUAAACAAGAAUCUCGUCCCGAGAUUCAAGCAUAGGGUAAGAUGAAGGGGAAUGCAAACUAACAUAAUCUUCACGAUCCAAGUGGCACUUCAAAGAAUGUUGACUCGAUCACCAUCAUUGUCUCGAUGUCUUGCCCCGAGAAAUCCAACUAACAUGACAAUGAGAGGGAAAGGAAAACUCUAGAGGGAUCGAUCUUAUCGAAGGUCGAACAACUUAGGAUCAACUCAGGGAAUGAGACAUAGCAACAUCUCUCAAGAUGAGACACGAAGCAUACAUCUAGAGAGAUGGAGUGGAACAGAUGACAAAGGUUCACUAGGUAGAAACCAAUUCCACACUUAAAGAGGGUGGUGAACGGUUGUCAACAUAGUGAGGAGUUGAAUUGCCAUGAUACCAUAACGAGACAUCUUGGAGGAGGUAACUCGUGGAGUCAUCCCUUAAGUGGCAAAAAGAAUUACCUUUAAUUCAAAGAUCAUUGAAACUCUUUAUACUGGCUUAAGGCAAAUCACAAAUGAUCAUUUGGAAGAGUUCGAAAGAGUGGCAUACUCAAUUUGGAAAGGAAACUAGAGUUAGAAGACAACUCGGCAAACGGAAGGCACAACCCAAUGGAUACCGGGGAUAUAACCUAGUGACUGAGCGUGCUCUCAAGAACUUGAGCAUUUCCAUAUUCAUCAGGGUCUUACCAACAUCCGUGUCAAGGAUCCUGGCAACACAACAUACUACCAUGACGAAUGGUGAUGGGGGAUGCCGAUGCGAAGGAAGAUAACACUUUCUCAGAUUUCACCUUAGCGAGGCCAAGGGAUCAAAAUCUGGAUGCUUGACCAAGAAACAUUUAGCACUCCGCUUCUAAUGUUCUCCUUGAUGUUCUACAUACCACAGUCAUGAUUAAAGCAUUAACGUGGCCAUCAAGUAUAGGCCAGACUUCGGAAGAGAAAGGAUUUAUAAGGAACACUUCUAGAAAAGUCACAUGAAAUCCUUAUGGAGAAGAUGGGAAAAUUGCUCAUUCAAGAUACUACAAUGAUAGAUCUUCCGGCUAGGUGUGUCGGCCAACAUCAACCUUGUCGGGACCUACAUCAUAGAUCUUGGAAUAGUUCCAACCAUCAUAUCUGCCUGAGAUUCAGAUCUGGUUGGUAACAGGACAUUUUAGGCAGCAUGUCCGGAAAAGAAAAUUUGCAACACAAACCGAACAGAUGACGUUGCGAGAUUCUCAGGAAAAGGAACUACGAUAGCAUGCUCCAAAACAUGAGCUGGUUCUGCUACAAACCUAUGAACACGCUGUCCAAGACAAGCAUGACCACGUAGUAGUCUUAUAAUAAAAACACUACCGAGUUCAAGUGGGGAACCAUCAUCAAGGAUAUCAAAGUCCUUGUAUAAGUCUUGCUCUUAAGAAGGAACUUCUUCUCCUUGAACAAAUCAAUCAGUGGCUUGGUGUGCUAGGAAUAAAUAUAGAAUGAAGGUUGCAAGUCUCCAAACCACAGAAUACUUCGCACGUAUACAUGACUGACUUGGGAUGGUUCCAAAGAAAGCAACAUUGACUUUCUCGAAUCCACGGCGGCAACUUGCAUCAAAUGCACAUGAAUUAGAGGAAGUCACUUCUUUCAUCUGGGCAUGUGCUUCAUGCAUGGGACAUGAAGAUAAUGCUUAUAGAAGUUUCCAAUACUAGCUGGAUGUUCAACAAAAUUAUGGAAAAGACAAGGAUGUUGUCGAUGGGAUCAACAACAAUUCAUCCAGGUUUUCAUAUAAAUGGAAUUCCAUAAUUAUGUGAACAGGUAAUAGCAUUGGUCUGAACAGAAGAUAUAAUGGAGUAUGCUCGAGGAGGAACCACGAGUAAGACAACAUUACGAACAUCGUUGGUUCUGAUUUGAUUUGGGAAUAGCCCACACUCAAAUCAAAGUUCUGAUAAGAUAAUAGGUCCAACAACUGAUCACACGGACCAAUCGAUGAAGAUAUCAUCUUUCUUCAACAUACAUACAAGAUAUCCCUUACAAUGAACUAAAUCGGACAAGCUUCUAUCUUCCAACUCUCCAAGUUGUUGUUCAGCUUAACCAACUAGCUCAGGGGUACCCAACACAGAUUCUUGGAGAAGGGGUGGUUAUAAGCAAACCAACUUGAUCACGAACUCAACAUAGCGGUCAGGUGACGACCUGGUAAUACUUCCGAGAGGAUAUUCGGAACAUCACGAACCACCGAUAUGUUAUUAAGCUUGAGAACAAUCUUACUUUUCAGGGCAAGAUGAUAUGAUCAAAAGAGCGAGGAUUCGAAAUAAUCCUAACUCAUCGAUCAAAGAGUGCACCAGGAAAAUGGACUAGGUAGCACGAUCAAUCUUAGAAUGAUGAUUCAAGAACCAACAUGCUAAGAAUGAAAUUAUUGUCCAUUAACUACCAAGCAACAAGGUUGCUAGGAGUAUUGAUUUCACACAUCAUAGUUCAUCUGUCGGCAUUUUGGUUGCAACAACACGGGGACCAAGGAAUGAAUAAUGAGGGCGAGAAGUAUCACUGUAUCAAGAGUUCAUAAGAUGGUGUGCAAUUCCUAUGAUAUUCUUGAUAUAAAGAUGGUAACACUCCAAGGUGGAACAGAACAAAAACUAGAUUAGUAUUUUGAUCUGCGUGAAGGAAAUAUGCCCUAGAGGCAAUAAUAAAGUUAUUAUUUAUUUCCUCAUAUCAUGAUAAAUGUUUAUUAUUCAUGCUAGAAUUGUAUUAACCGGAAACAUGAUACAUGUGUGAAUACAUAGACAAACAUAUAGUCACUAGUAUGCCUCUACUUGACUAGCUCAUUAAUCAAAGAUGGUUAUGUUUCCUAACCAUAGACAUGUGUUGCCAUUUGAUUAAUGUGAUCACAUCAUUAGAAGAAUGAUGUGAUUGACAUGACCCAUUUCGUUAGCCUAGCACUUGAUGGUUUAGUAUGCUGCUAUUGCUUUCUUCAUGACUUAUACAUGUUCCUGUAACUAUGAGAAAUAUGCAACUCCCGUUUACCGGAGGAACACUUUGGGUACUACCAAACAUCACAAUGUAACUGGGUGAUUAUAAAGGAGUACUAUAGGUGUCUCCAAAGGUACAUGUUGAGUUGGCGUAUUUCGAGAUUAGGUUUUGUCACUCCGAUUGUUGGAGAGGUAUCUCUGGGCCCUCUCGGUAAUGCACAUCAUUAUAAGCCUUGCAAGAAAUGUGACCAAAUGAGUUGGUUACGGGAUGAUGCAUUACGGAACGAGUAAAGAGACUUGCCGGUAAUGAGAUUGAACUAGGUAUUGGAUACCGACGAUCAAAUCUCGGGCAAGUAACAUACCGAUGACAAAGGGAACAACGUAUAUUGUUAUGCGGUUUGACCGAUAAAGAUCUUCGUAGAAUAUGUAGGAACCAGUAUGGGCAUCCAGGUCCCGCUAUUGGUUAUUGACCGAGAAUGGUUCUAGGUCAUGUCUACAUAGUUCUCGAACCCGUAGGGUCCGCACGCUUAACAUUACGAUGACAGUUUUAUUAUGAGUUUAUAAGUUUUGAUGUACCAAAGUUUGUUCGGAGUCCCGGAUGUGAUCACGGACAUGACGAGGAGUCUCGAAAUGGUUGAGACAUAAAGAUUGAUAUAUUGGACGACUAUAUUCGGACACCGGAAGUGUUCCGGGUGAUUUCAGAGAAAACCGGAGUGCCGGAGGGUUACCGGAACCCACCCCGGAGAGUUAAUGGGCCACAUGGGCCUUGGUGGGAAGAGAGAGGGGUGGCCAGGAAGGGCCGCGCGCCCCCUCUCCCUCUGGUCCGAAUUGGACUAGGAGGGGGGGGGGGCGGCGCCCCCUUCUUUCCUUCCCCUCCUCUCCCCUUCCUUCCCCUCCUAGUAGGAGUAGGAAAGGAGGAGUCCUACUCCUACUAGGAGGAGGACUCCUCUUCCUGGCGCGCCCAACAAGGGCCGGCCGGCCUCCCCCCUCCCUCCUUUAUAUACGGGGGCAGGGGGCACCCCAUAGACACAGAAGUUGAUCUACGGAUCGUUCCUUAGCCGUGUGCGGUGCCCCCCUCCACCAUAUUCCACCUCGGUCAUAUCGUCGCGGAGUUUAGGCGAAGCCCUGCGCCGGUAGAACAUCAUCAUCGUCACCACGCUGUCGUGCUGACGGAACUCAUCCCCGAAGCUUUGCUGGAUCGGAGCCCGGGGAUCGUCAUCGAGCUGAAAAUGUGCUGAACUCGGAGGUGCCGUACGUUCGGUACUUGGAUCGGUCGGAUCGAGAAGACGUACGACUACAUCAACCGCGUUGUCAUAACGCUUCCGCUUACGGUCUACGAGGGUACGUGGACGGACAUUCUCCCCUCUCGUUGCUAUGCCAUCACCAUGAUCUUGCGUGUACGUAGGAAUUUUUUUGAAAUUACUACGUUCCCCAACAGUGGCAUCCUAGCCUAGGUUUUAUGCGUUGAUGUUAUAUGCACGAGUAGAACACAAGUGAGUUGUGGGCGAUAUAAGUCAUACUGCUUACCAGCAUGUCAUACUUUGGUUCAGCGGCAUUGUGAGAUGAAGCGGCCCGGACUGACAUUACGUGUACGCUUAUGCGAGACUGGUUUCACCGCUACGAGCACUCGUUGCUUAAAGGUGACCGGCGGAUGUCUGUCUCUCUCACUUUAGUUGAACCGAGUGUGGCUACGCCCGAUCCUUGCGAAGGUUAAAACAGCACCAACUUGAUAAACUAUCGUUGUGGUUUUGAUGCGUAGGUAAGAACGGUUCUUGCUAAGCCCGUAGCAGCCACGUAAAAUUUGCAGCAACAAAGUAGAGGACGUCUAACUUGUUUUUGCAGGGCAUGUUGUGAUGUGAUAUGGUCAAGACGUGAUGCUAUAUUUUAUUGUAUGAGAUGAUCAUGUUUUGUAACCGAAGUUAUCGGCAACUGGCAGGAGCCAUAUGGUUGUCGCUUUAUUGUAUGAAAUGCAAACGCCCUGUAAUUGCUUUACUUUAUCACUAAGCGGUAGCGAUAGUCGUAGAAGCAGUAGAUGGCAUAACAACAACGAUGCUACGAUGGAGAUCAAGGUGUCGCGCCGGUGACGAUGGUGAUCACGAUGGUGCUUCGAAGAUGGAGAUCACAAGCACAAGAUGAUGAUGGCCAUAUCAUAUCACUUAUAUUGAUUGCAUGUGAUGUUUAUCCUUUAUGCAUCUUAUCUUGCUUUGAUUGACGGUAGCAUUUUAAGAUGAUCUCUCACUUAAUAAUCAAGAAGUGUUCUCCCUGAGUAUGCACUGUUGCGAAAGUUCUUCGUGCUGAGACACCACGUGAUGAUCGGGUGUGAUAGGCUCUACGUUCAAAUACAACGGGUGCAAAACAGUUGCACACGCGGAGUACUCAGGUUAAACUUGACGAGCCUAGCAUAUACAGAUAUGGCCUCGGAACACGGAGACCGAAAGGUCGAACGUGAAUCAUAUAGUAGAUAUGAUCAACAUAGUGAUGUUCACCAUUGAAACUACUCCAUCUCACGUGAUGAUCGGACAUGGUUUAGUUGAUAUGGAUCACGUAAUCACUUAGAGGAUUAGAGGUAUGUCUUUCUAAGUGGGAGUUCUUAAGUAAUAUGAUUAAUUGAACUUAAAUUUAUCAUGAACUUAGUACCUGAUAGUAUUUUGCUUGUCUAUGUUUGUUUGUAGAUAGAUGGCUCGUGCUAUUGUUCCGUUAAAUUUUAAUGUGUUCCUUGAGAAAGCAAAGUUGAAAGAUGAUGGUAGCAAUUACACGGACUGGGUCCGUAACCUGAGGAUUAUCCUCAUUGCUGCACAGAAAAGUUACGUCCUGGAAGCACCGCUGGGUGCCAGGCCUGCUGCUGAUGCAACUGACGACGUUAAGAACGUCUGGCAGAGCAAAGCUGAUGACUACUCGAUAGUUCAGUGUGCCAUGCUUUACGGCUUAGAACCGGGUCUUCAACGACGUUUUGAACGUCAUGGAGCAUAUGAGAUGUUUCAGGAGUUGAAGUUAAUAUUUCAAGCAAAUGCCUGGAUUGAGAGAUAUGAAGUCUCCAAUAAGUUCUAUAGCUGCAAGAUGGAGGAGAAUAGUUCUGUCAGUGAACACAUACUCAAAAUGUCUGGGUAUAAUAAUCACUUGAUUCAACUGGGAGUUAAUAUUCCUGAUGAUAGUGUCAUUGACAAAAUUCUCCAAUCACUGCCACCAAGCUACAAGAGCUUCGUGAUGAACUAUAAUAUGCAAGGGAUGAACAAGACUAUUCUCGAGCUCUUUGCAAUGCUAAAGGCUGCGGAGGUAGAAAUCAAAAAGGAGCAUCAAGUGUUGAUGGUUAACAAGACCACUAGUUUCAAGAAAAAAGGCAAAGGGAAGAAGAAGGGGAACUUUAAAAAGAACAACAAGCAAGUUGCUGCUCAAGAGAAGAAACCCAAGUCUGGACCUAAGCCUGAAACUGAGUGCUUCUACUGCAAGCAGACUGGACACUGGAAGCGGAACUGCCCCAAGUAUUUGGCAGAUAAGAAGGAUGGCAAAGUGAACAAAGGUAUAUGUGAUAUACAUGUUAUUGAUGUGUACCUUACUAAUGCUCGAAGUAGCACCUGGGUAUUUGAUACUGGUUCUGUUGCUAAUAUUUGCAACUCGAAACAGGAACUACGAAUUAAGAGAAGAUUGGCUAAGGACGAGGUGACGAUGCGCGUGGGAAAUGGUUCCAAAGUCGAUGUGAUCACGGUCGGCACGCUACCUCUACAUCUACCAUUGGGAUUAGUUUUAGACCUGAAUAAUUGUUAUUUGGUGCCAGCGUUGAGCAUGAACAUUAUAUCUGGAUCUUGUUUGAUGCGAGACGGUUAUUCAUUUAAAUCAGAGAAUAAUGGUUGUUCUAUUUAUAUGAGUAAUAUCUUUUAUGGUCAUGCACCCUUGAAGAGUGGUCUAUUUUUAUUGAAUCUCGAUAGUAGUGAUACACAUAUUCAUAGUGUUGAAACCAAAAGAUGUAGAGUUGAUAACGAUAGUGCAACUUAUUUGUGGCACUGCCAUUUAGGUCAUAUCGGUGUAAAGCGCAUGAAGAAACUCCAUACUAAUGGGCUUUUGGAAUCACUUGAUUAUGAAUCACUUGGUACUUGCGAACCGUGCCUCAUGGGAAAGAUGACUAAAACGCCGUUCUCCGGAACUAUGGAGCGAGCAACUGAUUUGUUGGAGAUCAUACAUACUGAUGUUUGUGGUCCAAUGAAUGUUGAGGCUCGCGGCGGGUAUCAUUAUUUUCUCACCUUCACAGAUGAUUUGAGCAGAUAUGGGUAUAUCUACUUAAUGAAACACAAGUCUGAAACAUUUGAAAAGUUCAAAGAAUUUCAGAGUGAAGUGGAAAAUCAUCGUAACAAGAAAAUAAAGUUUCUACGAUCUGAUCAUGGAGGAGAAUAUUUGAGUUACGAGUUUGGUCUACACUUGAAACAAUGCGGAAUAGUUUCGCAACUCACGCCACCCGGAACACCACAAUGAAAUGGUGUGUCCGAACGUCGUAAUCGUACUUUACUAGAUAUGGUGCGAUCCAUGAUGUCUCUUACUGAUUUACCGCUAUUGUUUUGGGGUUAUGCUUUAGAGACGGCCGCAUUCACAUUAAAUAGGGCACCAUCAAAAUCCGUUGAGACGACGCCUUAUGAACUGUGGUUUGGCAAGAAACCAAAGUUGUCGUUUCUUAAAGUUUGGGGCUGCGAUGCUUAUGUAAAGAAACUUCAACCAGAUAAGCUCGAACCCAAAUCGGAGAAAUGUGUCUUCAUAGGAUACCCAAAAGAGACUAUUGGGUACACCUUCUAUCACAGAUCUGAGGGCAAGAUUUUCGUUGCUAAAAUCGGAUCCUUUCUAGAGAAGGAGUUUCUCUUGAAAGAAGUGAGUGGGAGGAAAGUAGAACUUGAUGAGAUAACUGUAUCUACUCCCUUGUUGGAAAGUAGUUCAUCACAAGAACCGGUUCCUGUGACAACUACACCAACUAGUGAGGAAGCUAAUGAUAUUGAUCAUGAAACUUCAGAUCAAGUUUCUACUGAACCUCGUAGGUCUACCAGAGUAAGAUCCGCACCAGAGUGGUACGGUAAUCCUAUUCUGGAAGUCAUGUUACUUGACCAUGAUGAACCUGCAAACUAUGAGGAAGCGAUGAUGAGCCCAGAUUCUGCAAAAUGGCUAGAGGCCAUGAAAUCUGAGAUGGGAUCCAUGUAUGAAAACAAAGUAUGGACUUUGGUUGACUUGCCCGAUGAUCGGCAAGCCAUUGAGAAUAAAUGGAUCUUUAAGAAGAAGACUGACGCUGAUGGUAAUGUAACUGUCUAUAGAGCUCGACUUGUUGCGAAAGGUUUUCGACAAGUUCAAGGGGUUGACUACGAUGAGACUUUCUCACCCGUAGCGAUGCUUAAGUCUGUCCCAAUCAUGUUAGCUAUUGCUGCAUUUCAUGAUUAUGAAAUUUGGCAAAUGGAUGUCAAAACUGCAUUCUUGAAUGGAUUUCUGGAAGAAGAGUUGUAUAUGAUGCAACCAGAAGGUUUUGUUGAUCCAAAGGUGCUAACAAAGUGUGCAAGCUCCAGCGAUCCAUUUAUGGACUGGUGCAAGCAUCUCAGAGUUGGAAUAAACGUUUUGAUAGUGUGAUCAAAGCAUAUGGUUUUAUACAGACUUUUGGAGAAGCCUAUAUUUACAAGAAAGUGAGUGGGAGCUCUGUAGCAUUUCUGAUUUUAUAUGUAGAUGACAUAUUAUUAAUUGGAAAUGAUAUAGAAUUUCUGGAUAGCAUAAAGGGAUACUUGAAUAAAAGUUUUUCAAUGAAAGACCUCGGUGAAGCUGCUUACAUAUUGGGCAUCAAGAUCUAUAGAGAUAGAUCAAGACGCUUAAUAGGACUUUCACAAAGCACAUACCUUGACAAAAUUUUGAAAAAGUUCAAAAUGGAUCAGGCAAAGAAAGGUUUCUUGCCUGUGCUACAAGGUGUGAAGUUGAGUCAAACUCAAUGCCCGACCAGAGCAGAAGAUAGAGAGAAAAUGAAAGAUGUUCCCUAUGCUUCAGCCAUAGGCUCUAUCAUGUAUGCAAUGCUGUGUACCAGACCUGACGUAUGCUUAGCAAUAAGCUUGGCAGGAAGGUACCAAAGUAAUCCAGGAGUGGAUCACUGGACAACGGUCAAGAACAUCCUGAAAUACCUGAAAAGGACUAAGGAUAUGUUUCUCGUAUAUGGAGGUGACAAAGAGCUAGUCGUAAAUGGUUACGUUGAUGCAAGCUUUGACACUGAUCCGGACGAUUCUAAAUCGCAAACCGGAUACAUGUUUUUAUUGAAUGGUGGAGCUGUAAGUUGGUGCAGUUCUUAACAAAGCGUCGUGGCGGGAUCUACAUGUGAAGCGGAGUACAUAGCUGCUUCUGAAGCAGCAAAUGAAGGAGUCUGGAUGAAGGAGUUCAUUACCGAUCUAGGUGUCAUACCUAGUGCAUCAGGACCAAUGAAGAUCUUCUGUGACAAUACUGGUGCAAUUGCUUUGGCAAAGGAAUCCAUAUUUCACAAGAGGACCAAGCACAUAAGGAGACACUUCAAUUCCAUUCGGGACCAAGUCCAAGUGGGAGACAUAGAGAUUUGCAAAAUACAUACGGAUCUGAAUGUUGCAGACCCGUUGACUAAGCCUCUCUCACGAGCAAAACAUGAUCAACACCAAGACUCCAUGGGUGUUAGAAUCAUUACUAUGUAAUCUAGAUUAUUGACUCUAGUGCAAGUGGGAGACUGAAGGAAAUAUGCCCUAGAGGCAAUAAUAAAGUUAUUAUUUAUUUCCUCAUAUCAUGAUAAAUGUUUAUUAUUCAUGCUAGAAUUGUAUUAACCGGAAACAUGAUACAUGUGUGAAUACAUAGACAAACAUAUAGUCACUAGUAUGCCUCUACUUGGCUAGCUCAUUAAUCAAAGAUGGUUAUGUUUCCUAACCAUAGACAUGUGUUGUCAUUUGAUUAAUGGGAUCACAUCAUUAGAAGAAUGAUGUGAUUGACAUGAACCAUUUUGUUAGCCUAGCACUUGAUCGUUUACUAUGCUGCUAUUGCUUUCUUCAUGACUUAUACAUGUUCCUGUAACUAUGAGAAAUAUGCAACUCCCGUUUACCGGAGGAACACUUUGGGUACUACCAAACAUCACAACGUAACUGGGUGAUUAUAAAGGAGUACUACAGGUGUCUCCAAAGGUACAUGUUGAGUUGGCGUAUUUCGAGAUUAGGUUUUGUCACUCCGAUUGUCAGAGAGGUAUCUCUGGGCCCUCUCGGUAAUGCACAUCAUUAUAAGCCUUGCAAGCAAUGUGACCAAAUGAGUUGGUUACGGGAUGAUGCAUUACGGAACGAGUAAAGAGACUUGCCGGUAACGAGAUUGAACUAGGUAUUGGAUACCGACGAUCAAAUCUCGGGCAAGUAACAUACCGAUGACAAAGGGAACAACGUAUGUUGUUAUGCGGUUUGACCGAUAAAGAUCUUCGUAGAAUAUGUAGGAACCAGUAUGGGAAUCCAGGUCCCGCUAUUGGUUAUUGACCGAGAAUGGUUCUAGGUCAUGUCUACAUAGUUCUCGAACCCGUAGGGUCCGCACGCUUAACGUUACGAUGACAGUUUUAUUAUGAGUUUAUAAGUUUUGAUGUAUCGAAGUUUGUUCGGAGUCCCAGAUUUGAUCACGGACAUGACGAGGAGUCUCGGAAUGGUCGAGACAUAAAGAUUGAUAUAUUGGACGACUAUAUUCGGACACCGGAAGUGUUCCGGGUGAUUUCAGAGAAAACCGGAGUGCCGGAGGGUUAUCGGAACCCGCCCCGGAGAGUUAGUGGGCCACAUGGGCCUUGGUGGGAAGAGAGAGGGGCGGCCAAGAAGGGCCGUGCGCCCCCUCUCCCUCUGGUCCGAAUUGGACUAGGAGGGGGGGGGCGGCGCGGUGCACCCCAUAGACACAGAAGUUGAUCUACGGAUCGUUCCUUAGCCGUGUGCGGUGCCCCCCUCCACCAUAUUCCACCUCGGUCAUAUCGUUGCGGAGUUUAGGCGAAGCCCUGCGCCGGUAGAACAUCAUCAUCGUCACCACGCCGUCGUGCUGACGGAACUCAUCCCCGAAGCUUUGCUGGAUCAGAGCCCGGGGAUCGUCAUCGAGCUGAACGUGUGCUGAACUCGGAGGUGCCGUACGUUCGGUACUUGGAUCGGUCGGAUCGUGAAGACGUACGACUACAUCAACCGCGUUUUCAUAACGCUUCCGCUUACGGUCUACGAGGGUACGUGGACGGACACUCUCCCCUCUCGUUGCUAUGCCAUCACCAUGAUCUUGCGUGUACGUAGGAAUUUUUUUGAAAUUACUACGUUCCCCAACACUAUGGAGUGUGACUACUUUGACCCAAUCCUCGAUAUGGAUGAGGUACUGGAGUUCAUUUCUCCUAGUCAUUCUGGAAUAGAAUGGCUUGACGGACCACAGGGAUAAUAGGCAUCGAUAAACAUGAAUGCACGACUACUCCUGACUAUCAAUUGGUAGACGUGGGUCAGAAUAUAACUAAAGAGGCAACCCAAAAGAACAUAUGAUUUUCGGAGUUGUGGAUGCAUGGACUAGCAUGUCGAACGAGUUCAACAUGUUUCUUCCGGAUAAUCCAUUCAGAAAGGUUAAACUGGCAGAGUUACAAUAUAGAAUGGAGAACUCAUCGAGGGCACUCCUGUUGUGAUCUUUUGAUCCAACAAACUUCUGCCAUAAAGUGGUUCAUAGUAUUUGGAAGAAGGAAAUACCACGAACUUCGAGGACUAUCGCAAAGGUUACUAAUAUCCUAAAGGAACUAGCAACACUAUCAACAUGAAGUAAGUAGGGUGAAUCUCGGGUUCAAGGACCCAGGAAUAGAAUACCUACUAUCUAAAUGGCAUCACGGGAUGUUUUCGAGAAUGAUGGCCAGAAUCAUCACACUGGGAACACAAAUCAUGGCUAGCUUACGAGGUGGUACUCUAAGACACAUAGGGUCAUAAUACUAGCUCCAACAUAUUUACCGAGGCAAUGAAGUACCUCAACACACUAGUUAGUGUGGUUAACCUGGCCAAAGGAACAUCGGAAUGGUAAGAAGGGAUUUGCAAAUGCAUCAGACUGUUUAGAAACCUAGGAUGACUCGGACAGCAUAACGACUGUAAAUGCUCAAAAGAAUUUGAGACAUGCUAUAAAAAUGGUGGCAUAACCACUCAAAGCAUAAUAUCAAGGUUUUGAGAUCAACUAUGAACAUACAGAACAUAGUAGGAACUGAACUCAAGCUUAGAACCAUCAAUCCUAUAGGUCUACGGAUUAGUAACACGUGAUCCUGAUAGAAAGAAAAGAUAUCCUAGUUCCUUAACCCCGUAGGAAAGAUAAGAUGACUCGGAUCAGAAGGGCAUAAGGUAUAAGGAGUAAAAAGAGCCUUACGUUCCAUCCCACAAUCAAUUCCCUUAUAUAACUAAAGAAUUUCUAGACUCAAGUUCGACCAGUUUGGUUUAGUAAUCCUAUAGGCAGUCAAGCUCUGAUACCAAAGCUGUCAGGACCCCGAUCCUAAGUCACACCGAUCUAGCAUGUAACACAUCAUAUCACUUUGCUGCCUCAUGCACGGUAUUCCCACAGGUGCCACCUUACCUGGCCCGGGACCGUUUGCGCCUUUUGGCUCACGUAUAUGAUUGUGCCGCUAGCAUCCAUAUGACAAAGAACCCGGGCUGACAUGGCUAGUCGUGAACCCAAAGUGGCACUAACUUACAGGGACAGGCAUACAUGACCCAGCAACGAACGUGUCGGUCAUCAGCGAGUGAAUCCGGGCUGUAGCAACUUGGCUAGCAGGACUCCGGUAGACACCGCGUGACAUUUCCCCGAAGGGACAGACACAGUAACGAAGAAGGACACAUGCCGGCCAGCCUAAGUGUUCCAGAGCAGUAGCAAGCUACCAAGGCUCAGUGGAAGCACUAGGAGACAUUUCCCGGUAAGAGAGGCUACCAAGGAUAAACAACUAGAUAGUCAGAUCCCACACAUACCAAGCAUUUCAAUAACAUACACACAAUAUGCUCAAUAUGUGCAAAUACAACAUGGCAUCACAACAUGACUCUACAACUCAAGUAUUUUAUUCAAUAGGCUCCGAGGAGCGAGAUAUUACAAGCAUGAGUCUCAUGACCCAACAUUCAGAGCAAACAAGUCAAACACAAGCGGAAGCUUAGCAUGUCUGAGUACAGACAUCUACAAAUGAAAAAGGCUGAGAAGCCUGCCUAUCUAUCAGAGCCUGCCGAGGGCACAAGAUCGUAGCUGAGGUAACAAGCUAAACGUCAAAGUCCACGCGGUACUACUAGCGAGACUGAAGUCUCUCUGCAAAAACAUAAAUUAAGCAACAUGAGUACAAAUGUACCCAGCAAGACUUACAUCAGAACUAACUACAUAUGCAUCAUUAUCAACAAAGGGGAUGGUGGGGUUUAACUGCAGCAAGCCAGCUUUGACACGGUGGCUAUCCUGAACUACGACUGCAAGUAACUCUUUUGAGGUGGCGCACACGAGUCCACAUAUUCACCAUAUCAAUACACCACUAUGGAUCCGCUCCCGUCUCCCUAGGAGAACGCCAUCCAUAGCACUCACGCUUAUCUUGCGUAUUUUAGAGUAUCCACUUUCACUUGUCUAUGAACUGUACAGGCAACCCAGAAGUCCUUUACGCGGACACGGCUAUUCGAAUAGAUCAUAUUAACCCUGCAGGGGUGUACUUCUUCACACACGCUCUCACCACUUACCGUCAUUUACAUGACAUGUACUCGGCAACCUUCAAGCGGAAGCCCAGCGAGGGUGUCGGCCACGACCUGACUAACCACACAAGUCUCUCGUGCAGCUUUAUCACCUAUUCGGGUUCCAUCCGCAAGGAGAUCCGGCCGGGGUGUCGCUCAUGGCCCCAAACAAUGUGUGCAGGGUUCCCAAGCCCACCUCGACGGGUGGAUCUACGCUUGGUACACCGUGCCAUGGUGCCUAGUCUGUCCCAAGCCCACCAGUACCGGGUGCCACUUGGUAGACUACUAACACUACCUACAAACACCAUAAACUAGUUGCAACUCCUGGACAGAGAUCAAGUUGAUUAAUAAGUCAAGAGAGUCAAUUAAGGAUCCCAAUGUGUGGUAGUAGCUGUUCAUGGAUCACAAACACAGGACUCAGUUCCUGAGGAUGGCUGCAAUGAGACAACCCACCAUGUACUCCUACAUGGCCUCUCACCGCUAACUUUACCAAAUCGUGUUCACACACUUAGCUCACACACAGUAGGACAUGUUCACACACCUCCAAUUCAUCCCCGAUGAAUCAGACCUGACUCAACUCUAAGCAGUAGCAGGCAUGACAAACAAGCAUGAAUGAGUAGGCACAUCAGGGCUCAAACAACUCCUACUCAUGCUAGUGGGUUUCAUCUAUUUACUGUGGCAAUGACAGGUCAUGCAGAGGAAAGGGGUUCAACUACCGCAGCAAGUAACAGAUAUGUCGUUGUUGUCCUAAUGCAGUAAAAGAGAGCAGGAGCGAGAGAGUGGGAUUGUAUCAUAAUGAACAAGGGGGUUUUGCUUGCCUGGCACUUCUGAAGGUAAUAUAGUUCUUCAUCGGUGUCAUCGAUCACAUCGUCGGUACACGUCUAUUGAGAGGGGACAAGCACCGACAAACAAAGAAGAAACACAAUCAAUGCAAUGCAACAAUAUGAUGCAUGAAUGUGACAUGGCAAUAUGCUGUGGUUCGUGCUAAUGCAACUAAAACCAGAUUAAAUGAAGUUUGUUUGAAUCCAAGAUUCAAAUUCAAACUCCACAUGUGGUUAUUUAAAUGCCAUUUAAUUGAAUUUUCCUAAACAGUAGUCAUAAGUUGUUCUAACAUGCAUGAAAAUGGUACAGAUGGAUAGAUUGGAUUUUUCUAAUAAUUUUUCAUAUAUAACUUAUUUCAUUUGGAGUUACGGUUGAUUUUAUAUGGAUUUUAGAAGUUUUAGGUAUUUUCUGGAAUUUCCUGAGUUUGUUUAAUCCAAAAAAUGAUUUACUGCGUCAGCCUGAUGUCAUUGUGACAUCAGCGGUCAACGGGGCCGGUCCAGUCAAACUGACCAGUGGGUCCCGCCUGUCAGUUGUAAGUUAAACUAACUAAGUUUAGUUAGCGUUAAACUAAUAAUAACUUGGUUUAGUUAGUGGCCUGGGGCCCACACGUCAGUGACCCAGGGGGUCAAACUGGGUCCACCCGGGGUCAAUGAUCAGCGGGGUCAAACUCACUGGCGACUCGACACCGGCGAGGCCUGAGACGGCGGCGCGGCUCGUAAGUCGCCCACGGGUGUCCAAAAGGGCGGCGAAGAGGCUCAACGGGUGCAGCGUGACGAGGCGCGUCUAACGGGGCAAGUGGGAGCAGCUGGGGUGGACCGAGCUUGUCGGAAGCGAGCUCGUGGCGGCGGCCGGAGUUCGUCCAACGGCGGGUUAGGCGAUGCGGGGCGCUAGGGGAGGCGUUGGUGUGUGCUACGUGCUCCUGGUGAGGUGUGGAGGACGGUGGUGUGCCCAGCUUUGAGCCACGGUGGCUCUGGCCACGACGGCGACGAGGCAUGGCGGCGGCGAGCUUCGGCCGUGGUGGAAGACGGAGCUAGGGGACGGGAAUGGAGGGGGCGAGCAAGGGGAAAGAAUCAGGAGCUCAUAGGGAGUCGUACGACGGUCUCAGCGGGCUCGGGGACGGGCUGGAGACGAAGUGCGGUCGCCGGCGAUCUCAGAUGCCCGAGGAGGAAGACGAGAGCGAAGAUGGCUCCACAGGGCGUCCGGGCUCGUGCAGCUCGUUAAAGAGGAAAAAGACAUUGAUGCAGACCUCGGGGACGGGUCGAGGGGGCAUGGCAACAGCGGUGAGCGCGCGGGCGGCGAGCGCGCGGCUGCGGCUGCGCUCGGGUGGGUGCGUGUGAGAAGGACAGGGGAGGGGAUGAGCACGGGGAAGGAGUGAGAGGGCCCCGGGGGUGCGUGGCGUCUCCGUGGCGUCAUCUAGGAGCACCGGGGAGGAGCCAGGCAGGCAGGGGGGGAGGAGGUGGCCGGCGCGGGGCGGCCACGCGCCUCCGUCCUUCUGGCGAGGGAGGAAGACGACAGGGAGGAGGCGGUGGUGGGCUGGGCCGAAGGUGGGCCAGCACAGGAGCUGGGCCGGGGUAAGUGGGCUGCCAGGUAAGUUCUUCUGCUCUGUUUUAUAUUUUCUGUUUUGUUUUCUUUUUUAAUAUUUCUUGUGCCACUAAAUUCAAAUUUAAACAACUUGAAAACAGUGCCAAAAUUCCCUUGGAUAUUUUUAUGUCACAUAAUGGACUUCUCCACAUAUACAUAACAUAUCAUAGGCUUUUGAAACUAUAAUCAUUAUAUAUUAUGAAUAUAACUUCAAAUCCAAAUACAAUAUGAUUUAAAUUCAAUGUCCCAAAAUAUUCCAUAAAAAUGUUCCAGAAUUUUGAUUUGGUAUAUAUCUCUUGCCAAAAUUACCAGAAUGAUUUUUAGGGAAUUUUGGAAUCACUGAAUGCAAUUUAAAGGGUUCUUGCCCUUCUUUUAGAAAGUUUUGAGGCUUUCUAAUUUCCUCAGUUCAAAUUCCUUGAAUUUAAACAUGAUGCAACACCAGAUACUAGCACUUGGCAUUAUCAGAACUAGGGAUGUGACAAAAAAGAUCUUAAGAGCCUUGGAUGGAAAAUACGAUACCGUGUGCACUUUAUCCAAAUGAUGCCAAACUACAAAGAUCUCAAGCCAACCGAAGUCAUUGGAAGGAUUGUUGCUCAUGUGAUGUCACUCAAGGAUAAAGAAGAGCUUCACAACAAGUCUAGUGGUGCUUACAAAGCCUCAUGUGAUUCUCCUUUAUCAUCAAGUGAGAAACAAGCCUUCAAUGAAGAAUUAAGCUUAAUGGUGAAGAACUUCAACAAAUUCUACAAGAGUAGAAGCAAGGAAAUAAGUUCCAAGUCAAGCUCCUACAAUGACAAAAGAUCUUCUCGUCGUGAGCGAAAUUGCUACAAUUGUGGAAGACCUGGACACUACUCCAAUGAGUGUACGACUGCUACCUCUUGAGCACUGCGUUGGUUUUCCCUUGAAGAGGAAAGGGUGAUGCAACAAAGUAGCGUAAGUAUUUCCCUCAGUUUUUGAGAACCAAGGUAUCAAUCCAGUAGGAGGCUCCACGCAAGUCCCUCGUACCUACACAAACAAACAAGAACCGCGCAACCAACGCGAUAAAGGGGUUGUCAAUCCCUUCACGGCCACUUGCGAAAGUGAGAUCUGAUAGAUAUAAUAAGAUAAGAUAAAUAUUUUUGGUAUUUUUAUGAUAUAGAUUGGAAAGUAAAGAUUGCAAAAUAAAAUAGAAUGGAAACUUAUAUGAUGGAAGAUAGACCCAGGGGCCAUAGGUUUCACUAGUGGCUUCUCUCAAGAUAGCAUAAGUAUUACGGUGGGUGAACAAAUUACUGUCGAGCAAUUGGUAGAAAAGUGCAUAGUUAUGAGAAUAUCUAGGCAUGAUCAUGUAUAUAGGCAUCACGUCCGCAACAAGUAGACCGACUCCUACCUGCAUCUACUACUAUUACUCCACACAUCGACCGCUAUCCAGCAUGCAUCUAGAGUAUUAAGUUCAGAAGAACAGAGUAAUGCAUUAGGCAAGAUGACAUGAUGUAGAGGGAUAAACUCAAGCAAUAUGAUAUAAACGCCAUCUUUUUAUCCUCGAUGGCAACAAUGCAAUACGUGCCUUGCUGCCCCUGCUGUCACUUGAAAAGCACACCGCAAGAUUGAACCCAAAGCUAAGCACUUCUCCCAUUGCAAGAAAGAUCAAUCUAGUAGGCCAAACCAAACCGAUAAUUCGAAGAGACUUGCAAAGAUAACCAACCAUACAUAAAAGAAUUCAGAGGAGAUUCAAAUAUUUCUCAUAGAUAAACUUGAUCAUAAACCCACAAUUCAUCGGAUCUCGACAAACACACCGCAAAAAGAGUUACAUAGAAUAGAUCUCCAAGAAGAUCGAGGAGAACUUUGUGUUGAGAUUCAAAGAGAGAGAAGAAGCCAUCUAGCUAAUAACUAUGGACCCGAAGGUCUACUCACAACUCAUCGGAGAGGCCUUGGCGAUGAUGUAGAAGCCCUCCGUGAUCGAUUCCCCCUCCGGUGGAGCACCGGAAAAGGCUCCAAGAUGGGACCUCACGGGUACAGAAGGUUGCGGUGGUGGAAAUAGGGUUUCGUGGUGCUCCUGGAUGUUGUCGGGGUACGUAGGUAUAUAUAUAGGCGAAGGAAGUCGGUCAGGGGAGCCACGAGGGGCCCACGAGUGUGGGGGUGCGCCCACCCCCCUAGGGCGCGCCUUGCACCCUCGUGGCCGCCUCGGCUGCUUCUUGACGUCCACUCCAAGUCUCCUGGAUUGCGUUUGUUCCAAAAAGAUCGCUCCCGAAGGUUUCAUUCCGUUUGGACUCCGUUUGAUAUUCCUUUUCUUCGAAACACUGAAAUAGGCAAAAAAAACAUCAAUUCGGGUUGGGCCUCCGGUUAGUAGGUUAGUCCCAAAAAUGAUAUAAAAGUCCAAAGUAAAGCCCAAUAACAUCCAAAACGGGUAAUAUAAUAGCAUGGAACAAUCAAAAAUUAUAGAUACGUUGGAGACGUAUCAAGCAUCCCCAAGCUUAAUUCCUACUCUUCCUCGAGUAGGUAAAUGAUAAAAAUAGAAUUUUUGAUGUGGAAUGCUACCUAGCAUAUUUCUUAAUGUAAUUCUCUUUAUUGUGGCAUGAAUGUUCAGAUCCAAAUGAUUCUAGAAAAAAGUUCAUAUUGACAUAAAAAUAGGAAUACUUCAAGCAUACUAACAAAGCAAUCAUGUCUUCUCAAAAUUAAAUGGCUAAAGAAAGCUAUCCCUACAAAAUCAUAUAGUCUGGUUAUGCACUAUCUUCAUCACACAAAGUAUUUAAUCAUGCACAACCCCGAUGACAAGCUAAGCAAUUGUUUCAUACUUUUAUGUUUUCAAACUUUUUCAACUUUCAUGCAAUACAUGAGCAUGAGCCAUGGAUAUAGCACUAUAUGUGGAAUAGAAUGGUGAUUGUGGAGAAGACAAAAAGGAGAAGAUAGUCUCACAUCAACUAGGCGUAUCAACGGGCUAUGGAGAUGCCCAUUAAUAGAUAUCAAUGUGAGUGAGUAGGGAUUGACAUGCAACGGAUGCACUAGAGCUAUAAGUGUAUGAAAUCUCAACAAAAGAAACUAAGUGGGUGUGCAUCCAACUUGCUUGCUCACAAAGACCUAAGGCACUUUGAGGAAGCCCAUCAUUGUAAUAUACAAGGCAAGUUCUAUAAUGAAAAUUCCCACUAGUAUAUGAAAGUGACAACAUAGGAGACUCUCUAUCAUGAAGAUCAUGGUGCUACGUUGAAGCACAAGUGUGGUAAAAGGAUAGUAGCAUUGUUCCUUCUCUCUUUUCUCUCAUUUUUUUAUUUUGGUGGGCUUCUUUGGCCUCUUUUUUAUUGGGCUUCUUUGGCCUCUUUUAUUUUUCAUAAAGUUCGGAGUCUAAUCCCGACUUGUGGGGGAAUCAUAGUCUCGAUCAUCCUUUCCUUACUUGGGACAAUGCUCAAAUAAUGAUGAUCAUCACACUUUUAUUUACUUACAACUUAAGAAUUACAACUCAAUACUUAGAACAAAAUAUGACUCUAUGUGAAUGCCUCCGGCAGUGUACCGGGAUAUGCAUUGAAUCAAGAGUGACAUGUAUGAAAGAAUUAUGAAGGUGGCUUUGCCACAAAUACAAUGUCAACAACACGAUCAUGCAAGAGCAAUAUGACAAUGAUGGAGCGUGUCAUAAUAAACGGAACGGUGGAAAGUUGCAUGGCAAUAUAUCUCGGAAUGGCUAUGGAAAUGCCAUAAUAGGUAGGUAUGGUGGCUGUUUUGAGGAAGGUAUAUGUUGGGUGUAUGGUACCGGCGAAAGUUGUGCGGCACAAGAGAGGCUAGCAAUGGUGGAAGGGUGAGAGUGUGUAUAGUCCAUGGACUCACAUUAGUCAUAAAGAACUCAUAUACUUAUUGCAAAAAUCUACAAGUUAUUGAAACAAAUUACUACGCGCAUGCUCCUAGGGGAUAGAUUGGUAGGAAAAGACCAUCGCUUGUCCCCGACCGCCACUCAUAAGGAAGACAAUCAAUAAAUAAAUCAUGCUCCAACUUCGUCACAUAACGGUUCACCAUAUGUGCAUGCUACGGGAAUCACAAACUUCAACACAAGUAUUCCUCAAAUUCACAACUACUCAACUAGCAUGACUCUAAUAUCACCAUCCUCAUAUCUCAAAACAAUUAUCAAGCAUCAAAUUGAUCAUAGCAUCCAAUUCACUUCUGUGAUAGUUUUUAUUAUACCCAACUUGGAUGCCCAUCAUUCUAGGACCAAUUUUAUAACCAUAGCAAAUACCAUGUUGUUCUAAAAGAAUCUAAAAAUAAUAUAAGUGAAGCAUGAGAGAUCAAUAAUGAUAGAGGCGGGGGUGUCCCGAUCUUUCAAUGAGAUGAUAACUAUCGAUUUGGUGGAGUCGACUUUGGCGAUCCGACUACAAAUGUGCACGACGUUGCGCCUUAGUAAUCGCUAAACCAAUCUCCUAAGGUUACUGACGAUGCCAGAAGCAUGAUCAGCCUGACCACGAAGGUCUAUUCCUGCAAGCAAUCGAAGAACAAGCAAGAAUAUGAUAAAGCAAUCUGAAUAUUGCGAAUAUGGAUGAAGUAUUGAUAAUGGUGGGGAUCCGAAAGUGGUCUUGGUCUGGUCGUUGGACAUAAACGAAGUACACGAAGUUGCAAUGGCUAACUUUUAACUAAACAAAUCCCAAGCAAAAAGCUACUAGAUGGAUCUACUUAUAUAGGAGGAAGGGGUGGAGGCCAAGGAGGUGGGAGAACGUCCCAAGGCAUCCUAAAACCAACCCUAGGUCGUACAAGGCUCAUGGGCCCAAGUGGAGGUGAUGCAACACCUUUGGACUUGUUGUUUGACUCGGAUUCUGCUGCAUCGUCUGAUUCUUUCGUCGAUAUCUCAAUGUUCCGGACGAAUUUGAAGGUGAAUCCAAUUGGGCUGGAAAGAGCACAAAAUCUAGAUUCCAACAAAAAAGGAAUCACCCAAUUCGGAGUUCGUAUGAAAAAGUUGUUGGCGUUUUGAGUCAGGUAUGUCUGUGCAGUCCGAAUCUGAAUCCAGAACGUGAGAGACUUGGACUCUAUCUUCUCUUGGCCCAAAAGUAACGUGAGAGAACUUUUUGAGCAGCAAGUAAACAUCUCUUUCUCCCUUAUCUUCAUAUGUGAAUUGUACAAAUGUCCCAUACACCUGCAAUUAGACAAAACACAAAAGUGUGUGAAGUAUUUUUGUUCUGGAUAACAUAAAUAAAUUAUUGAAUAGUUUGCACUAGAAAUCACCUGACAAAUAUGCAUGUAUGCAAUAUUUUUGGUCGUAUCCAAGGUAGUAAUGUCCUCAUCAUCCUCCCCUUUUUGAAAACAAAGCCGUCCUUGGCGUUGCUUAAUCUGAAAUGUGGCUAACAAAAGAGACAAGGUAUACAUGUUGUAUAUGUAUAUGUCAUCCAUUUUUACUUCCCUUGAUUUUUGCACAUAUGACACAUGUAUACAUGAGUAACUUUCAUAGAUCAUAAAAUAUAAAGCCAAAAUAUUAUCAUAAGUAGAAGGCAUGAAAAUAUUGCAACUUAGUUUGCACAUAUAAGUGAAGCUCUUAUUCCUAUCAAAAGAUUGACAAUAUUCAUCAUUAAACCAUCCCAACAUUGGUGAAUAAACCUUACUUGCAUCAAAUUUACAUGCUACAACAUGCUUAAAUAAGCAAACAUGUAGUAAGUCAUUGGACACAGAAUCAUCACCAAGAUUAGAGAUCAUAUCAAAAUGAUUAAACAUUGGUUCUUUUGCAUCAAUAGUUAAUUCAAUGGGUGCACUCAAAAUUGUUGGUAUUUCAGUUGUUUGAUCACAUGAUGCAUUCAUGAUAGUAACAUGAUUCUCUACAAUAGGUGGCAUGCUCAAAUCAACAGGUAACUCAACACAUGAUGUAUUUAAGUUAAUUAGGGAUGCAUCAUUCUUAGGUGAAGUUAUAUCAUCAAUACCUUUACUGUUACCUUGUCGCAAAGACGUAGCUGAUGUCAGUAUGGACAAUGACAAUGUACCAUACACUUGAGAUGAUGUCGCACUCACAAUCUGAGGUGUGGCUGCUCUAGUAGGUGCAACGGUGGAGGAAUCAACCGAUGGUAGUGAGCAUGAAUUGGAAUAGUACUUGUUGUAGUCAUCCAAUGCAUCCUCCUGUAACUGUCUCUCAAAGGUACAAGCACGAACAUACAUACCAGUAAUGCAACGAGGAAUAUACCUAAAUCUUGCCUGAAUAUCAUGGUUCAAACCACCAAAAAAUCUAUUCAUUGUAUCAUCCUCAGAUUCUUCUAUGUCACAAUGAUGCAUAUAAGAUUUGAACUCUUGGUAGUAAGCAUGAACAGUGUUAUUGCCUUGUUUAAAUUGUUCAAAUUUGCGAAGCAAUUCACGACGAUAGUAAGGAGGGAAAAAUUGUUGUCUCACUACAUGUUUCAAAUCUUUCCAAGUUGUGGGUUGGUUAUCAAUGUUUUUCUUACAAUGCACACUCCAUCAAACAGAAGCAAAACCAGUAAAUGCUCUAGUGGCAGCUCGUACUCGCUCAAGUUCAAAAAAAUCAUGGUAACUAAAAACUUGUUCUACUUCAAGCUCCCAAUCUAGAUAAAUAACAGGAUUAAAUCUACCCUCAAAUGAUGGUAAAGAGAUAACCUGACCAUGUGCUUGUGUGUGUUGUCCCAACUCUCGUGAUGGUGAAGAUGUGUUCGUCGUCCAAGAACUUCUUUCUCCGGAACCUGUCAUGAUUAGUAGAAACAAGAAACAAAAUUCGAGAAUAAUGUUCCUAUGAACAACUAGGAUGUGGUUGUAACGUGCUCACAGAAAAGCAAAUAUCAAUAUCUUACAAGUUCUUACCAUGCGACAGGUGGUGACAGGCAACCAGCGGUGUCAAAUAACUCCGAAGAUUGUGUAAAGCGAUUUCCAGGGGAACGUACGUAUACACGAUAUAGAAAUAUGUGGAGCUGGGUUGGCUAUAUAUGGUAGCAAAAGAUUAGCAAUAAUCAAUUCAAAGAUGCAAUGUUGAAUAAACGCUCAACAACGAUGUUGUGCUGGUCCUAGGCUAGACCGGACUAGAGACGCGAGCCUAGAACACUAAUGAGGUCAAGGCAUAGCACAACUAGCAUCAAUGAAGGAUAAGUAGCUCUGGACAGCAAGAUAUAAGUGAAGAUCACAACGGCAGUAAAGAUAAUGAUGAAUAACAACUGCCAAGCAGGAUAUAUAACAACUCUCUCUCCAACUUUCCUCUUGAAAAGUUUGCUACUAACUCAAGCUUUCCAAUGCAAAAAGAAUCACUCAAUUCCGAAUUGAUAUGAGGAGUCAAAGAAUUCUAAAACUGGCCUGAAAAACUGGAACAAACUAUAUGCGCGAACUUUGGAGGGCAAAAAGACCUAUUUAGAAGCUGAUUUUGAGACGCCAAAUAUUGGACUAGCUUUUGCAACUAUUCAGAUGUGUCUAGUCACUAGCUUUAAUUUGAGUACUUGUGGAGCCAAAACGGAGUUCGUAUGAGGAAGUUAUGCCUUUUCUACUGAACAGUGCACAAAACAGAUUCCAGUCCGAAUUCAAGUACGAGAUUGAUUCUAGAUAGAUCUGAAAUUUCUUUUUUUAUUCUCUUUUUUUCUCUGACUUUUUUUCUUUUUCUUUCUCUCCUUUUUUUUCCUCUGACUUUUUUUUUCUCUCUGCCUUUUUUUCUCUCUAUUUUUUUUCUCUCCCUCUUCCAAAGACAAACUAGAUAAGAUGCAGAUUGGAUCAAGUGAAGAUGUGAACGACCUCAACUACGAUUGUGACAAUGAACUAUGGGUAGCAUGUGGUGGAAAUUGAUGGAUGGUGUGGUGGACAGUGAAAGGGAUAACGAUGCAGCGGCGACGUGACUAAUGUGAACAGAACUCGAAACUCUAAACGAACGAGACACUAAGACCAGCAACUCGACACGAUGAUGCAACCGAUAAUUCAAUAAUGCAUACAAUGAAAAGAAAAUUGCAAAGGCUCAGACUGGCUUGGACAAAGGAUGAAUAGCUCUAACUUUUUUUGGUUUUUUCUUGGACAAUAGGUAAGAAAAUAAAAUCUAAUCUAGGGAUGACUGGAAAUUCUCACCGAGCAACCUGAAAACUGAUACCACUUGGUAGAGGCGGGGGUGUCCCGAUCUUUCGAUCAGAUGAUAACUAUCGAUUUGGUGGAGUCGACUUUGGCGAUCCAACUACAAGCGUGCAUGACGUUGUGCCUUAGCAAUCGUUAAACCAAUCUCCUGAGGUUACUGACGAUGCCGGAAGCACGAUCAGCCUGACCACGAAGGUGUAUUCCUGCAAGCAAUCGAAGAACAAGCAAGAAUAUGAUAAAGCAAUCUGAAUAUUGUGAAUAUGAAUGAAGUAUUGAUAAUGGUGGGGAUCCUAAAGUGGUCUUGGUCUGGUCGUUGGACACAAACGAAGUACACGAAGUUGCAAUGGCUAACUUUUAACUAAACAAAUCCCAAGCAAAAAGCUACUAGAUGGAUCUACUUAUAUAGGAGGAAGGGGUGGCGGCCAAGGAGGUGGGAGAACGUCCCAAGGCAUCCGAAAACCAACCCUAGGUCGUACAAGGCUCAUGGGCCCAAGUGGAGGGGAUGCAACACCUUUGGACUUGUUGUUUGACUCGGAUUCUGCUGCAGCGUCUGAUUGUUUCAUCGAUAUCUCAAUGCUCCGGACGAAUUUGAAGGUGAAUCCAAUUGGGCUGGAAAGAGCACAAAAUCUAGAUUCCAACAAAAAAAUAAUCAACCAAUUCGGAGUCCGUAUGAAAAAGUUGUUGGCGUUUUGAGUCAAGUAUGUCUGUGCAGUCCGAAUCUGAAUCCAGAACGUGAGAGACUUGGACUCUAUCUUCUCUUGGCCCAAAAGUGACGUGAGAGAACUUUUUGAGCAUCUAGUAAACAUCUUUUUCUCCCUCAUCUUCAUAUGUGAAUUGUACAAAUGUCCCAUACACCUGCAAUUAGACAAAACACAAAAGUGUGUGAAGUAUUUUUGUUCUGGAUAACAUAAAUAAAUUAUUGAAUAGUUUGCACUAGAAAUCACCUGACAAAUAUGCAUGUAUGCAAUAUUUUUGGUCAUAUCCAAGGUAGUCAUGUCCUCAUAAAAUAAUUUCUACAAAAUAAAACCACUGUCGUGCUCUAAAAAGAUAUAAGUGAAGCACUAGAGCGAAAUUGUCUAGCUCAAAAGAUAUAAGUGAAGCACAUAGAGUAUUCUAAUAAAUUCCGAAUCAUGUUGUGUCUCUCCCAAAAGGUGUGUACAGCAAGGAUGAUUGUGUUAAACUAAAAAUCUAAGACUCAUAUCAUACAAGACGCUCCAAGCAAAACACAUAUCAUGUGGUGAAUAAAAAUAUAGCUCCAAGUAAAGUUACCGAUGAACGAAGACGAAAGAGGGGAUGCCUUCUGGGGCAUCCCCGAGCUUAGGCUUUUGGUUGUCCUUGAAUUAUUUUGGGGUGCCAUGGGCAUCCCCAAGCUUAGGAUCUUGCCACUCCUUAUUCCAUAGUCCAUCAAAUCUUUACCCAAAACUUGAAAACUUCACAACACAAAACUCAAUAGGAAAUCUCAUAAGCUCCGGUAGUGCAAGAAAGAAAAACCACCACAUAAGGUACUGUAAUGAACUCAUUCUUUAUUUAUAUUUGUGUUAAACCUACUGUAUUCCAACUUCUCUAUGGUUCAUACCCCCCGAUACUAGCCAUAGAUUCAUCAAAAUAAGCAAACAACACACGAAAAACAGAAUUUGUCAAAAACAAAACAGUCUGUAGCAAUCUGUAACUUUCGAAUACUUCUGGAACUCAAAAAUACCUACCAAAAUAGGAAGUCCUAGGCAAUUUGUCUACUGAUCUACUGCAAAAAUAAUCAACUAAAAAGCACAUUCCUGUGAUUUAUUAAAAUUAUUCUCGUGCGUGCAAAAGUUUCUGUUUUUCAGCAAGAUCAAAUUAACUUUUACCGUAGGUUAUCCUACAGGUUCUACUUGGCACAAACACUAAUUAAAACAUAAGACCACAUCUAAAAAGAGGCUAGAUGAAUUAUUUAUUACUAAACAGAAGCAAAUAGCAAGGAACAAAAAUAAAAUUGGGUUGCCUCCCAACAAGCGCUAUCGUUUAACGACCCUAGCUAAGCAUAAAAGCGAGAAUAGAUCUAGGUAUUGCCAUCUUUGGUAUUUAACUCAUAAGUGGCUCGCAUACUAGAUUCAUAAGGUAAUUUGAUUUUCUUUCUAGUAAAGUGUUCCAUGGAUUUCCUUAAUGUAAAUUGGAAUCUAAUAUUUCCUUCCUUCAUAUCAAUAAUUGCACUAAUCGUUCUAAGGAAAGGUCUACCAAGAAUAAUAGGACAUGAAAGAUUGCAAUAUAUAUCAAUAACAAUAAAAUCUAUGGGCACAUAAUUCCUACUCCCUCUGUCACAGUUUAGAAGGCACAGUUAAAUUUUCGUGCGUUUCCAUAAUAAACAAGGUUUAGGGCGCAUUGCAUUUAUUUCUAGUAGCUAAUUAGUACUCUGGAGUACUAUUUCUAUAUGCAUGCGUAGUGUGAAUGCUAUUUUUUAGCCCAUCUCAUAACCAAUAGAUAACCACCUAGGUCCCAGAGAAUUUCCAAAGGCGCCUUCUAAACCGUGAUGGAGGGAGUAUUUUCAAUAAUAAGAACAUCAUUAAUCCUUCCCAUAGGUUUCUUAAUAGUGGAAUCCGCAAGGUGCAAGUUUAAAGAGCAAUCAUCAAAUUCACGGAAACCUAGCACAACACAUAAAGUUUUUGGAAUCGUGGAAACACUAGCACCCAAAUCACACAAAGCAUAGCAUUCAUGAUCUUUAAUUUUAAUUUUUAUUGUAGGUUCCCACUCAUCAUAAAGUUUUCUAGGGAUGGAGACUUCCAAUUCAAGUUUUUCCUCAUAGGAUUGCAUCAAAGCAUCAACGAUAUAUUUAGUAAAAGCUUUAUUUUGACUAUAAGCAUGAGGAGAAUUUAGCAUGGAUUGCAACAAGGAAAUACAAUCUAUUAAAGAACAAUUAUCAUAAUUAAAUUCCUUGAAAUCUAAAAUAGUGGGUUCAUUGCUAUGUAAAGUUUUGAUCUCUCCAAUCCCAUUUUUACCAAAUUUAGCAUCAAGAUCUAAAAACUCCGAAUCAUUGGGACGCCUUUUAACUAAAGUUGACUCAUAUCCAGUCCCAUCAUUAUCAAGAUUCAUAUUGCAAAACAAAAGAUUUAAUAUGGGACACAUCAAUCACUUUUAGAUCUUCAUCAUUAUUUUCAUGGAAACUAGUAGAACACGCUUUUACAAAGCAAUCUUUCCUAGCACGCAUCCUAGUGGUUCUUUCUUUGCACUCAUCAAUGGAAAUUCUCAUGGCUUUGAGAGACUCAUUGAUAUCAUGCUUAGGUGGAAUAGAUAUAAGUUUCAAAGAAUCAACAUCAAGAGAAAUUAUAUCCACGUUCCUAGCCAAUUCAUCAACUUUAAGCAAUUUUUCUUCAAGCAAAGCAUUGACAUUCUUUUGAGAGAUCAUAAAUUCUUUAACACUAUUCUCAAAAUCAGAGGGCAUCUUAUUAAAAUUUCCAUAAGAGUUGUUGUAGGAAUUACCAUAAUUAUUAGAGGAAUUACUAGGAAAAGGCCUAGGAUUAAAGUUUCCUCUAUAAGCAUUGUUACCAAAAUUAUUCCUACCAACAAAAUUCACAUCCAUAGAUUCGUUAUUAUUCUCAAUCAAAGUAGACAAAGGCAUAUCAUUAGGAUCAGUAGGAGCACUCUUAGUAGCAAAUAAUUUCAUAAGUUCAUCCAUCUUUCCACUCAAAACAUUAAUCUCUUCUAUCGCAUGAACUUUUUUACUAGUAGAUCUUUUGGUGUGCCAUUGAGAAUAAUUAACCAUAAUAUUAUCUAGGAGUUUAGUAGCUUCUCCUAAAGUGAUUUCCAUAAAAGUGCCUCCCGUGGCCGAAUCUAAAAGAUUUCUAGAAGCAAAUUCUAUCCGGCAUAAAAAAUUUGUAUGAUCAUCCAUAAAUUUAAACCAUUUGUAGGGCAAUUGCGAAUCAUUAGUUUCAUCCUCUCCCAAGGUUGUGCAACAUGCUCAUGAUCUAGUUGCUUAAAAUUCAUAAUAUCAUUUCUAAGAGAGAUGUUCUUAGCGGGAGGAAAAUACUUAGAGAUAAAAGCAUCUUUGUACUUAUUCCAUGAAUCAAUACUAUUUUUAGGCAAAGAUGAAAACCAAGUUUUAGCACGAUCACUAAGUGAAAACGGAAAUAACUUCAAUUUAACAAUAUCAUUAUCCGUGUCUUUCUUCUUUUGCAUAUCACAUAAAUCAACAAAGUUGUUUAGAUGAGUAGCGGUAUCUUCACUAGGAAGGCCAGAGAAUUGAUCUUUCAUGACAAGAUUCAACAAAGCAGCAUUGAUUUCACAAGAUUCAUCAUCAUUAAGAGGAGCAAUCGGAGUGCUAAGGAAAUCAUUAUUAUUGGUAUUGGAAAAGUCAGACAAUUUAGUAUUAUCUUGAGCUAUUGUGACAAGCAAUCCAACACACAAGCACACAAAAGGCAAGCAAAAAAGAGAGGUGAAAGGGAAAGAGAGGGCGAAUAAAACGACAAGGGUGAAGUGGGGGAGAGGAAAGCGAGGGGCAAAAGGAAAAUAAUGUAAUGCGAGGGAGAUGAGUUUGUGAUGGGUACUUGGUAUGGCUUGACUUGAGCGAAGACCUCCCCGGCAACGACGCCAGAAAUCCUUCUUGCUACCUCUUGAGCAUUGCGUUUGUUUUCCCUUGAAGAGGAAAGGGUGAUGCAGCAAAGUAGCGUAAGUAUUUCCCUCAGUUUUUGAGAACCAAGGUAUCAAUCCAGUAGGAGGCUCCACGCAAGUCCCUCGUGCCUACACAAACAAACAAGAACCUCGCAACCAACGCGAUAAAGGGGUUAUCAAUCCCUUCACGGCCACUUGCAAAAGUGAGAUCUGAUAGAGAUAAUAAGAUAAGAUAAAUAUUUUAUGUAUUUUUAUGAUAUAUAUUGGAAAGUAAAGAUUGCAAAAUAAAAUAGAUUGGAAACUUAUAUGAUGGAAGAUAGACCCGGGGGCCAUAGGUUUCACCAGUGGCUUCUCUCAAGAUAGCAUAAGUAUUACGGUGGGUGAAUAAAUUACUGUCGAGAAAUUGAUAAAAAAGUGCAUUGUUAUGAGAAUAUCUAGGCAUGAUCAUGUGUAUAGGCAUCACGUCCGCAACAAGUAGACCGACUCCUGCCUGCAUCUACUACUAUUACUCCACAAAUCGACCGCUAUCCAGCAUGCAUCUAGAGUAUUAAGUUCAUAAGAACAUAGUAACGCAUUAGGCAGGAUGACAUGAUGAGAGGGAUAAACUCAAGCAAUAUGGUAUAAACCCCAUCUUUUUAUCCCCGAUGGCAAUAAUGCAAUACGUGCCUUGCUGCCCCUGCUGUCACUGGGAAAGGACAUCGCAAGAUUGAACCCAAAGCUAAGCACUUCUUCCAUUGCAAGAAAGAUCAAUCUAGUAGGCCAAACCAAACUGAUAAUUCGAAGAGACUUGCAAAGAUAACCAAUCAUACAUAAAAGAAUUCAGAGGAGAUACAAAUAUUUCUCAUAGAUAAACUUGAUCAUAAACCCACAAUUCAUUGGAUCUCGACAAACACACCGCAAAAAGAGUUACAUCAAAUAGAUCUCCAAGAAGAUCGAGGAGAAUUUUGUAUUGAGAUUCAAAGAGAGAGAGAAGAAGUCAUCUAGCUAAUAACUAUGGACCCAAAGGUCUGUGGUAAACUACUCAGAACUCAUCGGAGAGGCCUUGGCGAUGAUGUAGAAGCCCUCCGUGAUUGAUUCCCCCUUCGGCGGAGCACCGGAAAAGGCUCCAAGAUGGGAUCUCACGGGUACAGAAGGUUGCGCCGGUGGAAAUAGGGUGUCGUGGUGCUCCUGGAUGUUUUCGGGGUACGUAGGUAUAUAUAGGCGAAGGAAGUCGGUUAGGGGAGCCACGAGGGGACCAUGAGGGUGGGGGGCGUGCCCACCCCCCUAGGGCGCGCCUUGCACCCUCAUGGCCGCCUCAGCUGCUUCUUGACGUCCACUCCAAGUCUCCUGGAUUGCGUUUGUUCCAAAAAGAUUGCUCCCGAAGGUUUCAUUCCGUUUGGACUCCGUUUGAUAUUCCUUUUCUAUAAAACACUGAAAUAGGCAAAAAAAUAGCAAUUCGGGUUGGGCUUCCGGUUAGUAGGUUAGUCCCAAAAAUGAUAUAGAAGUGCAAAGUAAAGCCCAAUAACAUCCAAAACUGGUAAUAUAAUAGCAUUGAACAAUAAAAAAUUAUAGAUACGUUGGAGACGUUUCAACGCCCCCCUACAAAAGAAGAGAAGGAUCACCUAAAAGGAGAAGCAAAAGGGAAGAAUCACCUCCAAGGGAGAGGAGUAGAGAUGAUCGCUAUGAACGAAGAACCUCUCGAAGAAGCAAGGAUUCAGAAAGGAAGGACAAGUCAUCAAGGAGCUACACAAAAUGAAGACAUCAAGCUCAUGUUGGUGAAUGGGUAUCCAACUCCGACUCCGACCACCACUCCGAGAGAAGUUAUCACUCCGACUCGGAAUGUACUCAAGAUGAAGGUGUUGCCGGUCUAGCACUUGUGUCAACAAACUCCUAUGACAUAUUUGAUUCACCAAAUGAAGGAAUUGGAAGAUGCUUCAUGGCUAAAGGCCCCAAGGUAUCACACCCCGAGUAUGUUGUUUUCAAUAGUGAUGAAGAUGAUUUGCUAGGUGAUGAUGAUUUACUUGUUGAAAACUCUAGUGAUGAAUACUAUGAUGAAAUUGCUAUUAAUCAUGCUAAUCAAGAUAAAACGAAUGACAAGGAUAAGAAGGAGAUUGAGCUUCUAACUAAAGAACUAAACACUCUUAAGUUAGCUCAUGAAACUACUUUAGAAGAUCAUCGAGAACUUUUAAAAACUCAUGAGAAGCUACGCUUGGAGAAGCUCAAUCUUGAGCAAGAACAUGGGUUCUUAAAAGCCAUCAAUGAUGAUCUUCGGAAGAAAAUUUCUUCUUACAUUGCCAAGCAUUUACUCUUGUCUACUUACAUGCCACAAGUAAAAUCUAGCAACAAGAGUAAGAAAGAUUCUUCUUCUAGUAGUAACAAUAAUCAUGCUAAAUCCAAUAUUGUUGCUUCUAGUAGUUCUCUUGAUUCCACUAAUGAUUCUCUUAGCCAAGUUACACUUGAGCAAGAAAAUAGCUUACUGAAGGGAAUUAUAGAGAAAGGUGUUUACAAGAGCCUUGCCGGAAGUUAACAAUUUGAGGAAUUGUACGCAAGCAAGGAAGGCACCGCAAGAAUCAAGGUGUUGGUUUUGAACGAAAGUUGAAUGCCAAUGGAGUUGAGUGGGAAGAAGAUCAAUACCCCAAGACGAAGUUUGUUCCUCAACAAGAGAAGCAUGAUCCUACUUCCUUCAAGGGAACACAAGCUCAAGAUGAUCUUCCACCACAAGACCACAAGCCAAAAGUCAAGGACAAGCUUCAAGAGGAGAUUGAUGCAUUUGAAGAUGCUCCAAAGGCCUUGGUCAAUUGGGUUCCCAAGUCUACGUCAAGUUCUACUUCAUCAAGUACAUCUACAACCCCAAGGAUUACCAUCAAGAUGCUGUGGACCCCGAAGAAGAAGAACUAGAGGGUUCUUGAGGGCGACUCCGCCAACAUACUUCACUCAUAUUCAUUUUGGCAAGGACAAGUGCAAACAACUUCCACAUAUUGCACUAUAUCAAGGAGUCACAAACCCUCUUGUUGGUAAGACAAGGGACAAGGUAAUCUAAUUCUUUCAUGCACAUCAUCAUGUGUGUGCUUCACUCUAUGUCUAUGGAUAUCCUUGUUUGUUCCUUGUGGGACUAACCCAUGUAGGUAUUGAAAGUGCAAUUCACUCCAAUGGAUUUCUCCAAAUGAUCUACAUCAACAAUGAGCAUCCACAUCUUCAACAUCUACAUGAAGUCUUCAUCGACAAAACCCAAGGUUAGUUCAUCCCUCUUAGGGGGGAUAUCACAUCUAGGGGGAUCUUUACUCUAAGAAUUGAGCUAAAGCAACUCUAAUGGUGUGAACACAACAAUGCUUUGUGUAAAAGUGGUAACCCCACUUGUGCUUAAAAGAUGAGUAUGACCUAUGAUCAAAUGUUCUCAUUUGACUCCUAAGUCAAUAUACUCAUAUAUAAAUGACCUAGUCAUCGCCAAUUGCUUGAUAGAUGCUAGAGUGAUUGUUCAUGCUUUGCCACAUAUUUCAUUUGCCAUUUUAUUGUGUGAGCAUGUUGAUUGCAUAUUUUUCUCAUUCGAGGACAUCCAUUUGUUGCUUUGAUUGUUUGGAUUUUCUUCUUUUGCCAAAUGGAUGGACAAGAAUGCCUAAAAACUUCCUCUAGCUAUCUAUGCUUUUCUCGUCUCAAGCUCUAUUCAUGCUACAUCACAAAGUUUGAACAAGUCAUAUUCGAACCAUCUGGGUGAGGAGCACUCAGAGUCACCGAGAAUUCGUCAUAGACUUAAACUUCCAAAACUUCUCUGUGCAUUUCGUUCUGACCGAUUCAUCCUUUUCGGUCAUACGGAGUGUACUGAGUUGAUCUAGGUUUUCAAUCUUGGUGCAAACGAUUAGAACUUUUCGGUCACACCGAGUUGCAGUAACCACUUGUGAUUCUGCAUCUCGGUGCCACCGAGUUGUUCCACUCGAUCACACCGACAGUGUCAGGAUAUAUAUACCAAUGGGUCAAAGUUUGGAAAUUACUCCAAAACCUUUUAGCCCGCACGUGUCCUGCUCUGCCGACUCGGGUCUCCGGAUCGUCCUCUCAUUGUCAGCGACCUCUCGCCACUGGUCUCCGUUGCCGCCGUAGCGAGCUCAUCGCCAAGUUAGGGUAUGAGUUCAACACUUUGUGCAAUCAUUUACCUUCGAUUCUUAGCACAAAGACAAUGCCAUGUUUCUUACCAAGUAUGAGAUCAAUCUAUCCAGAGAAAACUUCCAUUAGAUUAGUUUUGAUUUGAAAAUUUAGGGUUAGGUUCCCGCCGAACUCAUCUCGGACCAACCGAGUUGUAGAAAUCGGUCUCACCGAUUUGGCUUAGGCCAUUGCACUUGUAAUUUUCGGUCUGACCAAAAAUUGCAAAUCCGUGUGACCAAGUUUAGAACUUUCUGAAACCCUAGCAAACUCGAAGUCACCGAACCAUGUCUCGGUCUAACCGAUUCCACUAGUUUAGACUCCAAAGUUGCUCCGGUGUCACCGAGUUUAACAAAUCGGUAACUCCGAAAUGCUUUCCGUGGAUAACUAAAACUAAGUUUUUGACUCAUUCUUUUUGCAAAUAUUCUGCACUUUGUGAUGCUCAUCCACUCUAUCUCAUCUACAACUAUUCACAGGGUCAGCUCUCAGUUUGCAGUGACAAAAUGUCUGAUCAGAGUGACAACCAGAACAAGUCAGAGGAGCAGAUGGAUCUGAGUGAGGGUAGUAGUCCCUUUGGAAGCUAUGAUGAGGGGAGCAGGAGCACUCCAAGCAACCUGCCUAAGGCAACAACAAGGCAGAUGAAGAAGAAAACUUCAGAUUCAGAGGAUGAAGAUUUUGAAGUUGAGGAAGUGACUUCAAAGAAGAAGGUGCUCAAAAAGGAACAUGCUGCUGCUGCUUCCACCAAGCCAGGUCUGAACAAGAAGGCUCCAGCCAAGAGAGUGCCAAUGUCAAAGGCUAGAGCAUCAACACAAGCGACAAUGGAAUUCACUCUUGAGCCCAGAGAAGAUGCUGAUGGAAGGAAAAGAAAAGAAAGGGUCAGAAAAACUGUUGCAAGAGUGAUUGGAAAUCCUUCAAUGAGGAGAGAUUCUGCAGGAGAGGAAGAAGAAGAGGAUGUUGCACCAGCACCCAAGUCUCAAAAGCUGAUGGGGGAUGCCAUCAAGUCUGGGGCUGCUCCUUCAAAGCCCAAGACUGCCCCCAAAUCUCCAGCUCAAGCUUCCAAGACUGCACCCAAGAGAAGCACUAGGAACAUUCCUGUUGUAGAGAAAAACAAGGCCCCAGUGCCUGAGAUUGAAGAAGAGGAAGAGGAAGCCCAAGUGCUCAGAAAAUUAAAGCCAAAGAUACCAGACCAUGAUGACAAUCAUCCAGUGGUAGAGAAUAUGAAAGAGAGAAAGGAUGCAUGUCUCAGACUAUGGAGGCAAGCAGAUCCAUAUGUUCUGAGGAGGAGAACUACUGUGGACUACAGAUUUCACACCAAAGAACAGUAGGACUUCUAUGAGACUGUACUCCUUGACAAGAAGCCCAUUGUGUGUGACAUGAAGUGGGUUGAUUGGAAAUACAUUGAUGCUAAUGAAGAUCAUUUUCCAGGAGUGCAUGAAAGCUUCAAGCUCAAUGGAGUUGACAAGUUUGUGGGUCAGAAAUUAACCAAAUGGAGUGAUGAGAUCAUUAUGCAAUUCUACUCAACAGCUCAUUUCUAUCCUGAUGGAAAAAUUGUCUGGAUGUCAGAAGGUACUAGGUACCAGUCCUCUAUUGAUGAGUGGGCCAAGCUCAUUAAUGCCCCCAAAGAAGCUGAGAAAGACAUUGAUGUCUAUGCUGAGAAGAAGAAGGAUCACAACUCCAGGGCCAAUAUGUACAAGGAGAUACCUGACAAAGCCUUGGAGACACACAAGCUAGGCUCAGUGUAUUACUUGAUGUCUGGAUUGGCCACAAUGAACACCAUUCUGAGGCACACCUUGUUGCCCAAAUCAGGAGAUCACAGGAUGAUCAGAGACCACUCCAUCACUUUGCUUCAGCUCUUUGACUUGCCCCAGAAGUUCAAAGUUAUGAGUUUGAUUGUUGAGACCAUCAAGAGAAUAGCUGCUGACCAGAAGAGGUCAUGUGGAUAUGCUCCACACAUUCAUAUGUUGAUUAAUUCCAAGAUGAGCAAAGGUGUCUACUUGUUGGACAAAGAGCAUCUUCCCUUGAGGCCUGACUUUGAGGACAACAUUGUUGUCAUGAAUGCUGAAGAUCUCACAUCUGUGGAAGCUCUAGAGAAGAGGUAGAAAGCAAAAGCUGGGAAGGCAACAAAGAUGACAAGUGCUGAAGAAGCUUCACAGGUUUUCCUCAAGUCAAACCAAGACCAACUUGGAUAUCUUAUUCAGUCUACUUUGAGGAUUGAGAAAGGACUGGCCACCCUGACUCAGAAUCAGGAGAGCCUGGAGAGGAUCAUUGAAACAAAGUUCUAUGAUCUUGACUUGAAGGUGACAGAGAUACAAACAACAGUUGAGCAGCUCCAAGAAGAAGCAGAAGAGAGGAAGGGGAAGCAACCACUGAAGUGAUUCAGAGAGUGCCUAGGGCAUAGAGAUCUGUAGCAGUGCUAGUGCCAGACACUAGAGCUACAACAUUAGCACCUGCAGCCACAGCUCCAGUUUCCCCUCCAGUGGCAACUUCACCAGCUCCAUCAACUUCAACAGAUGCUUUCAUCCUUGGAGUCCUCUCAACACCACCUCCUGAAGAUCAAGCUUAGAGAGCCGCAUAGCACUAUGCAUUUUCAAGCUUUUUGGUAACUUGUUGCCAAAAGGGGAGAAACUAUAUAAAUCAUAGGCUGAGAGAGAGAGAGAGAGCCUUGCUUCUUUUGUUACUUAUUUGGUUGCUUGCUUGCUUGAUACUUUUUGUUUAUGUGUGUGAGAUACUUUAUAUGGUCAUGUGUUUGAUCAUAUCAUGUUUAAUGCUUGUGCUUGGAUGAUGAUAUUCUCUAUCUUUUAUGUAUGAUCAUUCACUUUGCCUUGGUGAUGAGUGCUUGUUCCUAUUUCUAUCAUUUUGAGCUCUCCGCCAAGAUGUAUGUGACAUGAAAGAGUAACCCAUGAUCCUAUUUGGUUGUGCAUUUGCAUUCAAAAACAAAUCUUAAAUAAUGCACAAAUUUAGGGGAAGCUCUUGCUUAUCACAUACUCCUCAAAGCGACGAUGUUUUUCAUUCUUAUUAUCAUUUAUCGAAGCUUUGAUCUAUAUGUUGUAAUCAAUUACCAAAAAGGAGGAGAUUGAAAGUGCAACUAAUCCCUGGGUGGUUUUGGUAAUUUUUAACAACAUAUAGCUCAUUGAACUAAUUCUCUUUUAGGAUGAACAUUUCAGAAAGUUCAAUGAUUGGCAUGGCAUGGAGUAGAUAUGUGGACCCUCAAAAUGCUAAGGACACAUAUUGGCAACAAGCUCAAGACUCUACAUUUUCUUUUUAGUGAUCCAAGAUCACAUUGAGUCCAUAGGAAAGCCAAUACUAUUAAAAGGGGAUGAGGUGUUGCUUAAUGGCUUACUUGCUCAAAAUGCUUAGUGAUAUGCUCCAAAACCCUCAACCACUUUCUCAUUUCCUCCUUAUGUCCUAAACCUAAAAGUCAAACUUAGCCCCAUCGAUUUGAUAUAUCUGGUGCCACCGAGUUCAUUUGACAUAGCCACUGCCACAAACCCUACUCAGUUCGGUUUCACUGAUGGGGAUCUCGGUCUCACCGAGAUGGGAUUGCAAACUCUCUGUUUCCCUUUGUAAUAUUUCGGUCUCACCGAAAUGAGCGACCGGUCCCACCGAGUUUGCAAUGCAAACUCCCUAUUUCCUUUUCGUAACGUUUCGGUCCCACCGAAAUGAGCAAUGCAGAUGGAUUUAUUGAUAGAAUUGUUGUAGGGGAAAUGAGGAAAUUUCCAAUGCAAGAAUUACUAGCAUACAUUUUCCUUUUCUACGUUACUUCGCAAUAUUUUCUAGUAGAUGUUUGAUUGGUCGCGGGAACAGUGGAAAUCUUAGUGCCCCUGAUAUUGUUAUUUUGCGCCAUGCUUUGUUUCGUGAUACAACUUCCAGUUUAGGCGCUGUUAUUGCUAAGCGAUUAAGUUUGAACUGUACAAAGGGCCCCAUCUUCGGUGGUAUCUUUGCUUCGCGCCUUGCUGCACACUUUAAGAUACCUAUUAGGCAUUAUGAGAAAGAGGAAAAGUUGUUGCGCCCUAUUUUUCUAGAUUAUAAGAGUAUGGUAGCACAUGAAUUUAUUGUUAAAAAUAAGAAGAUGAUGCUUAAGUAUAAGUUGAUAUUUAAUAAAACUCACUAUGAGACUAUUAUCUUGCCUACACCCUCUUUGUUUAACAUACUUUCACACACGUAACUCAUCUUGCCGGAGGCCGUUUACGCAUACUGGAGCCUGACACCAGCUCUAGAGCCUGAGCCGGAACCACCACUUGACCCGUAUCGAUAUUCCGUUUAUCAGUGGAACCUGGAGGAGAUCGCCAACCAGUGGCACCCAGAUGACACUCCUCCGCACACCGGAGAAGGGAGUUUUGCUCCGUGGGAAUAUACCAACUUAGGCCAUGAUACGUCUCCAACGUAUCUAUAAUUAUGAAGCAUUCGUGCUAUUUUAUUAUCUGUUUUGAAUGACUAUGGGCCUUAUUAUACACUUUUAUAUUACUUUUGGGACUAACCUAUUAACCGGAGGCCCAAUCCAUAUUGCUGUUUUAUUGCCUGUUUCAGUAUUUCGAAGAAAAAGAAUAUCAAACGGAGUCCAAAUGGAAUAAAACCUUCGGGAGCGUGAUUUUUAGGAAUAAUAUGAUCUGGGAGACUUGGAGUUCACGUCAGAAGAUCCUCGAGGAGGCCACGAGAUAGGGGGUACACCCACCCCCCUGGGCGCGCCCUACCCUCUCGUGGGCCCCUUGAGGCUCCCCCGACUGACUUCUUUCGCCUAUAUAAGCCUACAUACCCUAAAAACAUCGAGGAGGAAGAUAGAUCGGAAGUUUCGCUACCGCAAGCCUCUGUAGCCACGAGAAAUCAAUCUAGGCCCUCUUCGGCACCCUGCCAGAGGGGGCCAUCAUCAUCGGAGGCCAUGGAGGAGGAUCUCGAAGGGGCCAUCAUCGCCAUGAAGGCCAAGGUCCAGAGGGGAAAGCCAUGGAGGAGGAAGCACAAGGGGGAGAACCUCUCCUCCUCUCUCUUGGUGGCACCGGAGUGCCAUCGGGAGGGGAAUCAUCGCCGCGGUGAUCGUCUUCAUUGACAUCACCAUCCUCAUCUCUUUUAUGCGGUCCACUCUUCCGCACCCUGCUGUAAUCCCUACUUGAACAUGGUGCUUCAUGCCACAUAUUAUGAUCCAAUGAUGUGUUGCCAUCCUAUGAUGUUUUGAGCAGAUAUCUUUUGUCUUUGGGUUGAUUGAUGAUCUAGAUUGGUAUGAGUUGUAUGUUUUACUUUGAUGUUGUCCUAUGGUGCCCUCUGUGUUGCGCAAGCGUGAGGGAUUCCCGCUGUAGGGUGUUGCAAUACGUUCAUGAUUCGCUUAUAGUGGGUUGGUGAGUGACUGAAACACAAACCCGAGUAAGAGGGAUUGUUGCGUAUGGGAAUAAAGAGGACUUGAUGCUUUAAUGCUAUGGUUGGGUUUUACCUUAAUGAUCUUUAGUAGUUGCGGACGCUUUCUAGAGUUCCAAUCAUAAGUGCAUAUGAUCCAAGUAGAUAAAGUACGUUAGCUUAUGCCUCUCCCUCAUAUGAAAUUGCGAUGGCGACUAUCGGUCUUGUUAACAAUUGCCUAGGACAAUUCCGCACACCAAUCCAUCAUUAUUCCACACUCGCUAUUUAUAUUAUUUAGUAAUAUAUUCUAACUUUAUGAUAACAACACCUACUUUUAUAUUUUAGCUCUUCGAUAUCUUACAAAGUUAUCCUCUUUAUACCCACAACAUAGUUUUAUUUCUUGUUUCUAGUUGGAAGCAAACGUUCGGUGCACGUAGAGUUGUAUCAGUGGCAGAUAGGGCUUGAGAGAAUAUUGAUCUUACCUUUAGCUCCUUGUGGUUUCGACACUCCAUACUUAUCACUUCCACCUUUGAGAAUUGCCACAAUGAUUCCCUGCACUUGAGGAUAUUCAAGCUCUUUUCUGGCGCCGUUGCCGGGGAGCAAUAGCGUGGGGUUUAUAUUCUCGUGUGUGCUUGUUUGCUUUCUUCACUAAGUAGAUUUUGUUUUUCCUUUUUGUUUCUAUUUAGUUGUGGGUGAAACAUAAUUUUUUUUAAAAGAAUGAAAAUACAAAAAAAAAUACUUGCCUCUCAUGCCUAAAAAAGUUUUUCAAAAAGAGAAGUGAUUGGAAAGUUAUGCAUUGAAGAAGGGAGGGUCGUGUUGGGUAACGUAGUAAUUUCAAAAAAAUUCCUUGCACAUGCAAGAUCAUGGUGAUGCAUAGCAACGAGAGGGGAGAGUGUUGUCUACAUACCCUUGUAGACCGUAAGCGGAAGCGUUAGCACAACGCGGUUGAUGUAGUCGUACGUCUUCACGGCCCGACCGAUCAAACACCGAAACUACGGCACCUCCGAGUUCUAGCACACGUUCAGCUCGAUGACGUCCCUCGAAUUCCGAUCCAGCCGAGUGUCGAGGGAGAGUUCCGUCAGCAUGACGGGCGUGGUGACGAUCUUGAUGUUCUACCGUCGCAGGGCUUCGCCUAAGCACUGCUACGAUAUUAUCAAGGUGGACUAUGGUGGAGGGGGGCACCGCACACGGCUAAGAGAUCCAAGGGAUCAAUUGUUGUGUCUUUGGUGCUAGCCCUGCCCCUCUAUUUAUAUGUUGAGCCCCGGGGUCGAAACUUGGAGCAAAAGCCUCCUCAAAGUCGGUUUUGCCCGAAAGGCAAGAGUCCCACUCGGACUCCAGGACCAAACGCCACAAUCCUUGGCGUCUGGCCCAGACGCCAUGGGCCUCGGCGUCUGGCCCAGGGCCAGACGCCAGGGUCUCUGGUGUUUGGCCCCCUGGCCUCCGCAAAACUCCUUUUGCACCGACCUAAAGCCUCAUGGGCUUGACCCCUUGGCCUAACCAUAUCAUCCAAUAUAUGAAUCUUUACGUCUCGACCAUUUUGAGACUCCUCGUCAUGUCCCCGAUCUCAUCCGGGACUCCGAACUCCUUCGGUACAUCAAAACAUAUAAAAUCAUAAUAUAACUGUCAUUGAAACCUUAAGCGUGCGGACCCUACGGGUUCGAGAACAAUGUAGACAUGACCGAAACACGUUUCCGGUCAAUAACCAAUAGCGAAACCUGGAUGCUCAUAUUGGCUCCCACAUAUUCUACGAAGAUCUUUAUCGGUCAGACCGCAUAACAACAUACGUUGUUCCCUUUGUCAUCGGUAUGUUACUUGCCCGGGAUUCGAUCGUCGGUAUCCAAUACCUAGUUCAAUCUCGUUACCGGCAAGUCUCUUUACUCGUUACGUAAUACAUCAUCUCACAACUAACUCAUUAGUUGUAAUGCUUGCAAGGCUUAAGUGAUGUGUAUUACCGAGAGGGCCCAGAGAUACCUCUCCAACAAUUGGAGUGACAAAUCCUAAUCUUGAAAUACGCCAACCCAACAAGUACCUUUGGAGACACCUGUAGAGCACCUUUAUAAUCACCCAGUUAUGUUGUGACGUUUGGUAGCACACAAAGUGUUCCUCCGGUAAACGGGAGUUGCAUAAUCUCAUAGUUACAGGAACAUGUGUAAGUCAUGAAGAAAGCAAUGGCAACAUACUAAACGAUCAAGUUCUAAGCUAACGGAAUGGGUCAAGUCAAUCACAUCAUUCUCCUAAUGAUGUGAUCCCGUUAAUCAAAUGACAACUCAUGUCUAUGGUUAGGAAACUUAACCAUCUUUGAUUAACGAGCUAAUCAAGUAGAGGCAUACUAGUGACACUAUGUUUGUCUAUGUAUUCACACAUGUAUUAUGUUUCCGGUUAAUACAAUUCUAGCAUGAAUAAUAAACAUUUAUCAUGAAAUAAGGAAAUAAAUAAUAACUUUAUUAUUGCCUCUAGGGCAUAUUUCCUUCAGUCUCCCACUUGCACUAGAGUCAAUAAUCUAGUUCACAUCGCCAUGUGAUUUAACCCCAAUAUUCAUAUCUGUAUAUGAUUAACACCCAUAGUUCACAUCGCCAUGUGACCAACACCCAAAGGGUUUACUAGAGUCAAUAAUCUAGUUCACAUCGCUAUGUGAUUAACACCCAAAAGAGUACUAAGGUGUGAUCAUGUUUUGCUCGUGAGAGAGGCUUAGUCAACGGGUCUGUCACAUUCAGAGCCGUAUGUAUUUUACAAAUAUACUAUGUCUACAAUGCUCUGCACAGAGCUAUUAUAGCUAAUUGCUUCCACUUUCAAUAUGUAUCCAGAUUGAGACUUAGAGUCAUCUGGAUUGGUGUAAAAGCUUGCACUGAUGUAACUCUUUACGACGGGCUCUUUUAUCACCUCCAUAAUCGAGAAAUAUUUCCUUAGUCCUUACUAAGGAUAUUCUUGACCAAUGUCCAGUGAUCUACUCCUAGAUCACUAUUGUAUUCCCUUACCAAAUACAGAACAAGGUAUACAAUAGGUCUGGUACAUAGCAUAGCAUACUUUAUAGAACCUAUGACUGAUGCAUAGGGAAUGACUUUCAUUCUCUUUCUAUUUUCUGCCGUGGUCGGGAUUUGAGUCUUACUCAACUUCACACCUUGGGAACACAGGCAAGAACUCCUUCUUUGACUGUUCCAUUUUGAACCACUUCAAAAUCUUAUCAAGGUAUGUACUCAUUGAAAAAUCUUAUCAAGCGUCUUGAUCUAUCUCAAUAGAUCUGGAUGCUCAAUAUGUAAGUAGCUUUACUGAGGUUUUUCAUUGAAAAAAACUCCUUUUAAACACUCCUUUAUGCUUUGCAGAAUAAUUCUACAUUAUUUCCGAUCAACAAUAUGUCAUUCACAUAUACUUAUCAGAAAUGUUGUAGUGCUCCCACUCACUUUCUUGUAAAUACAGGCUUCACCGCAAGUCUGUAUAAAACUAUAUGCUUUGAUCAACUUAUCAAAGCGUAUAUUCCAACUCUGAGAUGCUUGCACCAGUCCAUAGAUGGAUCGCUGGAGCUUGCACAUUUUGUUAGCACCUUUAGGAUUGACAAAACCUUCUGGUUGUAUCAUAUACAACUCUUCUUUAAUAAAUCCAUUAAGGAAUGUAGUUUUGACAUCCAUUUGCCAAAUUUCAUAAAAUGUGGCAAUUGCUAACAUGAUUCGGACAAACUUUUAAGCAUCGAUACGAGUGAGAAAAUCUCAUUGUAUUCAACACCUCGAACUUUGUCAAAAACCUUUUUCGACAAGUCUAGCUUUGUAGAUAGUAACACUACUAUCAGCGUCCGUCUUCCUCUUGAAGAUCCAUUUAUUUUCUAUGGCUUGCCGAUCAUUGGGCAAGUCCACCAAAGUCCACACUUUGUUCUCAUACAUGGAUCCUAUCUCAGAUUUCAUGGCCUCAAACCAUUUUGCGGAAUCUGGGCUCAUCAUCGCUUCCUCAUAGAUCAUGGUCUAGUAACAUGAUUUCCAGAAUAGGAUUACCGUACCACUCUGGUGCGGAUCUUAAUCUGGAAGAUCUACAAAGUUCGGUAGUAACUUGAUCUGAAGCUUCAUGAUCAUUAUCAUUAGCUUCCUCACUGAUUGGUGUAGGAAUCACUAGAACUGGUUUCUGUGAUGAACUACUUUCCAAUUCGGGAGAAGGUACAAAUUACCUUAUCAAGCUCUACUUUCCUCCCACUCACUUCUUUCGAGAGAAACUCCUUCUCUAGAAAGGAUCAAUUUUUAGCAACGAAUAUCUUGCCUUCGGAUCUGUGAUAGAAGGUGUACCCAACUGUUUCCUUUGGGUAUUCUAUGAAGACGCACUUCUCCGAUUUGGGCUCGAGCUUAACAGGUUGAAAACCUUUUUUCACAUAAGCAUAACAACUCCAAACUUUAAGAAACAACAACUUAGGUUUACUGCUAAACCAUAGUUCAUACGGUGUCGUCUCAACGGAUUUUGAUGGUGCCCUAUUAAACGUGAAUGCAGCUGUCUCUAAUGCAUAACCCCAAAACGAUAGUGGUAAACUGAUAAGAGACAUCAUAGAUCGCACCAUAUCUAGUAAAGUAUGAUUACGACAUUCGGACACACCAUUACAUUGUGGUGUUCCAGGUGGCAUGAGUUUGUGAAACUAUUCCACAUUGUUUUAAUUGAAGACCAAACUCGUAACUCAAAUAUUUGUCUCUGCGAUCAAAUCAUAGAAACUUUAUUUUCUUGUUACGAUGAUUCUCCACUUCACUCUGAAAUUCUUUGAACCUUUCAACUAUUUCAGACUUAUGUUUCAUCAAGUAGAUAUACCCAUAUCUGCUCAAAUCAUCUUGUGAAGGUCAGAAAAUAACGAUACUUGCCACGAGCAUCAACACUCAUUGGAUCGCAUACAUCGGUAUGUAUUAUUUCCAAUAAGUCAGUAGCUUGUUCCAUUGUUCCGGAGAACGGAGUUUUAGUCAUCUUGCCCAAAAGGCACGGUUCGCAAGCAUCAAAUGAUUCAUAAUCAAGUGAUUCCAAAAUCCCAUCAGCAUGGAGUUUCUUCAUGCGCUUUACACCAAUAUGACCCAAACGGCAGUGCCACAAAUAAGUUGCACUAUCAUUAUUAACUUUGCAUCUUUUGGCAUCAAUAUUAUGAAUAUGUGUAUCACUACGAUCGAGAUCCAACAAACUAUUUUCAUUGGGUGUAUAACCAUCGAAGGUCUUAUUCAUGUAAACAGAAUAACAAUUAUUCUUUAACUUCAAAUGAAUAACCGUAUCGCAAUAAAUAUGAUCAAAUCAUAUUCAUGCUCAACGCAAAUGCUAAAUAACAUUUCUUUAGGUUUAACACUAAUCUCAAAAUAUAGGGAGUGUGCGAUGAUGAUCAUAUCAAUCUUGGAACUACUUCCAACACUCAUCAUCACUUCUCCUUCAACUAGUCUUUGUUUAUUCUGUAACUCCUGUUUCGAGUUACUAAUCUUAGCAACCGAACAAGUAUCAAGUACUCAGGGGCUACUAUAAACACUAGUAAGGCACACAUCAAUAACCUGUAUAUCAAAUAUACCCUUGUUCACUUUGCCAUCCUUCUUAUCCACCAAAUAUUCAGGGCAUUUUCGCUUCCAGUGACCAUUUCCUUUGCAGUGUAAGCACUCAGUUUCAGGCUUUGGUCCAGCUUUGGUCUUCUUCACGGGAGUGACAACUUUUUUGCCAUUCUACUUGAAGUUUCCCUUUCUUUCCCUUUGCCCUUUUCUUGAAACUAGUGGUCUUGUCAAUCAUCAACACUUGAUGCUUUUUCUUGAUUUCUACCUUCAUCGAUUUCAACAUCACAAAGAGCUCGGGAAUCAUUUUCAUCAUCCCUUGCAUACUAUAGUUCAUCACGAAGUUCUAGUAACUUAGUGAUGGUGACUAGAGAAUUCUGUCAAUCACUAUCUUAUCUGGAAGAUUAACUCCCACUUGAUUCAAGCAAUUGAAGUACCCAGACAAUCUGAUCACAUGCUCACUAGUUGAGUGAUUCUCCUCCAUCUUUUAGCUAUAGAACUUGUUGGAGACUUCAUAUCUCUCAACUCGGGUAUUUUCUUGAAAUAUUAACUUCAAUUCCUGGAACAUCUCAUAUGGUCCAUGACGUUCAAAACGUCUUUGAAGUCCCAAUUCUAAGCCGUUAAGCAUGGUGCACUAAACUAUCAAGUAGUCAUAAUAUUGAGCUAGCCAAACAUUCAUAACGUCUACAUCUGCUUCUGCAAUAGGUCUGUCACCUAGCGGUGCAUUAAGGACAUAAUUCUUCUGCGCAGCAAUGAGGAUAAACCUCAGAUCACGGAUCCAAUCCGCAUCAUUGCUACUAACAUUUUUCAACACAAUUUUCUCUAGGAACAUAUCAAAAUAAACAUAUGAAAGCAACAACGCAAGCUAUUGAUCUACAACAUAAUUUGCAAAAUACUACCAGGACUAAGUUCAUGAUAAAUUUAAGUUCAAUUAAUCAUAUUACUUAAGAACUCCCACUUAGAUAGACAUCCCUCUAAUCCUCUAAGUGAUUACGUGAUCCAUAUCAACUACACCAUGUCCGAUCGUCACGUGAGAUGGAGUAGUUUCAACGGUGAACAUCAAUAUGUUGAUCGUAUCUACUAUAUGAUUCACGCUCGACCUUUCGAUCUCCGUGUUCCGAGGCCAUAUCUGUUAUAUGCUAGGCUCGUCAAGUUUAACCUGAGUAUUCCACGUGUGCAACUGUUUUGCACCCGUUGUAUUUGAACAUAGAGCCUAUCACACCCGAUCAUCACGUGGUGUCUCAGCACGAAGAACUUUCGCAAUGGUGCAUACUCAGGGAGAACACUUCUUGAUAAUUUUAGUGAGAGACCAUCUUAAAAUGCUACCGUCAAUCAAAGCAAGAUAAGAUGCAUAAAGGAUAAACAUCACAUGCAAUCAAUAUAAGUGAUAUGAUAUGGCCAUCAUCAUCUUGUGCUUGUGAUCUCCAUCUUCGAAGCACCGUCAUGAUCACCAUCGUCACCGGAGCGACACCUUGAUCUCCAUCGUAGCAUCGUUGUCGUUACACCAUCUAUUGCUUCUACGACUAUCGCUACCGCUUAGUGAUAAAGUAAAGCAAUUACAGGGCGUUUGCAUUUCAUACAAUAAAGCGACAACCAUAUGGCUCCUGCCAGUUGCCGAUAACUUCGGUUACAAAACAUGAUCAUCUCAUACAAUAAAAUAUAGCAUCACGUCUUGGCCAUAUCACAUCACAACAUGCCCUGCAAAAACAAGUUAGACGUCCUCUACUUUGUUGUUGCAAAUUUUAUGUGGCUGCUACGGGCUGAGCAAGAACCAUUCUUACCUAUGCAUCGAAACCACAACGAUAGUUCGUCAAGUUAGUGAUGUUUUAACCUUCGCAAGGACCGGGCGUAGCCACACUCGGUUCAACUAAAGUUGGAGAAACAGACACCCGCUAGUCACCUGUGUGCAAAGCACGGCGGUAAAACCAGUCUCGCGUAAGCGUACGCGUAAUGUCGGUCCAGGCCGCUUCAUCCAACAAUACUGCUGAACCAAAGUAUGACAUGCUGGUAAGCAGUAUGACUUGUAUCGCCCACAACUCACUUGUGUUCUACUCGUGCAUAUAACAUCAACGCAUAAAACCUAGGCUCUGAUACCACUGUUGGGUAACGUAGUAAUUUCAAAAAAAAUCCUAUGCACAUGCAAGAUCAUGGUGAUGCAUAGCAACGAGAGGGGAGAGUGUUGUCUACAUACCCUUGUAGACCGUAAGCGGAAGCGUUAGCACAACGCGGUUGAUGUAGUCGUACGUCUUCACGGCCCGACCGAUCAAGCACCGAAACUACGGCACCUCCGAGUUCUAGCACACGUUCAGCUCGAUGACGUCCCUCGAACUCCGAUCCAGCCGAGUGUCGAGGGAGAAUUCUGUCAGCACGACGGGCGUGGUGACGAUCUUGAUGUUCUACCGUCGCAGGGCUUCGCCUAAGCACUGCUACGAUAUUAUCGAGGUGGACUAUGGUGGAGGGGGGCACCGCACACGGCUAAGAGAUCCAAGGGAUCAAUUGUUGUGUCUUUGGUGCUAGCCCUGCCCCUCUAUUUAUAUGUUGAGCCCCGGGGUCGAAACUUGGAGCAAAAGCCUCCUCAAAGUCGGUUUUGCCCGAAAGGCAAGAGUCCCACUCGGACUCCAGGACCAAACGCCACAAUCCUUGGCGUCUGGCCCAGACGCCAUGGGCCUCGGCGUCUGGCCCAGGGCCAGACGCCAGGGUCUCUGGUGUUUGGCCCCCUGGCCUCUGCAAAACUCCUUUUGCACCGACCUAAAGCCUCAUGGGCUUGACCCCUUAGCCUAACCAUAUCAUCCAAUAUAUGAAUCUUUACGUCUCAACCAUUUCGAGACUCCUCGUCAUGUCCCCGAUCUCAUCCGGGACUCCGAACUCCUUCGGUACAUCAAAACAUAUAAACUCAUAAUAUAACUGUCAUUGAAACCUUAAGCGUGCGGACCCUACGGGUUCGAGAACAAUGUAGACAUGACCGAAACACGUUUCCGGUCAAUAACCAAUAGCGGAACCUGGAUGCUCAUAUUGGCUCCCACAUAUUCUACGAAGAUCUUUAUCGGUCAGACCGCAUAACAACAUACGUUGUUCCCUUUGUCAUCGGUUUGUUACUUGCCCGGGAUUCGAUCGUCGGUAUCCAAUACCUAGUUCAAUCUCGUUACCGGCAAGUCUCUUUACUCGUUAUGUAAUACAUCAUCUCACAACUAACUCAUUAGUUGUAAUGCUUGCAAGGCUUAAGUGAUGUGUAUUACCGAGAGGGCCCAGAGAUACCUCUCCGACAAUCGGAGUGACAAAUCCUAAUCUCGAAAUACGCCAACCCGACAAGUACCUUUGGAGACACCUGUAGAGCACCUUUAUAAUCACCUAGUUAUGUUGUGACGUUUGGUAGCACACAAAGUGUUCCUCCGGUAAACGGGAGUUGCAUAAUCUCAUAGUUACAGGAACAUGUGUAAGUCAUGAAGAAAGCAAUGGCAACAUACUAAACGAUCAAGUUCUAAGCUAACGGAAUGGGUCAAGUCAAUCACAUCAUUCUCCUAAUGAUGUGAUCCCGUUAAUCAAAUGACAACUCGUGUCUAUGGUUAGGAAACUUAACCAUCUUUGAUUAACGAGCUAGUCAAGUAGAGGCAUACUAGUGACACUAUGUUUGUCUAUGUAUUCACACAUGUAUUAUGUUUCCGGUUAAUACAAUUCUAGCAUGAAUAAUAAACAUUUAUCAUGAAAUAAGGAAAUAAAGAAUAACUUUAUUAUUGCCUCUAGGGCAUAUUUCCUUCAGGUCGACCUUGAGCACUUGUGUUCAUGCUCACGGAAACAAUGUAGAAUUUUUCAUGGAAGUUUCUCUGUAAAUAAUUAUCCCCUUGUAUAUAUCCAUUGUAUUAUAAAAAUAAUGUGCCAAGCUUUGGUUUUAGUAUGAUAAGAUUGCUUGCUUACUAUGUGCAGAACAAAAACAGAAACUUUGGCUGUAGUGCAUGAAUUUACAUUUUUUACUAUAAAGUCAAAUGUGUCUGGAACUUUUUUCACAUUACUUCUGUACAAAUGUUUCAAAUUUUACAAUUUAUUUCAUAAUUUUUGGAGUUACAGAAGUUUACUAAACUUACAGAUUACUAGAGACUGUCCUGUUCUUGACAGAUUCUGUCUUUCGUGUGUUGUUUGCUUAUUUUGAUGCAUCUAUGGGUAGUAUGUAAGGGUAUGAACCAUAGAGAAGUUGGAAUACAGUAGGUUUAACACCAAUAUAAAUAAAGAAUAAGUUAAUUACAGUACCUUAAAGUGGUAGUUUGCUUUAUUACACUAACGGAUCUCACAAAGUUUUUGUUUAAGUUUUGUGAAUGAAGUGUUUGAAGAACAAGGAGUUACCGAUGUGAGAAGAAUAAAGAGAGACAAGAGUUCAAGUUUGUGGAUGCCCAAGGCACCCCAGGUAAAUAUUUUAAAAUAUACUCAAGUAUCUAAGCUUGGGGAUGCCCCGGUUGGCAUCCCAUCUUUCUUCUUCGACAGAUAUCGGUAUACCUCGGUUUUUGUUUUGUUCACAUGAUUUGUGUCCUUUGUGUUUUUAUUUUUCUUUAAGAAUCAUGCUAGUAUGAGAUAGAUCUUCACUUAUUUAUAGAAUACUUCAUGUGCUUCACUUAUAUCUUUUAAGUAUGAUCUUAUAGAAUUGCUCUUUGUGCUUCACUUAAAUCAUUUGAGUGUGGUUUUAUAGAAUGCUUCGUGUGCAUCACUUAUAUAUUUUGAGCUUGGACAUUGGUUAGUCUAUAUAAUGUUCCAUGAACUUCACUUAUAUAUUUUGGAGUAUGAAUCAUACUAUAAAUUAAAGUGGGUUUGGAAGAGUGUCAACUUUAGGAAUUAGUGAUCCCACUAUCUUGGAGGGUGUUGAAUCUUAGUGUGAUAUUUAUGAAAGUGGAUUUGGAAGAGUGUCAACUUUAGUUAGUAUUCCACUAUUUCGGAAGAGGUUCCAAUUGAUUAUGAGAACAAAGUUGUUAUCCAUGAUGCUACUGAAAACUAUUAUGAGGGAGGAAUAUAUGCUCGUAGGAGUUGCCAUAAUAUCAAGUUUCCUCUCUAUGUGCUUAAAGUUUUGAAGUUAAACUUGUUUUGCCUUCCUAUGCUAGUUGAUUCUUGUUCCUAUAAAUUGUGUGCUCACAAAAUCCCUAGGCAUAGGAAGUGGGUUAGAUUUAAAUGUGCUAGUCAUAUUCUUCAUGAUGCUCUUUUUAUGUUUCAACUCUUAUCUUUUAUGUGAGCAUCAUUGAAAUCAUCAUGCCUAGCUAAAAGGCAUUAAAGAAAAGCGCUUGUUGGGAGACAACCCAAUAUUUACCCUUAAUGUUUUUGUGUGUCUACAUGAUUAAGAUACUGUAGUAAUCAUGUUUUAUAGCUUUUGUUUCAAUAAAGUUCCAAGUAAGACCUUUGGGAAGACUUGGGUGAGAGUUAAUGUGAUCUUGCUAUUAAAAACAGAAACUUUGCGCUCACGAGAUUAGCUGUCAUUUUUACAGAAGAGUGAUUUUGAGUUGAUUCUUUUUGCAGAAGAUUAAUAGACAAAUUCCUCACGUCCAACAAUUUAUUUCAUAAUUUUUGGAGUAGCAUAAGUAUGGUUAGUGUUCAGAUCAUCACAGACUGCUCUGUUUCUGACAGAUUCUGUUUUCAUCGCAUAAUUUGCUUGUUUUCUAGUUUAUAUGGCUUAUAUUUUGCAAUAUAAAUUGUAGAAAUGAUAUGGUACAGUAGGUAUUGUGUAAAAACAAUUAUUAACCUUGUCUUUUACAGCACCAAAGUGAAUGGUUUACUCUUUAUCAUACUAACCUAUCUCACGAAGUUCCAUUAAGUUUUGUGUGGUUGAAGUUUUCAAGUUUUGGGUGAGAUAUCGAUAGGAGGAGAAUAAGGAGUGGGAAGACCCUAAGCUUGGGGAUGCCCAAGGCACCCCAAGGUAAUAUUCAAGGAAGACUCAAGCGCCUAAGCUUGGGGAUGCCCCGGAAGGCAUCCCCUCUUUCAUCUUCAAAACUAUCGGUAUACCUUACUCGGAGCUAUAUUUUUAUUCGUCACAUGAUAUGUGUUUUGCUUGGAGCGUUUUUUCAAUUUUACUUGCUGUUUGAAUAAAGUCUUUGGGUCUCCAAUAUUGAAUAAAAAAGGAACCCUCCCAUGGUUAGUUAAUUAUUUGACUACUCAGUGUCCUUCACUCAUAUCUUUUGGAGUAGUUUGUCAUUUACUCAUGUGCUUCAUGUAUAUCCUAUGAGUAAAUGGGGGAAUGAAUUGAAUGUCAUAAAUCUGAAUUUCUAUAUGUUUCAUAUGCUUAUAACAUGGAUAGUAAUGACUUCACAUACAAAGAGUAUGAGGCAUAAAAGUUGUUGAGAGUUGGCAAACGUAGUUUUGGUCAUCGUUGCAAUUAAUAGGAAGUAAUAAGGAAAGAGAGGUUCACAUACAAAUAUAUUAUCUUGGACAUGUUUUAUGAUUGGGAGCGCUCAUUAAGUAUGACAUGCUAAAAGAGUUGACGUUGGACAAGGAAGACAACAUAAUAGUUUAUGUUUUCUCACAUCUUAGUUAAAGUAUAUUAUCAUUGACCCUCCAAAUAUGUUGAGCUUGACUUUCCCCCUCAUGCUAGCCAAAUUCCUUGCACCAAGUAGAGAUACUACUUGUGCUUCCAAAUAUCCUUAAAUCCAGUUUUGCCAUGAGAGUCCACCAUACCUACCUAUGGAUUGAGUAAGAUCCUUCAAGUAAGUUGUCAUGUUGUAGGCAAUAAAAAUUGCUAUCUAAAUAUGUAUGACUUAUUAGUGCAGAGAAAAUAAGCUUUGUACGAUCUUGUUGUGGAAGCAAUAAAAGAGACGGACUACAUAAUAAAGGUCCACAUACAAGGGGCAAUAUAAAGUGACGUUCUUUUGCAUUAAGAUUUUAUGCAUCCAACCCUAAACGCACAUGACAACCUCUGCUUCCCUCUGCGAAGGGUCUAUCUUUUACUUUAUGUUUUUACUUUAUGCUUGAGUCGAGGUGAUCCUCACCUUUCCCUUUUUUUCAUUUUAUCCUUUGGCAAGCUCCUCGUGUUUUAAAGAUCAUGAUAUAUAUAUAUCCAAUUGGAUGUAAGUUAGCAUGGGCUAUUAUUGUUGACAUCACCUAAAGGUGAAUACAUUGGGAGGCAACACAAUAAGCCCCUAUCUUUCUCGGUGUCCGGCCGAAACUCCAUAACCACAAGUAUUGCAUGAGUGUUAGCAAUUGUAGAAGACUAUAUGAUAGUUGAGUAUGUGGACUUGCUGAAAAGCUCUAUUCUUGACUCUUUCUGAUGUUAUGAUAAAUUGCAAUUGCUUCAAUGACUGAGCCUAUAGUUUGUUAGUUCUCAAUGAAGUUUCUGAACCAUACUUGACAUUGUGAAUAGAUUGUUACUUGAUCAUGAAAAGUUUUAUGAGAUAAGCUACUUGAUACGUCUCCAACGUAUCUAUAAUUUUUUAUUGUUCCAUGCUAUUAUAUUACCACUUUUGGAUAUUUAUGGGCUUUAUUUUACGCAUUUAUAUCAUUUUUGGGACUAACCUACUAACCGAAGGCCCAACCCGUAUUGCUGUUUUUUUGCCUAUUUCAGUAUUUCGAAGAAAAGGAAUAUCAAACGGAGUCCAAACGGAAUGAAACCUUUGGGAGCGUGAUUUUUGGAACGAACGUGAUCCAGAGGACUUGGAGUGCAAGUCAAGAAGCAGCCGAGGCGGCCACAAGAGGGUAGCCCCCCCCCCUAUAGGGCGCGCCCCUAUCUCGUGGGCCCCUCAGGCGGCCACCGACGUACUUCUUCCUCCUAUAUAAGCCUACGUACCCCAAAAACAUCCAGGGAGCACCCGAAACACAAUUUCCACCACCGUAACCUUUUGUAUCCGUGAGAUCCCAUCUUGGAGCAUUCGCCGGCUCUCCGCUGGAGGGGGAAUCGACCACGGAGGGCUUCUACAUCAUCAGCAUAGCCCUUCUGAUGAGUUGUGAGUAGUUUACCACAGACCUUCGGGUCCAUAGUUAUUAGCUAGAUGGCUUCUUCUCUCUUUUUGGAUCUUAAUACAAUGUUCUCACCCUAUCUUGUGGAGAUCUAUUCGAUGUAAUCUCUUUUUGUGGUGUGUUUGUUUAGAUCCGAUGAAUUGUGGGUUUUUGAUCAAGUUUAUCUAUGAGAAAUAUUUGAAUCUCCUCUGAAUUCUUUUAUGUAUGAUUGAGUUAUCUUUGCAAGUCUCUUCGAAUUAUCAGUUUGGUUUGGCCUACUAGAUUGAUCUUUCUUGCCAUGGGAGAAGUGCUUAGCUUUGGGUUCAAUCUUGCGGUGUCCUUACCCAGUGACAGAAAGGGUUGCAAGGCACGUAUAGUAUUGUUUCCAUCGAGGAUAAAAAGAUGGGGUUUAUAUAAUAUUGCAUGAUUUUAUCCCUCUACAUCAUGUCAUCUUGCUUAAUGUGUUACUCUGUUCUUUGUGAACUUAAUACUCUAGAUGGAGGAAGGAGUCGGUCGAUGUGUGGAGUAAUAGUAGUAGAUGCAGGCAGGAGUCGGUCUACUUGUUGCGUAUGUGAUGCCUAUAUACAUGAUCAUGCCUAGAUAAUCUCAUAAUUAUUCGCUUUUCUAUCAAUUGCUCGAUAGUAAUUUGUUCACCCACCGUAAUACUUAUGCUAUCUUGAGAGAAGCCUCUAGUGAAACCUAUGGCCUCCGGGUCUAUCCUUUAUCAUAUUUACUUCCAGUUUACUUUUAUUUGCAUCUUUACUUUUUGCAUUUAUAUUAUAAAAUACCAAAAAUAUAUUUAUCUUAUCAUACUAUCUCUAUUAGAUCUCACUUUCACAAGUGGCCGUGAAGGGAUUGACAACCCCUUUAUUGCAUUGGUUGCGAGUUCUUUGUUUGUUUGUGUAGGUGCGUGGGACUUUUGAGGAGCCUCCUACUGGAUUGAUACCUUGGUUCUCAAAAACUGAGGGAAAUACUUACGCUACUUUGCUGCAUCACCCUUUCCUCUUCAAGGAAAACCAAUGCAAGCUCAAGACGUAGCAAGAAGGAUUUAUGGCGCCGUUGCCGGGGAGGUCUUCGCUCAAGUCAAGACAUACCAAGUACCCAUCACAAACCUAUCUCCCUCGCAUUUACAUUAUUUGCCAUUUGCCUCUCGUUUUCCUCUCCCCCACUUCACUCUUGUCGUUUCAUUCGCCCUCACUUUCCCAAUCUCCUCCUCUCUUUCACUCGCUUUCUUCCUCCUCGCUUUUGUUUGCCGUUAUGUCUGAAAUUGGGGAGAUUAUCGUCAAUAUGGAAAAUAAUGAUAACAUGGAAAAUUUCGAGGCUCCGGCUGAAGAACCCCCUAUCUUGCAUACUAAAAAGUUUCGAAUCGGUAGUGGUAACAUUAUUGUAAAAAGUGUUAUUCAAGAUUUCUUUACUUGUGACGGUGCUUUACCUUCCAUGGGUGGUUCUAUUCUUCAUAGAACUAGUAGUCUUGCGGAUGCCAUUGCUAUGCUUGUAGUUGAACUUGAAAGACAAUUUAUGCAUAUGCAUCCUUGCAUACAAAGAAUUUUCCUAGAAUUUUCUAAUAUUGAGCAUUCUUCUCUUAAGCAUGCUGUUACUAUCUUUUUGGCUCAUGAGUUUAGAUUUAUCAUAAGAGAGGCCAAAAAAAUCUUUGCGCACUAUAGGGUGGACGCCGGUCGUCCUCCCAUAGAGGCAAUCCUCUAUGAUCAAGAGGAAUUUAGGCGUUUUCAAUCUUCGGACUAUGUUGCUUUCAAUGAAAACCUUAGAAAAAAGGUUCCUACCAAUGUCCUUGUUGAUAGAAUUUCCGAACUUAAUAAUGGUUUUGCUCUUCGAAAUAAUGAGCUAGGAUACUCUCUUGAGUAUAGGCUCACAAAAUUUUGCCAAAAUAAUGCUUAUAGUGAUGAAUGAGUUGUGCAUUAUGAAGGGCCAAAGGAGGAACCCGUUCCUCCUAUAAUUGAUCUUGGGGACUUUUGUCCCGCCAAAUUUAGCCCUUUUAAUUACUUUUGCUUGCCUCAAAGAAAACUUUCUGCUGAACGUAGAGAAUAUGAGAUGAGUUUUCAAGAUCUAUCUUAUUAUUAUGGCACUACUUAGAUCUAUCUUCGCUUUUAUGCCUAGCUAGGGGCGUUAAACGAUAGCGCUAGUUGGGAGGCAACCCAAUUUUCUUUAUGUUUUUUGUUUUUGUUCCUGUUUAGUAAUAAAUCUUGCAUCUACCUUCUGUUUAGAUGUGUUUUUAUCUUUUAAUUAGUGUUUGUGCCAAGUAGAACCUAUAGGAUAACCUAUGAUGAUAGUUGAUUUGAUUCUGCUGAAAAACAGAAACUUUGCGCGCACGAAUUUAAUUUUGUUAAAUCACAUAAACGUGAUUUUGAGUUGAUUCUUUUUUCUUCUGAUCAAUAGACAAAUUUUCCAGGACUUCCUAUUUUGGUAGGAUUUUUAGAGUUCCAGAAGUUUGCGUUAGUUACAGAUUGCUACAGACUUUUCUGUUUUUGACAGAUUCUGUUUUUCGUGUGUUGUUUGCUUAUUUUGAUGCAUCUAUGGCUAGUAAAAUAGUUUAUAAACCAUAGAGAAGUUGGAAUACAGUAGGUUUAACACCAAAAUAAAUAAAUAAUGAGUUCAUUACAGUAGCUUAUGUGGUGGUUUUGUUUUCUUUCACUAACGGAGCUUAUAAGAUUUCCUGUUGAGUUUUGUGUUGUGAAGUUUUCAAGUUUUGGGUAAAGCUUUUAUGGACUAUGGAAUAAGGAGUGGCAAGAGCCUAAGAUUGGGGAUGACCAUGGCACCCUAAGAUAUUCAAGGAUAUCCAAAAGCCUAAGCUUGGGGAUGCACCGGGAAGGCAUACCCUCUUUCGUCUUCGUUCAUUGGUAACUUUACUUGGAGCUAUAUUUUUAUUCGCCACAUGAUAUGUGUUUUUUUGGAGCAUCGUGUAUUAUAUUAGUCUUUACUUUUUAGUUUACCAUAAUCAUCCUUGAUGUACACACCUUUUGGGAGAAGCCUACUUGAUUAGAAUUUGCUAGAAUACUCUAUGUGCUUCACUUAUAUCUUUUGAGCUUGAUAGUUUUUGCUCUAGUGCUUCACUUAUAUUUUUUAGAGCACGGUGGUAACUUAAUUUUGAAGAAAUUGCUAGUCUCUCAUACUUCACUUAUAUUAUUUUGAGAGUCUUUUAGAACAGCAUGGUAUUUGCUUUGGUUACAAAUUUGGUCCUAGAAUGAUGAGCAUCCAAUUUGGGUAUAAUAAAAACUAUCAUAGAAAGAGAAUUGGAUGCUAUGAUCAAUUUGUUGCUUGAUAAUUGUUUUGAGAUAUAAAGGUAGUAAUGUUAGGGUCAUGCUAGUGGAUAAUUAUGAAAUUUAGAAAUACUUUUGUUGAAGUUGGCAAGUCCCGUAGCAUGCACGUAUGGUAAAAGUUGUGUGACAAAUUUGUUGCAUGAGGUGCUCUUUUGAUUGUCUUCCUUAUGAGUGGCAGUCGGGGACGAGCGAUGGUCUUUUCCUAUCAAUCUAUCCCUCUUGGGGCAUGCGUAGUAGUACUUUGCUUCGAGGGCUAAGUAGACUUUUGCAAUAAGUAUAUGAGUUCUUUAGGACUAAUGUGAGUCCAUGGAUAUACGCACACUCAUCCUUACACUUUGCUAGCCUUUCUUAUUACCGCGCAACUCUCGCCGGUAUUGAACCCAUUAUUUACCUUCCUCAAAACAGCCACCAUACCUACCUAUUAUGGCAUUUCCAUAGCCAUUCCGAGAUAUAUUGCCAUGCAACUUUCCAUCAUUCCGUUUAUUAUGACACGUUUCAUCAUUGUCAUAUUGCUCUUUGCAUGAUCAUGUAGUUGACAUCGUAUUUGUGGCAAGGCCACCUUCAUAAUUUUCAUACAUGUCGCUCUUGAUUCAUUGCAUAUCCCGGUACACCGCCAGAGGCAUUCAUAUAGAGUCAUAUCUUGUUCUAGUUUUGAGUUGUAAUUCUUGAGUUGUAAAUCCAUAAAAGUGUGAUGAUCUUCAUUAUUAGAGCAUUGUCUCGGUGAGGAAAGGAUGAUGAAGAUUAUGAUUCCCCCACAAGUCGGGAUGAGACUUCGGACUUUACAAAAGAAAAAAAAGGCCAAAAACAGAGAGGCCAAAGAAAAAAAAGAAAAGAAAAAAAUGAGAGAAAAAGAGAGAAGGGACAAUGCUACUAUCUCUUUUUCCACACUUGUGCUUCAAGUAGCACCAUGAUCUUCAUGAUAGAAAGUCUCAUAUAUUACUUUCAUAUACUAGUGGGAAUUUUUCAUUAUAGAACUUGGCUUGUAUAUUCCAAUGAUGGGCUUCCUCAAAAUGCCCUAGGUUUUCGUGAGCAAGCAAGUUGGAUGCACACCCACUUAGUUUCUUUUGUUGAGCUUUCAUAUAUUUAUAGCUCUAGUGCAUCCGUUGCAUGGCAAUCCCUACUCACUCACAUUGAUAUCUAUUGAUGGGCAUCUCCAUAGCCCGUUGAUACGCCUAGUUGAUGUGAGAUUAUCUUCUCCCUUUUUUGUCCUCACAACCACCACCAUUUACCACCAUAGUGCUAUGUCCAUGGCUUGCGCUCAUGUAUUGCGUAAGAGUUGAAAAAAGCUGAAGCACGUUAAAAAGUACUAACCAAUUGCUCGGCUCGUCAUCGGGGUUGUACAUGAUGGGAGUAUUUUGUGUAAUGGAAAUGAAGCAUGGCCUAACUAUAUGAUUUUGUAGGGAUAAGCUUUCUUUGGCUAUGCUAUUUUGAUAGGACAUGAUUAUUUGUUAGUAUGCUUCGAAGUAUUAUUAUUAUAAGCUUUUAUCUUGAAUCAUUUGGAUAUGAACAUUCAUGCCACAAUAAAGAAAAUUACACUGAGAAAUAUGCUAGGUAGCAUUCCACAUCAAAAAUUCUGUUUUUAUCAUUUACCUACUCGAGGACGAGCAGGAAUUAAGCUUGGGGAUGCUUGAUACAUCUCCAACGUAUCUAUAAUUUUUGAUUGUUCCAUGCUAUUAUAUUACACCUUUCGGAUGUUUAUGGGCUUUAUUUUACACAUUUAUAUCAUUUUUGGGACUAACCUACUAACCGGAGGCCCAGCCCGUAUUGCUGUUUUUUUUUGCCUAUUUCAGUAUUUCGAAGAAAAGGAAUAUCAAACGGAGUCCAAACGGAAUGAAACCUUCGGGAGUGUGAUUUUUGGAACGAACGUGAUCCAGAGGACUUGGAGUGCAAGUCAAGAAGCAGCCGAGGCGGCCACGAGAGGGUAGGGCGCGCCCCCCUGUCUCGUGGACCCCUCAAGCGGCCACCGACGUACUUCUUCCUCCUAUAUAAGCCUACAUACCCCAAAAACAUCCAGGGAGCACCCAAAACACAAUUUCCACCGUCGUAACCUUCUAUAUCCACAAGAUCCCAUCUUGGAGCCUUCGUCGGCGCUCCCGGAGAGGGAAUCGACCAUGGAGGGAUUCUACAUCAACACCAUAGCCCUUCCGAUGAGUUGUGAGUAGUUUACCACAUACCUUCAGGUUCAUAGUUAUUAGCUAGAUGGCUUCUACUCUCUUUUUGGAUCUCAAUACAACGUUCUCCCCCUCUCUUGUGGAGAUCUAUUCGAUGUAAUCUCUUUCUGCGGUGUGUUUGUCGAGAUCUGAUGAAUUAUGGGUUUAUGAUCAAGUUUAUCUAUGAGAAAUAUUUGAAUAUCCUCUGAAUUCUUUUAUGUAUGAUUGAGUUAUCUUUGCAAGUCUCUUCGAAUUAUCAGUUUGGUUUGGCCUACUAGAUUGAUCUUUCUUACCAUGGGAGAAGUGCUUAGCUUUGGGUUCAAUCUUGUGGUGUCCUUACCCAGUGACAAAAAGGGUUGCAAGGCACGUAUUGUAUUGUUGCCAUCGAGGAUAAAAAGAUGGGGUUUAUAUCAUAUUGCAUGAGUUUAUCCCUCUACAUCGUGUCAUCUUGCUUAAUGUGUUACUCUGUUCUUUGUGAACUUAAUACUCUAGAUGCAGGCAGGAGUCGGUCGAUGUGUGGAGUAAUAGUAGUAGAUGCAGGCAGGAGUCGGUCUACUUGUUGCGGACGUGAUGCCUAUAUACAUGAUCAUGCCUAGAUAAUCUCAUAAUUAUUCGCUUUUCUAUCAAUUGCUUGACAGUAAUUUGUUCACCCACCGUCAUACUUAUGCUAUCUUGAGAGAAGCCUCUAGUGAAACCUAUGGCCCCCGGGUCUAUCCUUUAUCGUAUUUGCUUCAAAUUUACUUUUAUUUGCAUCUUUACUUUUUUCAUCUAUAUUAUAAAAUACCAAAAAUAUAUUUAUCUUAUCAUACUAUCUCUAUUAGAUCUCACUUCCGCAAGUGGCCGUGAAGGGAUUGGCAACCCCUUUAUUGCGUUGGUUGCGAGUUCUUUGUUUGUUUGUGUAGGUGUGUGGGACUUUUGAGGAGCCUCCUACUGGAUUGAUACCUUGGUUCUCAAAAAACGAGGGAAAUACUUACGCUACUUUGCUGCAUCACCCUUUCCUCUUCAAGGAAAACCAACGCAAGCUCAAGACGUAGCACUACUAUUAUGACACUUAUUGAUGCUAGAAAAGGUGAUUGGAAUUAUCAUUGAUCAAAACUUGUGCACCUGCUAGCAUUCACACUUCAUAAAUUAUUUCUUUUAUCAUUUACCUACUCGAGGACGAGCAGGAAUUAAGCUUGGGGAUGCUGAUAUGUCUCCAACGUAUCUAUAAUUUAUGAAGCAUCCGUGCAAUUUUAUUAUCUGUUUUGAAUGACUAUGGGCCUUAUUAUACACUUUUAUAUUACUUUUGGGACUAACCUAUUAACCGGAGGCCCGGCCCAUAUUGUUGUUUUAUUGCCUGUUUCAGUAUUUCGAAGAAAAGGAAUAUCAAACGGAGUCCAAAUGGAAUGAAACCUUCGGGAGCGUGAUUUUUAGGAAGAAUAAGAUCCGGGAGACUUGGAAUUCACGUCAGAAGAUCCUCGAGGAGGCCACAAGAUAGGGGGGCGCCCACCCCCUAGGUGCGCCCUACCCUCUCAUGGGCCCCUCGAGGCUCCCCCGACUGACUUAUUUCGCCUAUAUAAGCCUACAUACCCUAAAAACAUCGAGGAGGAAGAUAGAUCGGAAGUUCCGCCGCCGCAAGCCUCUGUAGCCACGAGAAAUCAAUCUAGGCCCUCUCCGGCACCCUGUCGGAGGGGGCCAUCAUCACUGGAGGCCAUGGAGGAGGAUCUCGGAGGGGCCAUUAUCGCCAUGAAGGCCAAGGACCAGAGGGGUAAAGCCAUGGAGGAGGAAGCACAAGGGGGAGAACCUCUCCUCCUCUCUCUUGGUGGCACCGAAGUGCCAUCGGGAGGGGAAUCAUCACCGCGGUGAUCGUCUUCAUCAACAUCACCAUCAUCAUCACCAUCCUCGUCUCUUUUACGCGGUCCACUCUCCCGCACCCCGCUGUAAUCCCUACUUGAACAUGGUGCUUCAUGCCACAUAUUAUGAUCUAAUGAUUUGUUGCCAUCCUAUGAUGUUUUAAGUAGAUAUCUUUUGUCUUUGGGUUGAUUGAUGAUCUAGAUUGGUAUGAGUUGUAUGUUUUCCUUUGAUGCUGUCCUAUGGUGCCCUCCGUGUCGCGCAAGCGUGAGGGAUUCCCGCUGUAGGGUGUUGCAAUAUGUUCAUGAUUCGCUUAUAGUGGGUUGGUGAGUGACUGAAACACAAACCCGAGUAAGAGGGAUUGUUGAGUAUGGGAAUAAAGAGGACUUGAUGCUUUAAUGCUAUGGUUGGGUUUUACCUUAAUGAUGUUUACUAGUUGCGGACGCUUGCUAAAGUUCCAAUCAUAAGUGCAUAUGAUCCAAGUAGAGAAAGUAUGUUAGCUUAUGCCUCUCGCUCAUAUGAAAUUGCAAUGACGACUAUCGGUCUUGUUAACAAUUGCCUAGGACAAUUCCGCACACCGAUCCAUCAGUAUUACACACUCACUAUUUAUAUUAUUUAGUAAUAUAUUCUAACUUUAUGAUAACAACACCUACUUUUAUAUUUUAUCUCUUCGAUAUCUUACAAAGUUAUCCUCUUUAUACCCACAACACAGUUCUAUUUCUUGUUUCUAGUUGGAAGCAAACGUUCGGUGCACGUAGAGUUGUAUCAGUGGAAGAUAGGGCUUGAGAGAAUAUUGAUCUUACCUUUAGCUCCUUGUGGGUUUGACACUCCAUACUUAUCACUUCCACCUUUGGGAAUUGCUACAAUGAUUCCCUGCACUUGGGGAUUAUCAGGCCAAAAGCCUAAGCUUGGGGGAGUACGUAUUUCUCACCGACAUUACAUUCAUGUUCACACACUCACUCUAGUUGUUGGUGCUCAUACUUAUUCAUUGUAAGAUCCAUGCUAGUUUAUUUUCUUUUUCUCGCUUUCUUCUUGUGUGUUUGAAAAACCUUAAGAAAAACCAAAAAAAUUAGUCAUAGCUUUUAGGUAGUUUACUUUCCAUGCUUGUAGUAGUAGUAAUUAAAAGAAAACUCAAAAAGAUUUCUCGUUCUUCUUUUGCUGGUUGGGAGCUUUCCCUUGUAAAUACUUUUAUUUCUUUUCUUUUCUUUGGGGGUCGAGAGGAGAAGACCAUGAUGAAAAUGUUGAGUGGCUCUCAUAUGCAUUAUUACUGAUUUAACCAAGAGCCCAUAUUACCUUGUCUUCUCCCUUGAAUUGAACGCUUGCAGAUUCCAGCUUAGUCCAAUGCACGUGCAUUAUUAUUAUUAUCCACACCGUUCGGUCGUGCAAGUGAAAGGCAAUAAUGACGAUAUAUGAUGGACUAAUUGAGAUGAGAGAAGGUGAUGAACUCGACCUAUCUGGUUUUUGUAAAUAUGAUUAGUUCAUCGUUCCUGAUUCAGCCUAUUAUGAAUGAAACAUGUUUGCAAUGACAAUUAGAGAUUAUAGUUGCUCAUGCCAUGCUUAAUUAGCUAGGAGUUUAUAAUGGUUUACCUUGUGUGCCAACAUGCUAUUACAAUGGUUGUGAUGUGGUAUGAUAGGGUGGUAUCCUACUUUGAACGAUUCGAGUGGCUUGAUUUGGCACAUGUUCACGCAUGUAGUUGAAACAAAAUCAACAUAGCCUCCACGAUAUUUAUGUUCAUGGUGAUUUAUAUCCUACUCAUGCUUGCACUCGGUGUUGAUUAAUUUUAAUGCAUGUUCAUGACUGUUGUCGCUCUCUAGUUGGUCGCUUCCCAGUCUUUUUCUAGCCUUCACUUGUACUAAGCGGGAAUACUGCUUGUGCAUCCAAAAUCAUAAACCCCAAAGUUAUUCCAUAUGAGUCCACCAUACCUUACUAUAUGCGGUAUCUACCUGUCAUUCCAAGUAAAUUUGUAUGUGCCAAACUCUAAACCUUGAAAUGAAAUUCUGUUCUGUAUGCUCGAACAACUCAUGUAUCAACUAGGGUUGUCUAUAUCUUCCAUGCUAGGUGGGUUAUUCUCACGAGGAGUGGACUCUGCUCCUCACUCACGAGAAAAUGGCCGGUAACCGGGAUGCCCAGUCCCAUGCUCAAAUGAAAAAUAACUGCAAACAAAACUCCCCCACGAUUGUUGUUAGUUGGAGGCACCCGUUGUUUCGGGCAAGCCAUGGAUUGAUGCUUGUUGGUGGUGGUGGAGUAUAAACUUUACCAUUCUAUUUGGGAACCGCCUAUAAUGUGUGUAGCAUGGAAGAUAUCGAGAUCUCUUGGCUGUUAUGUUGACAAUGAAAGUAUACCACCCAAAAUAUUAUUUAUCUCUGUUUCAAAACUCGAGCUCUGGCACCUCUACAAAUCCUUGCUUCCCUCUGCGAAGGGCCUAUCUAUUUACUUUUAUGUUGAGUCAUCAUCCUCUUAUUAAAAAGCACUAGUUGGAGAGAACCGAUGUCAUUUGCAUGCAUUACUAUUAAUUUAUAUUGAGUAUGACUAUGACUGGAUCUCUUUUACCAUGAAUUACAAUGUCUAGUCAGUCCUUGAUCUUCAGAGGUGCUCUGCAUUUAUGUUUUGCGGUCUCAGAAAGGGCUAGCGAGAUACCAUCUUGUCAUAUCAUAUUAUGAUUGCUUUGUGAAAGUGUUGUCAUCCGAGAUUUAUUAUUAUUGCUCGCUAGUUGAUUAUGCCAUUGAUAUGAGUAAACAUGAGACCUAAGUGUUAUUGUGAAUAUGGUUAGUUCAUAAUCUUUGCUGAAAACUUGAAUGUUGGCUUUACAUAUUUGCAACAACAAGAGAAAACAAAGUUUGUAAAAGUUUUUCUUUAUCACUUUCAGUUUGUCAACUGAAUUUCUUGAGGACAAGCAAAGGUUUAAGCUUGGGGGAGUUGAUACGUCUCCAUCGUAUCUACUUUUCCAAACACUUUUGCCCUUGUUUUGGACUCUAACUUGCAUGAUUUGAACUAACCUGGACUGACGUUGUUUUCAGCAGAAUUGCCAUGGUGUUAUUUUUGUGCAAAAAUAAAAGUUCUCGGAAUUACCCGAAACUUCACGGAGAAUAUUUUUGGAAUUAAUAAAAAAUACUUGCGAAAGAAUCAAGACCAGGGGGCCCACACCCUGUCCAUGAGGGUGGGGGGCGCGCCCUACCCCCUGGGCGCGCCCCCUGCCUCGUGGGCCCCCUCGUGCUCCACCGACCUCAACUCCAACUCUAUAUAUUCACGUUCGGGGAGAAAAAAAUCAGAGAGAAUGAUUCAUUGCGUUUUACGAUAUGGAGCCGCCGCCAAGCCCUAAUCUCUCUCGGGAGGGCUGACUGGAGUCCGUUCGGGGCUCCGGAGAGGGGAAUCUGUCGCCGUCGUCAUUGUCAACCAUCCUCCAUCACCAAAUUCAUGAUGCUCACCGUCGUGCGUGAGUAAUUCCAUCGUAGGCUUGCUGGACGGUGAUGGGUUGGAUGAGAUUUACCAUGUAAUCGAGUUAGUUUUGUUAGGGUUUGAUCCCUAGUAUCCAUUAUGUUCUAAGAUUGAUGUUGCUAUGACUUUGCUGUGCUUAAUGCUUAUCACUAGGGCCCGAGUGCCAUGGUUUCACAUCUGAACCUAUUAUAUUUUCAUGAAUAUAUGUGAGUUAUUGAUCCUAUCUUGCAAGUAAAUAGUCACCUACUAUGUGUUAUGAUCUGGUAACCCCGAAGUGACAAUAAUCGGGACCACUCCCGGUGAUGACCGUAGUUUGAGGAGUUCAUGUAUUCACUAAGUGUUAAUGCUUUGGUUUGGUACUCUAUUAAAAGGAGGCCUUAAUAUCCCUUAGUUUCCAAUAUGACCCCACUGCCACGGGAGGGUAGGACAAAAGAUGUCAUGCAAGUUCUUUUACAUAAGCAUGUAUGACUAUAUUCGGAAUACAUGCCUACAUUACAUUGAUGAACUCGAGCUAGUUCUGUGUCACCCUAUGUUAUUAUUGCAUGAGGAAUCGCAUCCGACAUAAUUAUCCAUCAUUGAUCCAAUGCCUAUGAGGUUUUCACAUAUUGAUCUUUUCUUAGUUACUUUACCGUUGCCGUUGUUACUAUUACUACAAAACUACUACUAUUACUUUUGCCACUGUUACCGCCACUUCCAUAUUACUUUGCAACUAAAUCCUUUGCUGCAGAUAUUAAGUCUUUCGGGUGCGGUUGAAUUGACAACUCAACUGCUAAUACUUGAGAAUAUUCUUUGGCUCCCCUUGUGUCGAAUCAAUAAAUUUGGGUUGAAUACUCUACUCUUGAAAACUGUUGCGAUCCCCUAUACUUGUGGGUUAUCAGCAUGCAAUUUCAAAAAAAUUCCUAAGCUCACGCAAGAUCUAUCUAGGAGAUGCAUAGCAACGAGGGGGGGCGAGUGUGUCUAUGUACCCUUGUAGACCGAAAGCGGAAGCCUUUGACAAUGCGGUUGAUGUCGAACUUCUUCUAGCUUCGACCGAUCAAGUACCGAACAUACGACACCUCCGAGUUCUGCACACGUUCAGCUCGAUGACGUCCCUCGUCCUCUUGAUCCAGCAAGAUAUCGAGGAAGAAGAUGAGUCCUGUCGGUGUCAAAACCGGCGGAUCUCGGGUAGGGGGUCCCGAACUGUGCGUCUAGGCGGAUGGUAACAGGAGAUAAGGGACACGAUGUUUUACCCAGGUUCGGGCCCUCUUGAUGGAGGUAAAACCCUACGUCCUGCUUGAUUGAUAUUGAUAUUGUGGAUGUUUACAAGAGUGGAUCUACCACGAGAUCAAGGAGGCUAAACCCUAGAAGCUAGCCUAUGGUAUGAUUGUAAUGGUUGUUGUUGUUGUUCUACGGACUAGAGCCAUCCGGUUUGUAUAGACACCGGAGAGGGCUAGGGUUACAUAGAGUCGGUUACAAUGGUAGGAGAUCUACGUAUCCGUAUCGCCAAGCUUGCCUUCCACGCCAAGGAAAGUCCCAUCCGGACACGGGACGAAGUCUUCAAUCUUGUAUCUUCAUAGUCUUGGAGUCCGGUCGAUGAUGAUAGUCCGGCCAACGAUAGUUCGGCUGAUGAUGGUAGUCCGGCUAUCCGGACACCCCCUAAUCCAGGACUCCCUCAGUAGCCCCUGAACCAGGCUUCAAUGACGAUAAGUCCGGCGCGUAUAUUGCUUGGCAUUGCAAGGCGGGUUCCUCCUCCGAAUGAUAGAAGAUUGUGAACACCAGGAUAGUGUCCGGCUCUGCAAAAUAAAUUCCACAUUCCACCGUAGAGAGAAUAAUAUAUACACAAGUUCAAUCUGCUGACGUUUUUUGUGGCAUGACGUCACGCCACUACCAAGCCAUUACUUGAAUCGUUUUUUACUCUACCACCUUAGCGCAUUUUAGCGAAGCGGUUUCCUUGGCACGUCUUGUCGAAGCAGAGAUCGUGUUCCCCCUUAAUCCGGGAUUCUCAUCAAUAUGGAUGCGGGUAACCCAACCGCGCCAUUGUUGGUGACGCUUGGGGGAUAAGCGAGUUUUACCAGGCCGGUGGGGGACGCGUAGACUUCGCCCGCACAUAUAAGGGAUAAGGAUUCACCUUUUCACCUACGCCUUCUUCCUCCUUUGCUUAUCCAUCUCCGCGCACUCGAGCUCCAACGCCCAAGCCCGCACAUCUCGUAUCAACCUUCCCCAGUUAUGUCCGGAGCGGGAGGCAAGUGGAUGACCUCCUCCGUUACGGAGGAGCACAUCGAAAGACUGCGCAGCGCCGGCUACCUGUCCGGCGACAUCGCGCACCGGCUGCCCGACAAGGGGCAGCUCAUCCCCACCCCCAGGCCCCAUGAGAGGGUCAUUUUUCUUCCCCACUUCCUCCGCGGACUGGGCUUUCCACUUCACCCCUUUGUCCGGGGGCUCAUGUUCUACUACAGCCUGGAUUUCCAUGAUCUAGCGCCGAACUUCAUCCUCAACAUCUCGGCGUUUAUCAUCGUGUGCGAGGCCUUCCUCUGCAUCCAGCCCCACUUCGGCUUGUGGCUCAAGACCUUCAAUGUCAAGCCGAAGGUAGUGAAGGGCACUCAAGCGGAGUGCGUAGGCGCCAUGUUGGGAAAGAUUCCCAAUGUCCUUUGGUUCGAAGGGGCCUUCGUGGAAUCCGUCAAGGGGUGGCAAUCGGGGUGGUUCUAUAUCACCGAGCCGCGCGACCCUACGUGGGCGGCGGCCCCCGAGUUCAGAUCUGGUAUCCCCACGCAGCUCACCUCCUGCAAAGAGAAGGGCUUGUUGUGGGGUAGUUCGGAGGAGCUGACGGGACUCCAAGCCUAUAUCCAGAAGCUGGUGAAGAAGCUCAGGCUGGUUAACGUGGUCCAAGUCAUGCUCGUCCGCCGGAUUCUCCCAUGCCAGGAGCGGGCAUUCAAUCUGUGGGAGUUCAAUCUGGAACAGCACCAGGCGCUGAGCAGGCUCUUCGACACGACGUACGAAGGUGCCUGGAGGGUGCUGUUUAAGGGCGCCGAAGCCCCCGCUUCCGCGACUGAAGAUCGCAGAUUUCGCUCGCAGCGCCAGGCCGACGAGGUAAGUGAUUCUACCCCUUUACGGGACACUUGCUUUUCAUAGUUUGACUCUAUGCGGGUUUUAAUUUCCCCUUUUCCUUUGACAGGACUGGAUGAGGAAGGCGGAGCAGAUUAUCUGCCCGGCUCCCAUGCCAGAAAACCCAGUAGACGCCCGUCUAGCGAGGCUGCUGGUUCCAGCACCGCACGUGGUGCCGGAGAAGAAGGCCAAGAAGGAGGCCACGGGUGCUCGAAAGAGUUCCCGCUUUCAGGUGUCCGACGACUCCGGGGCGGACUCCUCCCCCGAAAACGAGGAGGAGAAGGAGGACUCUCUCCCAGAGGAGGGAGAGAGGAAGAGGAAGGCUUCCCCAACAGGGGAGCCGAAGGGUCCAAGAGGGGAAGGACUAUUCCCCCGGACAGCUCCGCCAACAUCAACGUUGGCGAGGAAGAAUGGCCUUCAAGGGCCAGGCCUCCAACGAGAUCGUAAGUAUCCGGAUUCCUGAGUGAUUUAUAAUUUCUUUUUAUGUGUCACAUAGUGUCAUUCUGAUGCCGCAUGCUGCCUGUAGUCCGGCCAAUGAUGAUCUCCCCGCUUCAUCGAGUGGGUCGUUGGCUCCGUCGGAUGUAGACUCCAUCCCGACCGCCUCCACCCCUCGCGACACCGAGGACGCCGAGGUGGGAUCCCAAGAAGGGACCCAUCAGGGGGAGGCUCCGGAGGCGCCACAAGGCGUCCUCCCGGACUUUGCGCUGGACUCCAUAUCAGAACCCGCAGUGGUUCCGGAGUCCGGCUGGCGGCCCCUUCGCACGAAGGGCAAGACCGUGACGCCGAUGGCUUCCGUCCAACCGGAGGCGCCGGACAAUUUGUUGGAGGCGCUGCAAAGCGCUUCCAUCGAGGAAGAACACCGCACUAUUAUGAGUGCGGUGAUUCAGAAGGUACAGCUUGCCAAGAGCGGGCUGACCGAAGCCUGCAGUAGCCUUCUAUCAGGCUUUGAGGUAAGAAGUUAAAAAUAUGCAAUGUAAUACCGCAUAGACAGUAGCCCCUGAUGCUCGGUUCGGUGUUCGGAAAGAAAAGCCGGACUGAGGAUCUGAAAAAAAAAGAAGAUAUACACAGGGUUGCUAAAAAAUUAUGUCAAUAUGGGUUGCAAGCUGCGCUGCUGACCUCUGCCGCACUGACUGCGGAGGUCGGUGCUUUGAAGCAGGAGCUCGAGCGGUCCGAGCAAGAGCUCGGCCACACCAAGAAGCAGCUCCAGGACAAAGAAGGUGAGUAACACCACUUUGAACUUGUACCUUACAGAAAAGGAUUUAGGUUGCAACAAAAAAUAACAAGGAUAACAUGGGUACUGCAGGGGCCACGAAUGAGGUGGCGACCCUGAAGGAGGCCGUGUCUACGGCCGAACGCAAUGCGGCCGCGGAACGGGCAGAGCGAGAAAAGCAGGAGGCGCGGGUGGCGGUGGCUCAGCAAGAGCUCCAGGCUCUCAUGGAAAAGCAUGAGAGUUUGGAGCGUGACUCAAAGACUCGAGAGUCCGAGCUUGCCUUGGCUCUCGAAAGUGCCAAGACUGCCAAGGCCGAUGCCCAUAAGUCCCUUUAGGAGAUUGAGUUGGUGAGGAAGAUAGCGGCGGGUAAGGCAUUUUUCAUGCAAAGCAAGCAUGUGAAUGUAAAUUACGUGUUACUUACCCGAAUUCGGAGCUCUCUAGGGGCGUUUGCAGAUCUACCUCGCAGCGUGUCUGAUGCCGCCGCAUUCUACCGAGCCGAGGAGGGGAGCUCAACAGAGAAGGUCUUCUGGUCUCAGUAUGCUGAGGCCGGCCAUCCGGUGCCCCCUAGCGACCAGCUGAAGCAGCUGGUCGAGCUCCACAAGGUGGCCGAGCAGGCCAUGAAGGGCCUCAUAGUCCGGCUGUGGCCUGGAGAGGCCAUGCCUGGGAGCUACUUCGGUCUCGUGCAACGGUUGGUGGAUGCGUGCCCCUGGGUGGAGGUUAUCAAGCGCUCCGCCUGUAUUGAAGGUGCUCGUCGGGCCCUUGCCCGCGCAAAGGUGCAUUGGGGCAAGCUGGAUGCGGAGAAGCUAAUCACUGACGCGCCACCAGCGGGCAAGGAAUAUCGUACGCCCGAAAUGUACUAUAAGACUGUCCUGAAGGGUGCCCGCAAGAUUGCGAAUGAGUGCCCCAGGGAUGUAAUUAUUGAGUAAAUUCGCAAUGUGUUAUCCUGUGCGCUGAAAACUUUGUUCAUAUGCGCUAAGCAACGCUUGUUAAUUUAAAAUAUUACCUUCUGUGCGGCCGUUUAUUAAAUCUGAGAGAUGGCAAGUCGUCGGCUUCAGCCCCCAUGCCACGAGUGCUGGGGUGUUCGGGAUAAACUUGAGCACUCUUGUUCCCAUUUUUGGGUCCAUCUAGGGAGGCGCUCAACACAACGAACAAGGCAACCGGACUUAUAGUGCUUGAACACUCUCACUUAGCCAUAGAAUUCUAUAAUUUUAAAUUUCGGCGAAGCCCCUAGUAUUCGGAAGACCGAAUUAGGGGCGCUAUCCACGCCUUCGUCGGACAUUAUCCGGAACUUCGCUCGAAGCGGCAUAGGUCUUUAAGGACCCGAAAGGACCUCUCGGACAGCGACCAGUCUCUCGCCUUAUCAUGAUAGUCAGUUUUAGCUUUCUCCACUGAGGCGUUAACCCGGCUCAACCGGGGCGCAAUCGCAGUGGUUCUCCCAGUGCUACCUUAGCCGAUAGAACGGAACGUAAGGUGCCAAACAUGGGAGCCGGGCAAACCCAACUAUUGACCCAAGACAUGAUUCGGAGCCGAUUCAUAUAAUGCUAUAAGUUCUGGGUGCCGCACUUGUGAAAGUGUUCGGACUUUAUCACACCAUAAUGCGGGGAACAUAAGCCCCUGGUGUAUUUGGCCGUACCAAAAUGUACGGAUGCAACAUGUCGUAAAUGAACAUAUAUAUAUAAGGAAAUGCAAUUAUGGGCAAAAAGUGCUGCAUUUUAUUCGAAAAGAUCUGCUAUGAGUGCGGAAUGAUACAAAUAGUGCGGAAAGCAAGGGAUUGGACGAAUUAAAGGCGUCUCCCUCCAGGGGUAGGCCGCGGAAUGGUGUAUUUAACAAAUCUAAUGCUCGUAAUGGAGACCACCUGAGUGUUCGUCGCGGCCUUUGUCCCUCACUGGCUGUUGCAUCAUGAGUUCGGCAGGUUCGCCGCCAGACAGAGUUCUGUAUAAAAAAGAGAGAAAUAAAAGAUAAAAAGAGCGACACACUUGGGAGCCCCUGGUGUGGUCGAACCACACUCUGGGUCUGUUGUGGUUGUGCCUCUCCCCCUAUGCCCAUGGUAUCUCCAGGGCGUAAUUAUGUACGCAGAGAGUUUGUCUUACAAUUGUGCGAGGGCUGGGGUUGAGGCUGCAUUGCUACGCGUGCUCGGAACGUGCCAGGUGGUCUUGGUUGAUGUUGCUCCGGGCGCGUUUGGCCGUGUCCGGUCGUUUAACGACCGGACUCGAAAAUUGCUUUAAAAGGCUGCUCUGUACUUCUGCCGCGAGAGCCACUGUAUGUUCCUCCGUUCGGAGGGAGCGUUCCGUGUUUCCAUUGACCGUGAUGACUCCACGAGGGCCUGGCAUCUUGAGCUUAAGGUAUGCAUAAUGCGGCACCGCGUUGAAUUUUGCGAACGCGGUUCGUCCGAGCAGAGCGUGAUAGCCACUGCGGAACGGGACUAUGUCGAAGAUUAACUCCUCGCUUCAGAAAUUAUCCGGGGAUCCGAAGACCACUUCCAGUGUGACUGAGCCUGUACAACUGGCCUCGACACCUAGUAUGACGCCUUUGAAGGUUUUCUUUGUAGGUUUAAUCCUUGAAGGGUCUAUGCCCAUCUUGCGCACUGUAUCCUGAUAAAGCAGGUUCAGGCUACUGCCGCCGUCCAUCAGGACUCUCGUGAGGUGAAAUCCAUCGACGAUUGGGUCUAAAACCAAUGCGGCGAAUCCGCCAUGGCGGAUACUGGUCGGAUGGUCUCUUCGAUCGAAAGUGAUCGGGCAAGAUGACAAUGGGUUGAAUUUUGGGGCGACUGGCUCCAUCGCGUGUACGUCCCUUAGUGCACGCUUCCGCUCCCUCUUGGGUAUAUGCGUUGCGUAUAUCAUGUUUACCGUCCGAACUUGAGGGGGGAAUCCCUUUUGUCCUCUGUUGUUCGGUAGCCGGGUCUCUUCCUCGUCAUCACUGUGUAGCCCCUUGUCAUUGUAUUCAGCGAUUAAUUUGCCUGCCUGCUUGAAUACCCAACAAUCUCUGUUGGUGUGGUUAGCUGGCUUUUCGGGGGUUCCAUGUAUUUGACAGGAGCGGUCGAGUAUUCGGUCCAAAUUGGACGGGCCUGGAGUGGUUCUUUUGAAUGGAUUCUUCCGUUGACCGGGCUUGGAGCCUCGGAAUCCGGCGUUGACUGCCGUAUCCUCAUUGUUGUCGCCGUUAAUGCGGCGUUUGUUUUUGUUUUGACGCGACCUGCCAUUGCGGUCCUUGGUAUCCGGACUGCCAGCGUUUUUGCUGAGGUUGUUGCUGCGAGCUAGCCAACUAUCCUCUCCUGCACAGAAGCGGGUCAUGAGUGAUGUGAGGGCUGCCAUGGAUUUCGGCUUUUCCUGUCCUAGGUGCCGGGCCAGCCACUCGUCGCGGAUGUUAUGUUUGAAGGCAGCGAGGGCCUCUGCAUCCGGACAGUCGACGAUUUGAUUUUUCUUUGUUAAGAACCGUGUCCAGAAUUGCCUGGCCGAUUCAUCUGGCUGCUGGAUUAUGUGGCUUAGGUCAUCUGCGUAUGGUGGUUGCACAUACGUGCCCUAGAAGUUGUCGAGGAAUGCGGCUUCCAGGUCUUCCCAGCAUCCAAUUGACUCUGCGGGCAGGCUGUUAAGCCAAUGCCGAGCUGGUCCUUUAAGCUUGAGCGGGAGAUAUUUGAUGGCGUGAAGAUCGUCGCCGCGGGCCAUAUGUAUAUGGAGGAGAUAAUCCUCAAUCCAAACCGCGGGGUCUGUUGUGCCAUCGUAGGAUUCGAUAUUAACGGGUUUAAACCCUUCAGGGAUUUGAUGAUCCAUUACUUCGUCAGUGAAGCAUAGUGGGUGUGCGGCGCCUCUGUAUUGAGCAAUAUCGCGACGUAGCUCGAGAGAGCGUUGUCUGCUGUGUUCGGCCCGGCCAGAGUAGUUGUAUCCGGCGCGACGGUAUUCGUCAUGGGUCUUGGGGCGCCCACGUGAUCCAUAGAUAGAUCUGGAUUGUCUUGCCUUGUCCUCCAAUAUAUCCCGCAAGUCUGGCCCGUUCCCCCGUGGCUUCAUGCUUUUUGAGCGAUGCCGGGGUACGGUUUUGGUGGAGGGUUUGCAUGCCUCUCUGUCGCGGCCAUGAGGUGGUCGGUCUGCCGUAUUGUGCGCUGGUGAUGCAAGUUUGUACGCUUCCUCCCCUAGUCGGGGGAGCAACUUGCGUUUUGGGUAACUUUUGGAGGGGCGUUCGAGUUCAUACUCUUCGGCUGCGAGGACCUAGGUCCAUCUGUCGGCCAGUAGGUCUUGAUCAGCUUGAAGCUGUUGCUGCUUUUUCUUUAGGCUGUUUUGUCGUGGCCAUUAGCCUGCGUCUGAAACGCUCUUGUUCGACGGGAUCCUCAGGCACGACGAAUUCGUCAUCGUCGAGGCUUGCCUCGUCUCCGGAGGGAGGUAAGUAAUUAUCAUCCUCGACCUCUUCGUCUGUUGCCCUCUCAUGAGGGCUUGCUUCUGCUUCCUCCUGCGCUGGAUCGUGCUGGAGGGGGUUGUCUUCGGCACUUUCUGGGGUGUUAUAAUCUCCUGUGCCGGAAUCUCUAUUCUUGUUGUGGCGGGAUUUAGAGCGGCGCCGCUGAUGCCGGCGCUUGGGCUGUUUCUUUAAGGAAUCGGCCUCCGUUGCUUAUUCGCCGUCCCCAUCUUUUGGGGUGUCCACCAUAUAUAUAUGUCAUAUGACGAGGUGGUCUUCCAGUGUCCUGUAGGCACUGGUUCUUGAUAGUCUCCGGCAUCGUCGUCCAUACCGUCGAUGUCUUCGGAGUCGUAGUCGAGUACGUCGGUUAGAUCGUCGACGGUGGCUACGAAGUGGGUGGUGGGUGGGCCCUGAAUUUCUUCGUCAUCCGCAUCCCAACCAUCCUGGCCGUAGUUCGGCCAGGGCUCUCCGGAUAGCGAGAGAUGCUUCAGUGAAUUUAAGAUAUCACCGAAGGGUGAGUGCUGAAAGAUGUCCGCAGCGGUGAAUUCCAUGAUCGGCGCCCAGUCGGAUUCGACCGGCAGGGGCGUAGGAGGUUCGGAGUCCGGCAAAGAGUCCGGUACCUCGGAGUCAUGAGCUUUAUGCGGGACAAGGUAAGUGUUCGGCUCCAUCGCCGUAGAAGUUGCAGCUCCCGAGGCGGUGUCCAGCCAUCUGUCCUCGAUCUGAGCGAUCGGCUCCGGUCUAUGGGUCGGAGCGGAUUCAUGUGCGGCCUCCAAGGUGUUGUCCGGCGGCAGAGUUAGGUCGUGCCCAUCGUGACAGCACGGCACGCUCGACUGUGGCUCAGAUCCAUCGAAGAUCAAGUCCCCGCGGAUAUCGGUCGUGAAGUUUAGGCUUCCAAACCUGACCUGACGGCCAGGGGCGUAGCUUUCGAUCUGCUCCAGAUGGCCAAGUGAGUUGGCCCGCAGUGGGAAGCUGCCGAAUACGAAGAUCUGUCCGGGGAGAAAAGUCUCACCCAAGACUGCGUCAUUGUCGAUUGAAGAGGCCAUCAAGCCUAUCGGUGACGACACAGAGGAACUCUCAAUGAAAGCACCAAUGUCAGUGUCAAAACUGGCGGAUCUCGGGUAGGGGGUCCCGAACUGUGCGUCUAGGCGGAUGGUAACAGGAGACAAGGGACACGAUGUUUUACCCAGGUUCGGGCCCUCUUGAUGGAGGUAAAACCCUAUGUCCUGCUUGAUUGAUAUUGAUAUUGUGGAUGUUUACAAGAGUGGAUCUACCACGAGAUCAAGGAGGCUAAACCCUAGAAGCUAGCCUAUGGUAUGAUUGUAAUGGUUGUUGUUGUUGUUCUACGGACUAGAGCCAUCCGGUUUAUAUAGACACUGGAGAGGGCUAGGGUUACAUAGAGUCAGUUACAAUGGUAGGAGAUCUACGUUUCCGUAUCGCCAAGCUUGCCUUCCACGCCAAGGAAAGUCCCAUCCGGACACGGGACGAAGUCUUCAAUCUUGUAUCUUCAUAGUCUUGGAGUCCGGUCGAUGAUGAUAGUCCGGCCGACGAUAGUUCGGCUGAUGAUGGUAGUCCGGCUAUCCGAACACCCCCUAAUCUAGGACUCCCUCAAGUCCCAUCAGCACGAUGGCGUGAUGACGAUGAUGGUGAAGUGAUCCGCGUAGGGCUUCGCCUAAGCACUAUGAAGAUAUGACCAGAGGCGUAAACUAUGGUGAGGGCACCACACACGGCUAACAAUUGAUGUUUUGUAUUCUAGGCACCCCCCCUCCCCACAUAUAUAUAGGUUGGAGGGGAGCUGAGGCAGCCAGGGGGUGCCCCAAGUAGGCCGAAUCCUACUUGGGGUCCUCCCCAAUUCGGCCUCCCCCAUCCUUAAUUGCUAGAGGGGGGGGGGAAGAGGAAGGAGAGAAGGAAAGGGGGGUCGAAUCCCCUCUUUCCCUUCUCCCACUCGGCCUCCUUCCAUGGGAGGGGCACCCCUUAUGGGCUGGUGUGCUCCCCUCUUAUGGCCCAUAUCUUUCCCUCGGGGUUUCCGGCAACCCCCCGGUACUCUGAUAAAUAUCCGAUACACUCCGGAACACUUUCAAUGUCCGAAUACUAUCAUCCUAUAUAUCAAUCUUUACCUACCGACCAUUUCAAGACUCCUCAUCAUGUCCGUGAUCUCAUCCGAGACUCCUAACAACAUUCAGUUACCAAAUCACAUAAUUCAUAUAAUACUAAAUCGUCAUCAAACAUUAAGUGUGCGGACCCUACUGGUUCGAGAACUAUGUAGACAUGACCGAGAUAUCUCUCCAGUCAAUAACCAAUAGCGGAACCUGGAUGCUGAUAUUGGCUCCUACAUAUUCUACGAAGAUUUUUAUCGGUCGAACUGUUAUGACAACAUACGAUAUUCCCUUUGUCCAUCGGUAUAUUACUUGCCCGAGAUUCGAUCGUCGGUAUCUAUAUACCUAGUUCAAUCUCGUUACUGGCAAGUCUAUUUACCCGUUCCAUAAUACAUCAUGUUGCAACUAACUCAUUAGUCACUUUGCUUGCAAGGCUUCUUAUGAUAUGCAUUACCGAGAGGGCCCGGAGAUACCUCUCUGAUACUCGGAGUGACAAAUCCUAAUCUCGAUCUAUGCCAAACCAAGAAACACCUUCGGAGAUACCUGUAGAGCAUCUUUAUAAUCAGCUAGUUACGUAGUGAUGUUUUAUAGCACAUAAGGCAUUCCUCCGGUAUCCGGGAGUUGCAUAAUCUCAUAGUCGAAGGAAUAUGCAUUUGACAUGAAGAAAGCAAUAGCAAUAAAACUGAACGAUCAUAAUGUUAAGCUAACAGAUGGGUCUUGUCCAUCACAUCAUUCUCCUAAUGGUGUUAUCCCGUUAUCAAAUGAAAACUCAUGUCCAUGGUCAGGAAACCUUAACCAUCUUUAAUCAACGAGGUAGUCAAGUAGAGGCUCACUAGGGACACAGUGUUUGUCUAUGUAUUCACCCAUGUAUUUAGGUUUCUGAUCAAUAAAAUUCUAGCAUGAAUAAUAAACAUUUAUCAUGAAUAAGGAAUAUAAAAUAACAACUUUAUUAUUGCCUCUAGGGCAUAUUUCCUUCACCAGACCCCACUAAUUUUUCCCUCUAAUCACUCCCCCAUCAUCUCUUUCCUUGCAGUGUUCCCCAAACCAAGCCCACCAUCCACCCAUACCCUCCCUACUUCGGAUUGGACUCCAGCCAGCAAAGCAGUUCCUCCCCAUGCUUCCCCACCUCACUACCCAGUUCCAUGAUGGAGCUCCUCCCUGAUCCAUCGUCCUUUGCUCUGAUGCGGAGCGGAUCUGGUAGUUGACAAUCGUUCGGACUUGGUAAAGGUUGUCACAACACCUAUAGUAGGAUAGAGGACUUAUCGUGAUGCCCGCAGACUAAUUUGCUAUGUCUUUGUCGCUGACAUUGGUCAAUAAGGCCACUUGGAUUGGCCUGGGUCUUCUUCGGCUAAUGAGACCUCAAUCCCGAAGCCUCUGGAGUAUCUUUUUGAUAUGCGCACUUUAUCUUUUUUUCGAUUUUCUCUGACUUGACUCAGCUUGACCUACUUGACUCAAUGGUUAGAGUAUCCCUUUCAUACAGCGAGAGUUAUUGGUUCAAAUCCAAUAUUAGGUAAAACCGUCCGAAACCCUAGCUUUUGCCAGCAUGACACCAAGCACAGACUAGCAUCAAGGAGUAGAAUGACCAAAGCAUUGGUUGCUUCCACUUGUUUGUUGCCUUCUUCGACCGACAGACAAGGUACUGAAGGAAAUAUGCCCUAGAGGCAAUAAUAAAGUUAUUAUUGAUUUCCUUAUUUCAUGAUAAAUGUUUAUUAUUCAUGCUAGAAUUGUACUAACCGAAAACUUAGUACAUGUGUGAAUACAUAGACAAAACAUAGUGUCCCUAGUAUGCCUCUACUUGACUAGCUCGUUAAUCAAAGAUGGUUAUGUUUCCUAACCAUAGACAUGUGAUGUCAUUUGAUAAACGGGAUCACAUCAUUAGGAGAAUGAUGUGAUGGACAAGACCCAUCCGUUAGCUUAGCAUCAUGAUCAUUACAGUUUCAUUGCUACUGCUUUCUUCAUGACUUAUACAUGUUCCUCAGACUAUAAGAUUAUGCAACUCCCGAAUACCGGAGGAACACUUUGUGUGCUACCAAACGUCACAAUGUAAAAGGAUGAUUAUAAAGGUGCUCUACAGGUGUCUCCAAAAGUGUUUGUUGGGUUGGCAUAGAUCAAGAUUAGGAUUUGUCCCUCCAUGUUUCGGAGAGGUAUCUCUGGGCCCUCUCGGUAAUGCUCAUCACUAUAAUCUUUGCAAGCAUUGUGACUAAUGAGUUAGUUCCGGAAUGAAGUAUUAUGGAACGAGUAAAGAUAUUUGCUGGUAAUGAGAUUGAACUAUGAUAAUACCGACGAUUAAGUCUCGGGCAAGUAACAUACUAAUGACAAAGGGAACAACGUAUGUUGUUAUGCGGUUUGACUGAUAAAGAUCUUCGUAGAAUAUGUAGGAGCCAAUAUGAGCAUCCAGGUUCCACUAUUGGUUAUUGACCGGAAUUGAGUCUCGGUCAUGUCUACAUAGUUCUCGAACCCGUAGGGUCCGCACGCUUAAGGUUCGAUGAUGAUCAUUAUUAUGAGUUUAUGUGUUUUGAUGUACCGAAGGUUGUUCAGAGUCCCGGAUGUGAUCACGGAUAUGACGAGGAGUCUCGAAAUGGUUGAGACAUAAAGAGUGAUAUAUUGGAAGGCUACGUUUGGACACCGGAAAGGUUCCGAGUGGUUCGGGCAUUUUUCCGGAGUACCGGGAGGUUACCGGAACCCCCCGGGAGAAGUAAUGUUCCUAUUGGGCCUUAUUGGAGGAGAGGAGAGAGGCCAUAAGGGAGGGGCGCACCCUCCCCUUGCCCAAACUGAAUUGGACUAGGGGAGGGGUCGACCCCCCUCUUUCCUUCUCCCUCUCUCUCCCUUCCCUUUCCCUUCGGUGGAAGAAAGGAAAAGGGAGGGGGCGAAUCCUACUUGGACUAGGAGUCCAAGUAGGACUCCCCCAUGGCGCACCCAACUUGGCCGGCCUCCUCUCUCCCUCCCUCCUUUAUAUACGUGUCUAGGGGGCACCCCAUAGACACAAGUUGAUCUUUUAGCCGUGUGCGGUGCCCCCCUCCACAGUUACACACCUCGGUCAUAUCGUCGUAGUGCUUAGGCGAAGCCCUGCGCUGGUAACAUCAUCAUCACCGUCGCCAUGCCGUCGUGCUGACGAAGCUCUCCCUCGGCCUCAACUAGAUCAAGAGUAUGAGGGACAUCAUCGAGCUGAAUGUGUGCUAAACGCGGAGGUGACGUACGAUCGGUGCUUGGAUCGAUUGGAUCACGAAGACAUUCGACUACAUCAACCGCGUUACAUAACACUUCUGCUUUCGGUCUACGAGGGUACAUAGACAACACUCUCCCCUCUCGUUGCUAUGCAUCACCUAGAUAGAUCUUGCGUGAUCGUAGGAAAGUUUUGAAAUUACUGUGUUCCCCAACAGUGGCAUCCGAGCUAGGUCCAUGCGUAGAUGUUAUAUGCACGAGUAGAACACAAAGAGUUCUGGGCGGUAAUAGUCAUGCUGCUUACCAGCAUGUCAUACUUUGAUUCGGCGGUAUUGUUGGAUGAAGCAGCUCAGACCGACAUUACGCGUACACUUACGCAAGACUGGUUCUACGGACGUGCUUCGCACACAGGUGGCUAGUGAGUGUUUGUUUCUCCAACUUUAGUUGAAUCGAGUGUGGCUACGCCCGGUCCUUGUUGAAGGUUAAAACGGCACACUUGAUGAAAAAUCGUUGUGGUUUUGAUGCGUAGGUAAGAACGGUUCUUGCUAGAAGCCCGUAGCAGCCACGUAAAACUUGCAACAACAAAGUAGAGGACGUCUAACUUGUUUUUGCAGGGCUUGUUGUGAUGUGAUAUGGUCAAGACAUGAUGUGAUAUAAAUUGUUGUAUGAGAUUAUCAUGUUUUAUAACAAAGUUAUCGGCAACUGGCAGGAGCCAUAUGGUUGUCGCUUUAUUGUAUGCAAUGCAAUCACCAUGUAAUUGUUUUACUUUAUCACUAAGCGGUAGCGAUAGUCGUACUAACAAUAGUUGGCGAGACGCCAAUGAUGCUACAAUGGAGAUCAAGGUGUCGUGCCGGUGACGAUGUAGAUCAUGACGAUGCUUCGGUGAUGGAGAUCAUGAGCACAAGAUGAUGAUGGCCAUAUCAUGUCACAUAUUUUGAUUGCAUGUGAUGUUUAUCUUUUAUGCAUCUUAUUUUGCUUAGUACGACGGUAGCAUUAUAAGAUGAUUUCUUACUAAAUUUCAAGGUAUAAGUGUUCUCCCUGAGUAUGCACCGUUGCUACAGUUCUUCGUGCUGAGACCACGUGAUGAUCGGGUGUGAUAAGCUCUACGUUCACAUACAACAGGUGCAAGCCAGUUUUGCACACGCAGAAUACUUGGGUUAAACUUGACGAGCCUAGCAUAUGUAGAUAUGGCCUCGGAACACCAGAGAUCGAAAGGUCGAGUGUGAAUCAUAUAGUAGAUAUGAUCAACAUAGUGAUGUUCACCAUUGAAAACUACUCCAUCUCACGUGAUGAUCGGACAUGGUUUAGUUGAUUUGGAUCACGUGAUCAUUUAGAUGACUAGAGGGAUAUCUAUCUAAGUGGGAGUUCUUAAGUAAUAUGAUUAAUUGAACUUUAAUUUAUCAUGAACUUAGUCCUGAUAGUAUUUUGCAAAAUUAUGUUGUAGAUCAAUAGCUCACGUUAUAACUUCCCUAUGUUUUUAUAUGUUCCUAGAGAAAACUAAGUUGAAAGAUGAUAGUAGCAAUGAUGCGGACUGGGUCCAUGAUCUGAGGUGUAUCCUCAUUACUGCACAAAAGAAUUAUGUCCUUGAUGCACCACUGGGUGACAGACCUAUUGUAGGAGCAGAUGCAAAUGUUAUGAAUGUUUGGCUAGCUCAAUAUGAUGACUACUUGAUAGUUUAGUGCACCAUGCUUUACGGCUUAGAAUCGGGACUUCAAAGACGUUUUGAACGUCAUGGACCAUAUGAGAUGUUCCAGGAGUUGAAGUUAAUAUUUCAAGCAAAUACCUGAGUUGAGAGAUAUGAAGUCUCCAACCAGUUCUAUAUAUAGCUAAAAGAUGGAGGAGAAUAGCUCAAGCAGCGAGCAUGUGCUCAGAUUGUGUGGGUACUACAAUCGCUUGAACCAAGUGGGAGUUAAUCUUCCAUAUAAGAUAGUGAUUGACAGAGUUCUCUAGUCACCAUCACCAAGUUACUGGAACUUCGUGAUGAACUAUAGCAUGCAAGGGAUGACGAAAACGAUUCCCGAGCUCUUCAUGAUGCUAAAAUUGACGAAGGUAGAAAUCAAAACAGAGCAUCAAGUGUUGAUGAUUGACAAGACCACUAGUUUCAAGAAAAGGGCAAAGGGGGAGAAAGGGAACUUCAAGUAGAAUGGCAAGCAAGUUGUCACUCCUGUGAAGAAUCCAAAAGCUGGACCAAAGCCUGAAAUUGAGUGCUUCUACUGCAAAGGAAAUGGUCACUGGAAGCGGAAAUGCCCUGAAUAUUGGGUGGAUAAGAAGGAUGGUAAAGUGAACAAGGGCAUAUUUGAUAUACAUGUUAUUUAUGUGUACCUUACUAGUGUUUAUAGUAGCCCUUGGGUAUUUGAUACUUGUUCGGUUGCUAAGAUUAGUAACUCGAAACAGGAGUUACAGAAUAAACAUAGACUAGUUGAGGGUGAAGUGAUGAUGUGUUUUGGAAGUAGUUCCAAGAUUGAUAUGAUCAUCAUCGCACACUUCCUAUACUUUCGAGAUUAGUGUUGAACCUAAAUAAAUGUUAUUUGGUGUUUGCAUUGAGCACAAAUAUGAUUAGAUCAUAUUUAUUGCAAUACAAUUAUUCAUCUAUGAUUUGAGCAGAUAUGGGUAUAUCUACUUAAUGAAACACAAGUCUGAAACAUUUGGAAAGUUCAAAUAAUUUUAGAGUGAAGUGGAGAAUCACCGUAACAAGAAAAUAAAGUUUCUAUGAUCUGAUCGUGGAGGAUAUUUGAGUUACGAGUUUGGCCUUCAUUUAAAACAAUGUGGAAUAGUUUCACAGCUCACACACCUGGAACACCACAGCGUAAUGGUGUGUCCGAACAUUGUAACUGCACUUUAUUGGAUAUGGUGCGAUCUAUGAUGUCUCUUACCGAUUUACCACUAUCAUUUUGGGGUUAUGCAUUAGAGAUAGUUGCAUUCACGUUAAACAGGGCACCAUCAAAAUCCGUUGAGACAACGCCUUAUGAACUAUGGUUUGGCAAGAAACCAAAGUUGUCAUUUCUUAAAGUUUGGGGCUGCGAUGCUUAUGUGAAAAAGCUUCAACCUGAUAAGCUCAAAUCCAAAUCAGAGAAAUGCGUCUUCAUAGGAUACCCAAAGGAAACGGUUGGGUACACCUUCUAUCACAGAUUCGAAGGAAAGAUCGUUGCUAAGAAUGGAUCCUUUCUAGAGGAGUUUCUCUCGAAAGAAGUGAGUGGGAGGAAAGUAGAACUUGAUGAGGUAAUUGUACCUUCUCCCGAAUUGGAAAGUAGUUCAUCACAGAAAUCAGUUCCAGUGAUUCCUACACCAAUUAGUGAGGAAGCUAAUGAUGAUGAUCAUGAAACUUCAGAUCAAGUUACUAUAGAACCUCGUAGGUCUUCCAGAGUAUGGUCCGCACCAGUAUGGUACGGUAAUCCUAUUCUAGAAGUCAUUUACUAGACCAUGAUGAACCUACGAACUAUGAGGAAGCGAUGAUGAGCCCAGAUUUCGCGAAAUGGCUUAAGGCCAUGAAAUCUGAGAUGGGGUCCAUGUAUGAGAACAAAGUGUGGACUUUGGUGGACUUGCCCGUUGAUCGGCAAGCCAUAGAAUAUAAAUGGAUCUUCAAGAGGAAGACGAACGUUGAUAGUAGUGUAACUAUCUACAAAGCUCGACCUGUCGCAAAAGGUUUUCGACAAGUUCAAGGUGUUGACUACAAUGAGAUUUUCUCAACUAUAGCGAUGCUUAAAUCCGUCCAAAUCAUGUUAGCAAUUGCCAUAUUUUAUGAAAUCUAGCAAAUGGAUAUAAAAAUUGUAUUCCUUAAAUGGAUAUUUCUUAAAGAAGAGUUGUAUAUGAUGCAACAAGAAGGUUUUGUCGAUCCAAAAGGUGCUAACAAAGUGUGCAAGCUCCAGCGAUCCAUUUAUGGAAUGGUGCAAGCUUCUCGGAGUUGGAAUAAACGCUUUGAUAGUGUGAUCAAAGCAUAUAGUUUUAAACAGACGUUUGGAGAAGCCUGUACAAGAAAGUGAGUGGGAGCUAUGUAGCAUUUCUAAUAUUAUAUGUGGAUGACAUAUUGUUGAUUGGAAAUGAUAUAGAAUUUCUGGAUAGCAUAAAGGGAUACUUGAAUAAGAGUUUUUCAUUGAAAGACCUCGGUGAAGCUGCUUAUAAAUUGGGCAUCAAGAUCUAUAGAUAGAUCAAGACAUUUCAUAAGAUUUUUUUCAAUGAGAAAAUACCUUGACAAGUUUUUGAAAGAGUUCAAAAUGGAUCAGUCAAAGAAGGAAUUCUUGUCUGUAUUACAAGGUGUAAAGUUGAGUAAGACUCAAAUCCCGACCACGAUAGAAGAUAGAAAGAGAAUGAAAGUCAUUCCCUAUGCCACAGUCAUAGGAUCUAUAAAGUAUGUUGUGUUGUGUACCAGACCUAUUGUGUACCUUGCCAUGUGUUUGGCAAAGGGGUGCAAUAAUGAUCUAAGAGUAGAUCACUGGACAGCGGUCAAAAUUAUCCUUAGUGAGGACUAAGGAAAUGUUUCUCGGUAAUGGGGGUGAUAAAGAGUUCGUCGUAAAGAGUUACGUCGAUGCAAGCUUUUACAGUGAUCCAGAUGACUCUAAGUCUCAAUACUGGAUACAUAUUGAAAGUGGGAGCAAUUAGCUAGAGUAGCUCCAUGCAGAGCAUUGUAGACAUAGAAUAUUUGCAAAAUACACACGGCUCUGAUUGUGACAGACCCAUUGACUAAACUUCUCUCACGAGCAAAACAUGAUCACACCUUGUUGACGCUGGAACGCGUCACACGAACACGUCGAUGUGUACCCGCGGCGCCGAGGGAGAUGCUCCGCAACUCACACCGCGGGAGGCCGACUUCCAGCGCGGUACGCAAGACAGCAAGCCGGCGCUUUUGGGACCCGAAACCCCACACGCCCGGGAGGGACCCCGUCUGGGCGCGCGGCGGCUAUGGGCUGCCCUAGGUCAACCUGAUCGCCCCUAGGGCCUCGAGGUUCGCCGCCCUGCAAUGAAGAAGAACGAGCGAAGAACGAGGAAGAAGAAGAACUAGGGUUAAGGAGAAAAGAUAAAAGAUAAAAAGUGGUAGAUUGAUUGAUCGAUUGUGUGUUGUUCAAUCGGCCAUCACCCCUCAGGUAUAUAAGAGGCGGCUGGACUUCCCGUGCAAGGAAAAGGAUUGGAUUCACGUCCAAAACCCUAGUCAAAUUCGGAUUGGUUUUGUCCGAACUUUCCAAAACUGUUCGGUUUAAACUGGCUGCACCUUGCGGGUAACUUUUGAGGUGGUAAACGACCUCGGAUGGAAACGAGCCUAAAAGCAAUCUUGACCGUUUCGACGAGACGAACAACUUUUAUGUUGAACGUUGUUUGAUUAGAGUUCAUCUUGAGGGUCCAAUCGCUCGUGCAAUACAGGCUGUUAUUCGCGCUACCCAUCAGACAGGGUGUCUGGUGGGGCGCGCCACUUUUGGCUCGUGAUAGUGCUGUAUUCGAAUGGCUCUAACUUUUGCAUACGAACUCGGAUUGGAACGAUUCUUAUAUCAAAAACGAUCGUUUCGACGAGACGAAGACAAUCCAUGUAGAUCAUUGUUCCAUACGAGGCAAUCUUGGGUGAGUAAUGUGCCGAAUAGUGUUCUGAAUACAAAAUCUCAGUAUUUCGAACACAACUUCGGCCUUUGAGAUGAGAUCAGAUGGCGAUGACCCAAAGUUCAAAGAUGUUCGUAUCGACAAUACGAAACUUUUUCAUGUAGAACACUUCUCCAUUUGAGGCCAUUUUAAAUAAGUUCUUGACUGUGCCAAAAUCUGGUGUCAACACAUGCCCCCUGUUUUUCGGCAAAGCCUGUGUGCCAAAAAAUAACUUGCACAUAGCUUGCUCUAAGGACGAUGUCAACACUCCAUCGGCCAUUUUGGCAUAUUCUUAGGACGAUAAGUUUAUAUCGGCCAUUGCUUGUGUGAAUAUUUUGACGCAAGCUUGGGUGAAACUUUCUCAACUUCCUUAACAAUCCGAUGAUAAAGUCCCAUGGAUAUGUAUCUCAAGGUCAUCCUCAGAACCAUAUUAUUCACCCUUUUGCUAGGAUUUUGCUGAUAAUCAAUAAUAAACUUUCUCCAAUCCUUAUUUUCGCCUGUAUAAGAAAAAUUCAUUAGUGGCCGAAGCGGUGGACUUCGGUUCGGCCUUACCUAUUCUGACGAGACUAAGCAUCGGCUAUUGAUAGAAAUGCAACACACCAUGAUUAACAUAGUAGCCGGAUGCUUGCUGUGCCAACUUUUUCAAAUUGUCAUGUCUAGAAAUAUGAACAAUUUUAUAGCAACCCAAGGUAAUUUUGCAUCUAGACAUACCUUAAGAUAAACUAUAAGUGACUCGUCAAAACAUUGAUAACCCUUGGAUAUUUGUUGCACUACUUAUAACGAAUCACUGAAAGCCUCAAUCUGUAUAGCACCUAUAGCAACCAAAAGCUCCAAACCGAAUAAAUUUCAUAUUCGGCUUUGAUUAUUGUGUAAAAAUAUUUUAAGUGGCAUAAGGCUUGUUUUGUUCUCCAAUUGAACUAAUGACGAUGUUAGGAUGCUACACCGGCCAUGCUUUGACAUAUUCUUAGGGCAAUAGAUAAAUAUCAGCCAUUAACAUGAGGUCCAUGUAGAAUUCACCCACCAAAGUAUGUAUAGCCGAAAUAAACAAAUAAAAUAGGAAUAAAAUAUUUCGGCCCCUUUGUAUUAGCAACAAUGUAACUAACCAAAUGUAUGGUAAUUUGGUAAUACUCUCUCAUGAUAUAGAAAAUUAUGUUGCAUCCAUGGAUCAAAAUAAAUCAAUGGAGGGUAAUUGAUCAUACCUAGGGAUGAAUUCAUGGCAAAGGCAUCAACGACAUGGUUGAAGAAAAUGGAUGAUGUGCUAACCGAAGAUUUUGAUGUUGUGAUGUGCACCUUCGGCUUAAUUGUUUGUUGCUUUCAUUAUUUUCCUUCUUCACUUUUAUUGUACUUGUUGCAAUAGAAGCAUGCACAUCAUUUUUGUGUUGAUUGAUCUUCUUGGGAACCCAUGCCAUGUUCUUCUUUUUCAGCUCUUGUGCACUAAGAUUUUGUAAUUUUUUCUUUUGCCAAUAUGAUAAACCGAGUGGGCAUCUCGGCUGUGAUUUUGUUUCAACCAAUGGCAACUCUUUUUGGGCCUUGUGCACCCUCAACUUCUUUUCUUCAGAUUUGGCACUCUGAUUUUUAUCAGUUGAUUGCUUCACUUCUUUGCCUUUUGUAGCCAAUGUCAACACUUUAAUUGGCUCUUUGUUAUUUGGGAUCAAAUCUGAAGCAGCACACUUACGACCAUCUCUUUUCACGCGGUAAACUUGCUUUACCACCUCUUUCUUCUUUCUUGAGCUCUGGACCGAUUCCUUAUGAUUGAAAUGGUCUUUGACGCGUGAUUGUUCAAAUGUUGAUCUCCUUGGAGCUGCAUAGUAUUGGUGAGAUUGUCUAGAAUAAGAUGGAGAAUGUACCCUUGUAUCAUACCUGUCCCAUGAUGAAUAUGUAUCUAUAUGAGCAUAGGGAGGUAUCGACGGCAUUGGCAUCGGCGGCCCAAGAUAUGAAUAUGUUGCAUUAAAAUUAUCACUUUGCCAAUACCGAUCCUCAUAUUUGCGCCUUGGGGGUGAUCUUGGUUUCUUUGCCUGAUUUGGCCGAUAAGCAUUCUUCUCUUCACUCUUCUUUUGAUAUUUAUCCAAUAGUUCAGCAAAGGUGAUUUUUGAUCUCUUACACUUGCGCUUAUUCCGGCCUUUGUUUUCUUUUGGUUUGCUUUCAUCGAUCAUUAGAUUUGCUUGCUGCCCCCCAGUCCUUGGCGUCUCCAUUGUAGCUUCGAUGGAACUCCCGCCCUCAAGAUUAUGCUCGUUAUGCUCUUCAACAACUUCUUUACUUGAAAGCUUGAUCCCAUCACCUGCAGCUUUUACAUUCUUUUUAAAUGGAUCGGCCUAAAGCAACCGAUGUAAAAACUUUUUGCCAUCGAGACCAAUCGGAAUAGACUGGUCAUAUCUUGGUGUUUCAACAAACUUCAAUCGUCCUUUUUCAAUGGCUGAUUUAACUAUUUGACGAAACAUGUUGCAAUCCUCAAAAUUAUGCUUGGACGAAUCAUCCAACUUACAAUACAUUCGUCCUUGGAUUGAUGGCUUAACAUGGUGAUCAAGAAUUGUAAUGUAAUUAUUUUUCAGCAACAAAUCAAAUAUUUUAUCACACAUGCUUGAAUUGAAAGUAUACUUCUUGUUUCCUAGCCGAUCUUGCUGUUUGAACGGCUUUGGAGAUAAGCAAACGAAUGGUUCAGAUUUGGAAUCUCCCCAUUCGGCUAUGCAUUGUGUUUUCCACUCUAUCUCCGAUGUCUUUGGAUAUGAUAUUAUAUUAGCAUCGGUUUUCUCAAUAGAAUUUAACCUUGGCUUUAAAUUUCUGAAACGAAGAUAUUUAGAACAUACAUGUCUCAGUUGAGACCAAGUGUAAGCCAAGUAAGAAAUAAUCAAAGCUACCCAACUAGAUAUGAACUUUAGAGAAAGCAAUGGGAAAAGCUUUGGCUGUAACAAUAAGUCAUUAUCGGUCUUUAUAAAUGGUGCAAUGGGUUGACCGAUAUGUUCCAUAACAAUUUUACUGCUAACAAGUAAAUUACCCUUCCUCAUUGGUCUUUCAAAAUUACUUAUGAGAAUAUUUCUUAUAGAUGCAUCAAUAAUGAAGUUGCGACCAAAUCUAAAAAUAGGUAAAUUACUCGCUAUGCAUACCUCUUCAAAUAUGUUAGGAGAGCAUGAUAGUGGUGCCAUUUGAAGAACAUCUUGCUCCGUCUUUGGAUGGCUCCCCAACACCUUGUCAUCAUCUUUUUCUUGAAUCCGUGCAUCAUUGCUUUGAAGAAUUUUGUCGGCCGAACUUUGUUCGGCUACUUGUUCUUGUCCUUGAAGCUUGUCAAUUUCUACGACGCGUAACUCAUAGGGCAGGAAGUAGGUUCCAUUAACUUCAGAAAAAUCAAGCACCGUUGUUUUCCUAUGCUUGCCAUGCCCUUUCUCAAUAAUGCUUGCCUCGUUGGAUUUGAUGGAUUCAGAAUAUAUACUACUUGAUUCGGCUUUUUCAACCGAAGCACUUUCAUGUUCCGAAUCAUCCUUCUUUUCAUUGAUAGUACCAAUUGGCAAUGCUUCUUUUAUCUGAGCCAAUUCUUUUUCUAUUUGUUUCUGUCGGCGAGUGGCAAAAUUAGCUUUAAGCUUUUUCUCAAUUUCAGCCCACUCCGGAUAUGAUUGCCCCCCAAUGCUUUUAGAUUUUUUCGGCAAUGACACACGAGUGUUGCCGAAAUUUUGCAAUUGUGUAGGGGGUGUAUAAUAUGAUGUAGUACUAGGUGAAGGCAUAUGCAGUGUUGUAAGACCAUACUUUUGCUCGCCAAUUUUAUCAAUUGGCAAAGAUUCAUCUUCUUGCAAAACUCUAGCUUUUAUUGCGGCAUAAUCAGGAAAUAGCCCCUUUUCAUGUUGUUCAAGGCAAAGAGCACUAAUUCUCUUAUUUUGGGCUAAACUCUUCAAUGCAGCCACCACUACCUCAUCUUCUACAAUGUUGGGCACAACCGCUCCUGUAAAAUUUACAUUCAUUCGGCUAUAACCAGGAAGGUGUGAAGCCGAAUUAUGAGCAUCUACAGUUGUGUAUGGUGCCGAAGAAUUACUAACAUGAGGUAUAGCAUAUGAUGGUUGAGAGUAACUGGCCAAAUAGCCAUUAGUAGCAUGGCCAAUUCUCUCAUUCAUCGGCAUGGUUGGAUUACUAUAUUGCACAUUAGCUGCCGAUGAAUAAAAGGGUGAAACACUUUCUUGUAUGGCAUUGGAAAUUCUAACUUGGGGUGUUUCAAAUUGAUUAAUCAAACUCAUCAUGUUGCUCAUCGGCAUAUGAAUUUGUGGGGUUGCCGAUGCAUGGGAGUUGGGAUACAUAUGUUGCAUGUUGCUAAAUUUAUAAGAAUUUGAAACAUGAAGAUUGUUUUGCAUCGGCCCUUGCACAUAAUUAGAUGCAUGAUUGAUAAAACUAGGGCUAGCCGAUACAUUAUGCUCAAUAGGUGAUCCAGCAACAACAUAUGGAUUAUUUGCAUCUACAAAGGGGAAUUGUGUAUUCAUAUUACUUUUGUAGAUUGCAGCAACUUGAUGACGAUCUCUUCGUAGCAAGAACGGGCUGAAGACCGUUCAAAGCUUCGUCCCCAGCGGAGUCGCCAAAAAGUGUGUUGACGCUGGAACGCGUCACACGAACACGUCGAUGUGUAACCGCGGCGCCGAGGGAGAUGCUCCGCAACUCACACCGCGGGAGGCCGACUUCCAGCGCGAUACGCAAGACAGCAAGCCGGCGCUUUUGGGAUCCGAAACCCCACACGCCCGGGAGGGACCCCGUCUGGGCGUGCGGCGGCUAUGGGGUGCCCUAGGUCGACUUGAUCGCCCCUAGGGCCUCGAGGUUCGCCGCCCUGCAAUGAAGAAGAACGAGCGAAGAACGAGGAAGAAGAAGAACUAGGGUUAAGGAGAAAAGAUAAAAGAUAAAAAGUGGUAGAUUGAUUGAUCGAUUGUGUGUUGUUCAAUCGGCCAUCACCCCUCAGGUAUAUAAGAGGUGUCUGGACUUCCCGUGCAAGGAAAAGGAUUGGAUUCACGUCCAAAACCCUAGUCAAAUUCGGAUUGGUUUUGUCCGAACUUUCCAAAACUAUUUGGUUUAAACUGGCUGCACCUUGCGGGUAACUUUUGAGGUGGUAAACGACCUCGGAUGGAAACGAGCCUAAAAGCAAUCUUGACCGUUUCGACGAGACGAACAACUUUUAUGUUGAACGUUUUUUGAUUAGAGUUCACCUUGAGGGUCAAAUCGCUCGUGUAAUACAGGCUGUUAUUCGCGCUACCCAUCAGACAGGGUGUCUGGUGGGGCGCGCCACUUUUGGCUCGUGAUAGUGCUGUAUUCGGAUGGCUCUAACUUUUGCAUACGAACUCGGAUUGGAACGAUUCUUAUGUCAAAAUCGAUCGUUUCGACGAGACGAAGACAAUCCAUGUAGAUCAUUGUUCCAUACGAGGCAGUCUUGGGUGAGUAAUGUGCCGAAUAGUGUUCUGAAUACAAAAUCUCAGUAUUUCGAACACAACUUCGGCCUUCGAGAUGAGAUCAGAUGGCGAUGGCCCAAACUUCAAAGAUGUUCGUAUCGACAAUACGAAACUUUUUCAUGUAGAACACUUCUCCAUUUGAGGCCAUUUUAAAUAAGUUCUUGACUGUGCCAAAAUCUGGUGUCAACACAUCUUAGUAAUCUUUGGGUGCUAAUCACAUAGCGAUGUGAACUAGAUUAUUGACUCUAGUAAACCCUUUGGGUGUUGGUCACAUGGCGAUGUGAACUAUGAGUGUUAAUCACAUACAGAUGUGAACUAUUGGUGUUAAAUCACGUGGCGAUGUGAACUAGAUUACUGACUCUAGUGUAAGAGGGAGACUGAAGGAAAUAUGCAAUGGAGGCAAUAAUAAAGUUAUUAUUUAUUUCCUUAUUUCAUGAUAAAUGUUUAUUAUUCAUGCUAGAAUUGUAUUAACCGGAAACUUAGUACAUGUGUGAAUACAUAGACAAAAUAUAGUGUCCCUAGUAUGCCUCUACUUGACUAACUCAUUAAUCAAAGACGGUUAUGUUUCCUAACCAUACACAUGUGUUGUCAUUUGAUGAACGGGAUCACAUCAUUAGGAGGAUGAUGUGAUGGACAAGACCCAUCCGUUAGCUUAGCAUCAUGAUCGUUACAAUUUCAUUGCUACUGCUUUCUUCAUGACUUAUACAUGUUUCUCAGACUAUAAGAUUAUGCAACUCCCGAAUACCGGAGGAACACUUUGUGUGCUACCAAAUGUCACAACGUAAAAAGGGUGAUUAUAAAAGGUGCUCUACAGGUGUCUCUAAAAGUGUCUGUUGGGUUGGCAUAGAUCAAGAUUAGGAUUUGUCACUCCGUGUUUCGGAGAGGCAUCUCUGGGUCCUCUCGGUAAUGCUCAUCACUAUAAGCCUUGCAAGCAUUGUGACUAAUGAGUUAGUUGCAGGAUGAAGUAUUAUGUAACGAGUAAAGAGACUUGCCGGUAACGAGAUUGAACUAGGUAUGAGGAUACCGACGAUCGAAUCUCGGGCAAGUAACAUAUCGAUGACAAAGGGAACAACAUAUGUUGUUAUGCGAUUUGACCGAUAAAGAUCUUCGUAGAAUAUGUAGGAGCCAAUAUGAGUAUCCAGGUUCCGCUAUUGGUUAUUGACCAGAAGUGAGUCUCGGUCAUGUCUACAUAGUUCUCGAACCCGUAGGGUCCGCACACUUAACGUUCGAUGACGAUCGGUAUUAUGAGUUUAUGUGUUUUGAUGUACCUAAGGUUGUUCGGAGUCCCGGAUGUGAUCACGAACAUGACAAGGAGUCUCGAAAUGGUCGAGACAUAAAGAUUGAUAUAUUGGAAGGCUAUGUUUGGAUACUGGAAAGGUUCCGAGUGGUUCGGGCAUUUUUUCGGAGUACCAGGAAGUUGCCGGAACCCCCCGGGAGAAGUAAUGGGCCUAUUGGGCCUUAUUGGAGGAGAGGAGAGAGGGCACAAGGGAGGGGCGCACCCUCCCUUGCCCAAACCCAAUUGGACUAGGGGAGGGGGGCGGGCCCCCUCUUUCCUUCUCCCUCUCUCUCCCUUCCCUUUCCCUCCGGUGGAAGAAAGGAAAAGGGAGGGGGGCGAAUCCUACUUGGACUAGGAGUCCAAGUAGGACUCCCCCCUGGCGCGCCCAACUUGGCUGGCUUCCUCUCUCCCUCCCUCCUGUAACGUGGCCAGGGGGCACCCCAUAGACACAAGUUGAUCUUUUAGCCGUGUGCGGUGCCCCCCUCCAUAGUUACACACCCCGGUCAUAUCGUCAUAGUGCUUAGGCGAAGCCCUGCGCCGGUAACUUCAUCAUCACCAUCGCCACGCCGUCGUGCUGAGAAGCUCUCCCUCGGCCUCACCUGGAUCAAGAGUACGAGGGACGUCAUCGAGCUGAACGUGUGCCGAACGCGGAGGUGCCGUACGUUCGGUGCUUGGAUCGGUUGGAUUGCGAAGACGUUCGACUACAUCAACCGCGUUACAUAACGCUUCCGCUUUCAGUCUACGAGGGUACGUAGACAACACUGUCCCCUCUAGUUGCUAUGCAUCAUCUAGAUAGAUCUUGCGUGAUCGUAGGAAAAUUUUGAAAUUACUGCGUUCCCCGACAGGUACCCCCGUAUUCGUGCCAAGGUUUUGACGGGGAUAGAGAGGGUUUAUCUUUGUGAUUGGGUCUUUUAGUUGCUUUGCUACUAGAGAUCUAGGUGGUCAAAGGCUUAAAGGUCUGGAAUAGGUGUGAGUGGUGGAUAGGCCACCUUCACAAUCUUCUCCCUUCUAUCUUUAUCCAAAGUGAGGUAGGGCGGUUCGCUUGAGUUGCUCAACCACCCCUUUGCUCGGUGCUCAUGAUGCGCCACAGAGCCUCCACCGUGCUAGCGGUCAAGUUAUAUAAGAAUUGGUUGGAACCUGAAGAUGGAGAUAUUAAUGACAUGACGUAGAGGUCAAAUUUGAUGAGUGCAUAGGACGUCCAGCAGACGUCGUUGAGGAAGCUCACCAGCGACAAGACUUACACCCUACUUGCCUACUCGGAUUACUGAAAGCAACCAAUACCAGCCUACUCAAUCCUUUCCCUUUUCGCGUCUCCACAUUUGUCUUUUUUAAUACCUCGUUAUUUUCCGAGGAUACGAAUCGAAUGGCGGGGCAACACUACAUGUACUCCAUCGCGGCCUUAGGGGGUGCAACCCCCCAUCUCCAUCUUGAUUGGGGCAUGGGCUGCCAUCCAUCUUCCCAUCCCCCGACGAAAGACCAAGAUUUCUCCAAUGUUUUCCUCCCUCUUCAAAAUGUCUCUCAUCAGAAUAAAAAAGGUAUUGUACUGUGACAAUCCACCCAACCCCUUUCCCAAGUGUGUGAUUAGCAUAUGUGCUCGCUUUCGACCACAGCCGUACUCGAUGUUUUGAAUGUCAAUUUUUGCAUUUAGGUUUGUAAUGCGUACUUUGCCUAGUACUAAUUGGUUCACGUGUUCAUUGUGUGCAUGUUAGUGUUCUGCUCUUCAUGUUCUAGGUCAGAUAAUAAUUAAUUAAUAAUAAUUUUGGGAUAACAAACAUUAUGAUGCUUCCUACUCCAGAGAUAUGCCUCCCCAUUUGGUGGCACAUUACAUUUUCAAAUUUCUGAGCUUCCAAGUAAGACCACUGAUGCACCAAGUUCACAUUUUCAUGCUUCUUGUUAGCUUGCAUUCACAGUAUGCUUCCAAGUAAUAGUACUGAUGCAUGCAGCACACUGUCUCAUGCUUCGUAUUAAUCGUGCUUCCACAUUAUAUUCCUUUUGUUUCAUUCUGCUUCUUAUUACCAUUCUGCUUCCAAGUAUUAGUACAAAUGUGCCCAGUACAUUUUUUUUGCUUCUUUCGCAUCAUACUUCCACAUUAAAUUCCUUAUGUUUCAUACAGCUAAAAGUUUACUUCCACUCAAAACAUUUUAUUAAGGUUUGUUAACUACAAAAUAACUUUCUUAUGUUCUCAGUUGACCCGCGACAUUGAAAGAGGACGAAACCCAAUGGAUGCUCAAGAGCCGAUAUGCGGCUGGAAGGUUACAUGAUCUCCAUCAAGAAAACCACGAUACUCGAUCUCGCGGGUUAGGUGUGCCAUUUUUUGCUGCGUUGGGAGAGAAGCAUCCGACCAGGAAGCACUGUUCGAGAGCGAAAGAAGGGCGCCUAGAGAGAGAAGCGAUUGUAUCUCACGGGAUCAAUUUCUUAUAUGGAAGCACUUAAUCAUGGUGCCAUAUCCAAUCCAACGAUGGCUAGUGGUUCCCAUGAUGGAUAGUGGUUCCCAAUGGUUUUCAAUCCAACGGCCAAACACUGGUCAGGAUGCAAAGCAUCAGCCGUGUGAUGGCUAGUGGCUAUUUUUUUAAAUAAUAUUUUUUUUUUAUUAAUUUUCAUAAAUAUUACGCCGGAUAAAAAAUUUCAAAAAUAAUACACUGUCGGCCCGCUGCAGGCCGACUGGGCCUAGUCGGCCCACAGCAGGCCGAUUGGAUUCCAGUCGGCCUACAGCUGGCCGACUGGCCCCUGUCGGCCCACUGUGGGCUGAUUGCGUCCUGUCGGCCCACUGUGGGCCGACUGGAGCUAAUUGGCAUAAAAAAUAUAUGUUUAAAAAAAUAUUAAUUAUGUAAUUAAAAAAUGUUAAACGUGUAUAAAAAAUGUUCCUGAUGUAUACAAAAAAUGUAUAAUAUAUAUGCAAAAAUGUUGACAUAAAAAAUAUGUUUUGAAAAGUGUUAAGCAUGUAUUUAAAAAUUGUUAAAUGUGUGUAUAAAAAAUGUUCCUUAUUCAUACAAAAAAUAUAGAAUGUGUAUGAAAAAAAUUGAUACCAAAAAAUUAUGUUUGAAAAAUAUGUCUGAAAAGUUGACAUUUUUUCAAAUACAUGAUUAAAAAUUGUUAAAUGUGUGUAUAAAAAAUGUUCCUUAUUUAUAAAAAAGAUAUAGAAUGUGUAUGAAAAAAAGUUGACACCAAAAAAUAUGUUUGAAAAAAAUGUUCCAGUUCCAUACAAAAAGAGCAACCAAUCAUAUUUUUUUCACAACCUUGAUUUAUUUUUUGUCACCAACUCACCAACAUAAUUUUUUGGUGUCAACUUUUUUUCAUACACAUUCUAUAUUUUUUGUAUAAACAGGAACAUUUUUUAUACACAUAUUUAACAAUUUUAAAUACAUGAUUAACACUUUUUAAAACAUACUUUUUAUGUCAACAUUUUUGCAUAUAUAUUGUACAUUUUUUUAUACAUCAGAAAAAAAAAUUUAUACACGUUUAACAUUUUUUAUUUACAUGAUUAAUAUUUUUUUAAACAUAUAAUUUUAUGCCUAUUUUUUUACAAAAACAAUUAGCCCAUAGCGGGCCAAUUAGCUUCAGUCAGCCCACAAUGGGCCGACAGGACCCAAUCAGCCUACAGUGGGCCGACAGGGGCCAGUCGGCCAGCUGUAGGCCGACUGGAAUCCAAUCGGCCUGCUGUGGGCCGACUAGGCCCAGUCGGCCUGCAGCGGGCCGAUGGUGUAUUAUUUUUGAAUUUUUUUUACCCAGCGUAAUAUUUAUAAAAAUUAAUAAAAAAAGUAUUAUUUAAAAAAAUUUAGCUGGCUAGUGGUUCCGGAAUAGAAUUGAGAUAAGGAUCAAGAGAUUGCUACGGAGGUUUCCUAGGCAUUCCUCUACAUUCAGUUGGCCCAAAGAACCCAGUUCAAUAUUUUCGACAAUCCACCAAAAUGGGGCAUCACAACUUUUUGGGUUUGCAAUCACGGUAGUACCAAGGGGUAGUGGCACCAUCCAUGUGCUUUGGGAACAGUCAGGUGACAACAUUAGCGCGCAAACAUUGAAACUUAGUUCGGAUGGACAAAAUGAAUCCUAUUUUUCUGAGUGAAAAUUACUGAAUCCAUGGCAAAAUUGUUCUAGCACACAUAUAUAUACAAAAUGAAUCCUACUCCAUCCGUUCCUAAAUACUUGUCUUUUUAGGAUUUCGAAUAGACUACCACAUAUGGAUGUAUAUGGACACAUUUUAGUUAUUAAAAUCUCUAAAAAACAAAUAUUUAGGAACGGAGGGGAGUAUUUUUUCUGAGUGAAAAUUGCUGAAUCCUUGGCAAAUUGUUCUAGCACACAUCUAUAUACAAAAUGAAUCCUAUUUUUUGAGUGAAUUUUUUGAGUAUAAAUUACUGAAUUCUUGGCAAAAUUGUUCUAGCACACAUCUAUAUUAUUCACCAAACAUUUGAUUUAUGUCAUUUUUCCAAUAAGAAUACUGUUUUUUCGAGAGAAAACAUUAGAUUCAUUCAUUUGAUCUAUUAGGCGCGAAAUUACGAAUUAAACUCCUGCCAUUUCUUUCCCGAGGCAAACCUGUAGAUUCCAGCAAAAACAAAAAGGGAAACUAUUGCCAGAAGGAACUACUGGGCUUAGCAAUUUAGAGCCCAACUCUUAUCAAAUGAUCACCAGAAAAGGCCCACGGCCUGAACCACCACGGCAGCGCAGCGGCGUCUCAGGUUUAGUCCCACAUCGCUAACGGGAGGAGGAAUAGAGGGAGAGCGGCCUAUAUAGUAGACGCCUUGGGCACCGUUGCAAAGCACUUACCUGGACGGGGUCAACAGCUGAUCAAGAAGAGCUGUGGCCUAGAUCAAUGGCUCACAUUGCACCUUGUUGAGUGCGUUGGCCUACCAUCUCCCUACGGGGAGAGUGGACGUCAUAAUUUGUGCCAGAGGGGGUACGCGUUCGCGCGGCCCCUGCCAAACUUUGAAAAUUAAAAUUUGGUCCUUAGCAGCGGUUGUUUAUGCUUUCUCUGCUGCCCCUUUCAAUCUUCCAAAUCCCUUUCUGGUACAGUUUACGAUGGAUGCUCGUCCACCAGCAGUAAAUUCUUGGACUCAACACGAUUAAAAGUGCCAUAUGCCGUAGCAGCUAUAUGGCGCAUAAAGCACACUUCUAAACUACCGUACAGAAUAACCUAGCAUUACUGCUAAAGUAGAACACACGAUACAGAUUACUACCACGAGUACACGCUAAUAAAAGAGAUGUUAUGUCACGCUAGGAAGCCGUUGACUGCAUGCGUAGCCGCGGUGCUUUUAGCCUUUAGGCGAUGUCGAUGGAGCGGACGUUGCGCUGCUUCUGGGCCUCUUCGUCCUUGGGCACGACGACCCUGAGCACGCCGUCCUGCAUGGUGCACCGGAUGCCGUCCGCCUUGGCGUUCUCCGGCAGGCGGAACCGGCGCAUGAAGGACCCGAAGCUGCGCUCCACGCGGUUCCAGGCGUCGCCCUUGUGCUCCUCCUCCCGCGUCUUCUCCCCGCUGAUCUUGAGCACGUUGCCGUCCUCCACCUCCACCUUCACGUCCUCCUUCCGCACCCCUACAUGCACGGCAGCAACAUCAAUGGAUCAGAUGGAAAGCUUUUCUGUGAGGCCGCCUUGACAAAAAAGACACGGGACACCACGUACGUACCGGGGAUCUCCGCGGAGAAGAUGUGCUCCUUGUCGUUCUCGUGCCAGUCGACGUUGGUGCGAGCCAUGGCGGUCGCGUCGUCACGGCUGCCGCCUUCGCGGCGGCCGCCGUCCAAGGGCCAAGGAGAGCCGAAGGGGUCCCAGAGGUCGGAGGAGAAGGGGUCCAUCCCUCCCCGGCCACCGCCGAACCAAGGCAUGAGCGACAUGGCUGACACGCACGGUGGUGUUCGGU